GAAACAUCUGCCCUUAAUUUAUUAGGAGAGAUAACCACAAUCGUUAGAUCUUAGAAACAAUUUAGUAACACCUAGAAAUUACCCACUAUGCCCUAAGCUUUUCUCCACGCCUCUUGUAUCUCACAAAGGUACCCAAAAAAACACGGAUCAGAAAAAGGGAUCAAUCAGGGGACGUGGCUCUCCAUCCCUCUCGCCGCCGCCGUGAACGCAUCGUUCCUUUGCCAUGUCGAUCAUGCAUCGUCGCCAUGGGAUGAGUGGAAAGUUUGCACUGUUCCAUCAAUUCCAUUGCCAGGUAUGUUUUCCCACAAAUGUCUACGUCUCCAUGUAUGAUUACUUGACAUUGAUUCCGUGAAUCCAUACUACUGCUUCUGUAGGCGUCUUCCCUUUUAAAUCCAUCUUCAAUUUUCAUCACCUGGCCUCGAUCCUUGCUUGCAUAUCAGAAAAUGUGGAGUUUGGGAUUGCAAAGGUGCUUAAAUAAUCAUGAUGGUUGCUGCAUACAUUGAUUUAGGAUUUUUCUUUGCUCCAUGCUUCAAAUAUUUGUUUCUCCUUUUUGCUGUGUGAUGCUAAGAAUUAACAAUGAAAUUUUGCACGAGCAAGAAAUUAACACAGGGAUGAGGGACAAUAUUAUACUGUAUCUAACAAGCAAUGGUCAUAGAGAACACAUAAUAAUUAGUGCCAAUCAAUAGAUACUUAAUGUUUCAUCCAAUCAAAAGUCUAUGCAGAGAACCGAAAAGACAACCUAUUGUAGGAUAUGUAUAUAGUGCAGUCCAUACUAAUAUACAUGCUCUGAGAAGUUAACAACUUGACAUGUAUAUUGCUUCCUCAUGAUUCAUGAUCUGUAGCUCGAACUAGAAUGAGAGCAGCAGGAGUCAGCAACCCGGUGCCAGUGGCUUGCCUCGGACAUUCCUGCUCGGAGAGCACCCCAUUGUGUCUCCUACAUGAGGAUGUAUGCUCUAGACUGGACAAACGAGUACCAGCAGCCGGUGCGCCGUACCAUAACAAAUGCCACUGUAUGUCUUAGGUGAUUAAGUUAAUCUGUUUACUACAAUGUCCUACAAGAAGUAGGAUGAAGCUAAGUUCAGCGCUCCUGGGCAGCAAGUCAAUUAAUCCCGGCAACAUCCAGACUCUGCAGGAUAUUUAGUGUCAAAUGGUGAGACCAAUUAACUGCCUAAUAGUUGCUGCUUCAUACGAUUUUCUUGACACUACAUAAUCUAACUUUUCUUGGUCAACCAUCAUAGGUUUAUUUCACAAAUUGAUGUAAACAAACGGUCGCUUAAAGAAGUCGCUGCGUCUUGAGGAUGUCUUAAACGGCUAUCACAAGGAUAUGAUUACUCAGCCUAGAAUUUUCAAGCAUCGUGAUUGGGCAUAGUCUUAAUCAUCCGGUCGCAAUGCCAAUGAAGCAAGAAAAUAACCAAAAGGAAGACUUAUUUAAGUGCAUGUAUCAACAUAAUUUCCGCUUCUUCCUAUAUUCAUUCUUUUCUUCUCAUUAUGUUGCCAGUUUCCUACUCUGUAGGAUGUAAAAUAUGAAAUACAUUUUUUGAUAGUUUCAUCUGUUUGUUCAAAGCAUUGGAAACAUGCAUCAACAUUUGAUGGAAAUAGCUCAAUAAUAUCAAUUAGUAUCAACAAUCUAUAUUAUGUGAUACCUGAUAUUUGAAUCUUAUUAUACAGUACAGGCCAAUAGUGAGUGCCCAUGCAUCAUUAUGUUUUAUAUGUAUAAUGCAACCAGAUCAAUUUUCCUAUUCAGUUAUUACAAAUCUCAGUUUAUCUUUGGGAAUUAUUAAAACUAUAGUGAAGCCCAAAUAAAAUAACUACUUCCUCCGUUCCUAAAUAAGUCUUUGUAGAAAUUCCACUAUUGAUUAGAUACGGAGCAAAAUGAGUGAAUCUACACUCUAAAUGCAUCUAUAUACAUCCGUAUGUGGUUCAUAGUGGAAUCUCUACAAAGACUUAUAUUUAGGAACGGAUGGAGUAUUUCUUAAGUAUGCUGAAUAUUAAUGGGGGUAGGGGGGCUAACGCCGAUGCCGGUCACAAGCCCGAAAAAAAAGUGGAGGGACAUUAACAAAUUAACAUUAUGCCCUUAGUUAUGAACACUGCUGUAGAGACAACAAUCAUGUAGCCCAUGAUUAGCUAGGCUUGCUAAGUUCUCCACCCCUCAUGUAUGGUCGUAUCCCCCCCAGGGAAGUCUUGCAGUUGAUUGUCUCUGAUGCUACUAUUGUAGCAACUUAAUAAAGAGGAGGUUUAUGUGUCAAAAAAAACAUUAUGCCCUUAGUUAUGUUUGGCAUGUAUAACUUACAAUGAUCAUGUAGUUGAUGGACCAGAAGUCAAUCUGAUGAAAAUCAACAUCAGACAAUAUGUAGGAGCACAAAAUACAUAAAUGGUGCAGAUUAUACUGGUGCAAUCGCACAAAAAAUUAGAAAAGGGGAAGGGAGAAGGAGGGACCUGCAGGUGGAAGAAUGCAACGCCAGAGCCGGGCUGCAGCUAUCAAGAAUGAAGACAGCGUGAUAAGAUGUCUCACUUUGGGACAACAACGACGCGUCCGGUUCGGCGCUUGUGGAUGACAAUGCCUUCAGGAAACCUCACACUCGCGCAGGAUCCAUGGACGAGAUCGACACCCUCAUCGCCUCCAUGGACGAGAUCGACACCCUCACCGCCUCCAUGGACGCCGACUGCAACGACAAUCGACUUCGACGAGCUCGCCUCCUCCCUCGCGCAACGGCUAUUCGGGACCUGCAACCCCUCCAUCGCCGUUCACUGGCCCGAGAGAUCCACGACCACGAGGCACGGGGGGAUCCAAACCAGCUGUUUUAGAAAGCCACAGCGUGGCCGUACCACUUACCCUUGACGUGGGGUGCGUGCAGGUGAGGACGAUGAAGAAGGAAAUGAGGGGAGCAUCAGAUCAGUCCUCACAUGCGGUGGAUCAAAGCUGGACCGGCUUCCCUCAUGGGAGCUCCCGAGAAGACAAGAACACAAGACUGGAGAAAGGGGAAAGUGAGUGUUCAGCUUGGUGGGACCCCUGAUGCCGUCGCGUUGUGCACAAUGGUCAGAGGAAAGUGAAGAGCCAACUUUUUCUUUGCUUGUGAUUCAGGCGUGAGACAAGCUUGGUGUCUUCUAAAAUUGUCUUACCUUAACUCUAUUAAGUGUUCAUGAAAUAAAAACAUAGGUACCAUUGCGAUUUUAGUGGACACUAGCAAAUAUGCCCGUGCGUUGCAACGGGAGAAAAAAAAUGCAUGCCUUAUAAACACAACGACAUCAACAAAUCCCUUAAAAUCUUUCAUUAUGCCACACAACAAGCAACAUGAUAAGUGGUGUUGUGCAAAAACAUAAAGGUGUGAUGAUUUUUGAAGUGUACUCAAGGUGUUUAGAAUUCAUUAUACAACACAAAUAUCUACCUAGUUGCCAGUAUAUGUUUACGCAUUUGUUGUUGUUUCUCGGUGAUGCCCAAAAAAAUAUUGCAUUAGAAUGAAAAUAGCAAAGUACAUUUUAGUAUUUAAUGAUAACAUGUGCAUAAGAGCAUUAUUUUUGUCAUAUACUCCCCCCAUCCAAAAAAGCAUGUCCCAAACUUGUCCCUCAAAUGGAUGUAUCUAGCACCAAGUUAGAUUUAAUGAUGAUAGCAUAUUUGAAAUCUACGUAUUUUGUGUGUGUCUGCAAUCAUAAUUCAGUUACUUAAUUUGGUUGCAAAUAUAUUGGAUAGCUCUACCAAAAACAACCAAUCUAUAAAGGACAUAUGCAAUAGGCAUUUCUAAAAUAUCUCAUCAUAUAAAGAAGGUAUUGUUUAAGUUUGCACCCUGUACAUAAUUUUAAAAAUUAAUGAUGAUAGCAUAUUUGGAAUCUAUGUAGUUUGUGUGUGUUUAGCAUCAUAAUUCAGUUACUUAAUCUGGUUGCAAACAUAUUGGAUAGCUCCACCAAAAAUAACCAAUCUAUAAGGACAUAUGCAAUAGGCAUUUCUAAAAUAUCUCAUCAUAUAAAGAAGGUAUUAUUUAAGUUUGCACCCUGAACAUAAUUUUAAAAAUUAAUGAUAAUAGCAUAUUNNNNNNNNNNNNNNNNNNNNNNNNNNNNNNNNNNNNNNNNNNNNNNNNNNNNNNNNNNNNNNNNNNNNNNNNNNNNNNNNNNNNNNNNNNNNNNNNNNNNNNNNNNNNNNNNNNNNNNNNNNNNNNNNNNNNNNNNNNNNNNNNNNNNNNNNNNNNNNNNNNNNNNNNNNNNNNNNNNNNNNNNNNNNNNNNNNNNNNNNNNNNNNNNNNNNNNNNNNNNNNNNNNNNNNNNNNNNNNNNNNNNNNNNNNNNNNNNNNNNNNNNNNNNNNNNNNNNNNNNNNNNNNNNNNNNNNNNNNNNNNNNNNNNNNNNNNNNNNNNNNNNNNNNNNNNGUAAGGGUUUUAAAGAUAUGAAAAUUUUAAAAAUUAAUGAUGAUAGCAUAUUUGGAAUCUAUGUAGUUUGUGUGUGUUUAGCAUCAAAAUUCAGUUACUUAAUCUGGUUGCAAACAUAUUGGAUAGCUCCACCAAAAAUAACCAAUCUAUAAGGACAUAUGCAAUAGGCAUUUCUAAAAUAUCUCAUCAUAUAAAGAAGGUAUUAUUUAAGUUUGCACCCUGAACAUAAUUUUAAAAAUUAAUGAUAAUAGCAUAUUUGGAAUCUACACAUUUUUCUGAUGAACUUUCAUAUAUGACAUGUCACAUUGAGUAAGGGUUUUAAAGAUAUGAAAAUUUCAAAAAUAUUUGAUCUUUGAAAGAAAAAAGGAGGGUGUGGGAAUCGAACCCACAACCUGCAGCCAGCUAGGCCAAGGAACCAACCAGUGCGAUGGUCCUAAGGUUGUUGUCCUUGAGGGGAUCUACGCUUUUUAAGUGAUGGGCUAGCGCGGACAAAAAAAAAAGAAAAAGACCAAACGUUUUUCUCACUUAAUGGUGGCAUUGGUGGGUAAUUUUUGCAACUUUAGGGGCAGUUUUAAUGACGGACGGGCAGAAGCGAUAGCCGCUUUAUUAGUAGGUAAAGAUAUAUUACAUAACUGCACCCUGAAUUCGUCUUAACUCAUAUGCGAAGUUCUAAGAUGUUUACGGUCAACUAAAAGGCGCGGACAAACAUAAUUGGUGGAAAUUACGGUUGCACGCAUUUACAACUAGAAACUCAAUAUAUCAAUCUUACAACUUUUUAGCAUAUAUUCCGAGGCAUGCGUGAAACCAGUAAAAACUACUUGCUCUAUGUUUAACGAAAGAGAAAUCUUAAGCAACGUUUUAAAGCAGAGACUAAUGAUUUUGCAGGGCUAUAACGGGCAAUUGCGAAAAUGGCGGGCAUUUUUUCAGUCAGGGGAGAGGAUUUUUGUACUUUAGAAAUAUGUAAUAUCCCGCACAUACAUUAUACCAAUGAGAAUUGUGAGAAAAUGACAAGUAUAUGCAAACGUGCGAGUAAGUAUUGCAAGGCAUUUACCUUUGAAUAAGUUGUUGACGAGUGCAUGUCAUGAACUAAUAAAUUAGUUGUCUUUCUAUUAGGCUUAUGUGAUUUGAGGAAAAUAAGUAAUAGUAAAGAAUAUUCUUAGGUUCUCGACCUUUCAAAUUUUAUAGGCACAAUGCCUACCUUUUGGUAUUUCAAACCUUAACACAUAAACAAUAAAUGCAUUGUUGAUACUGGUCACAAGAAAAUCAUUUGAAAAUAUAUUUUUUACUACCUACUGCAUGGCAAAGCCCCACAGUCUUUUAUUACCACCCAGAAACCAAGUUCAACUGUACAGAAGAGCAACUAAAAGCAGAAAAUAAAAAAACAUUUGAAAAUGUUGCUGUGAUGGUCCACAUAAAUAUGUAGUUAAUGUGGCUUUGAAUUGAGAUUUAUGAUAUCUGAAGUUUUAGUUUUGUACAUGGUGCAUAAUAUCAAGCAUUGAUUUUCUCUCUUGUGGAUUUGGUUUUUAUAGAAGAAGCUUAGAUCUCAUAAAUAUUUCAACAAAAAUGACCAUAGUCACCAGUGUAACACGAACUUCUAAUUGGCAUCACAAGGUUAGGAACAUGUAUACAACCAAAUUUCAUGACCCCUUAUUCUCUUGACUAAACAUGUCUUAAAUCAAUGAAGUGUGGACAAAACUAUGUUCUCAUCACAUUAGUCCCCAAUUUUUCUUUAGAUAAACCAAAUAAUAUGUUCUCAAUAUUAAACUUUCUAAAGUUCUAGCCCGCGCAUCGAGCGGGCCACUUUGCUAGUUUCCAGAAAGGAAAAAUAGCUGGGCUAAUCUUGUGGUGAACGUGAAACAUAAGACUGGGCUAGACGGGCCACAACCCAGUUGAAACCCUGCUCUGUCUCAACAAUAACAAAAAAAUACUGCUCGAGCAGCUACGUCCAAGGUGCCAGCCGAUCUUGUGAUGUUCUCUUGUCUAUUGACUAUAUACAUUGACAAUAUCGUGGGUCCCAGAUGUUAGGAAACCACCAGGAGGAAGCAUUUUCUUUUUCUAUACGCUAACAGUGGAGAAUAUAAAAAAUGAGUAACUUCCUUGCGUACGACAAUGGACAUGAUGGGUCCCUACUGUCAUCCUCUCCACGUACAAUCCUCUCCCGAUUCAUCUUGUUGUUGACCAUGUUGACAACGCGAGAGGGCAGCGCCGUGGCGUGCGCACGAAAGCGCGCGGAUGGCGACGGCGAGGCCUCGGAUGCCGGCGUUAACGAUUUAGGAGACGGUGGGGCAGUGAUGCGUGCGCUGAGGUGUAGCCAGCUGUGGGAGGCGGAAGCAGGCGGCCGCACCGGCGCUGGUUUGGUUUUGGCGGCUGGAAGAAGAUGAGACUGAAGAAACACAACAGACUGUAAAAGUAGCAGGAGUACUUAACAACCUUAGCUGAAACCUCAUGGUCGGUGAACAGAAGAUGUUCCUCAGUCAGAACAAAUUCCUCAGAGAACAGAAGAUCUUCAUCUUUGUCACUGAAGAAAUUGAUUGAACUGAAUGAGAUUUCCAAUGGCUUCACUCGAAAGGAUUGGGUAUGUGUAGGCUUUGAGAUGAGCAUCACUUGGAAAGUGUUUCCUUAGUUUUACCUCGACCCCCUUUAACAGUACGGUGUUUCCUAUGACUCAAGAAAGAGAAAUUGAUACUACGAAAACAAAAGUCUUCACGCUUCAUAGUCCUCGCAUUAAUAUCAAAGUCCUCAAGGUCACACCAAUUUCCUCAUUUUCAAAGUCUUCAAGAAAACCAAAGUCUUCAACUAACGACAUUCAUUUUUAAGGGUCGACUUUCAUCGUAAAUAUCAAACUCCUCAUAGACGUAUAGAACCUGUGUACACUCACAAACACAUUAGUCCCUUAAUGUAUAAGUCUUCGAUACACCAAAAUCACUAAGGGGCAUUAGAUGCACUUACAACCCCCCCCCCACCCCAUAUUGGUUGCUUGAUUCAUAUGGUUACAAUCCAUAAGCAUUUCUCUUUUGGAUUCAUCUGUACUAUUUUUCUUAGGGAAUUUUUCAUCCAAUCCAACGUCUUGUGAAGAAGGCUACAUUUUUUUAGAUUGUAAUCAAAUGCCCAUGUUAAUAAUGUCAGAUCGAAGAUGGCACAUUGGUGCAUUUUACAAAUCAUGCAAACCAAGCGUGUAGUAGUGUUCAAAACUGCAUGUAGGCACUAACACGUUCUCUUCUUUUGCAGAUAAUAAUAGGCCCAGAGGUGGAUAAUGUUUAUAACAAUAGUCACAUCGAGUGCAUGGAUCUGCAUCUCUCAAAUAUUACUUUGAACUCCUAUCGAGGGACCUUAUCGGAGAUUACAUUCGCCAGGUUCUUUAUUUCCAGAGCAAGGGUGCUGAGGGUACUGAGGUUGAACACACUUAUAAUUAGGAAUUGUUUGUUGAUCAGAGCUGGCAGCUACUGCAGAAUGGAAGAGGCUCCAAAAAAGCUAAACUUCGUAUUGGAAGAGCAUAUGACAGAGUAAUUGGAAGUCAUUGUGUCAAACCCAUACAUGACUUGUCAGCGGCUGAUCCCUUUGCAGAAAUGACGAGGUUUGCAAUGUUUGAAUUUGGGCAUUGUAAUCUUUGAAUUUGAACCUUGCAAUGUUUAUGGUAUUUGUUAUAUAACUUAAUUGGAUGUUUAAUUUGGUCUUGCAAUCAUGUCCUGUUACAAGUAUAUAUAUGUUGUUCUUCUGUACACAGAGCAUAGAUGUUCUGCAGGCAGAGCAUAUCACAUCGCACACGGACCACACUAGGUAACCCGUCGGCGAUGAAUUCAUCAAUCGCAAAUGGUUAGAUAUCGGCAAGCGUUUGCCCACAACACACACGGCUUAUUCCAUCACAAACAUCUUGGAUGGAUCAAUUGUAUGCCACGUAUCACACACGCAACUCUAAUCUGAUUCGUGCUUGAUGUCUCCGACAUCACUCGCCCAGUUUGUCUUAUUUCCCACGUAUCACUAUGUCGGCCUCUGCUCGCGUCCCUCCGCAAGCUCUGCUCACUGGUAGGCGCCGCAGCGUGCUGUGCUCGCCGUUAGAUGUCGCGGCCUGCUCUGCUCACGUCCGUAGGCAAGGUCGGCUUAUGGACAACUUUUCCUUGCGUGUUCAACUGCUAUAUGCAUAUAUAUGGUUGCUCGUCGUUAAGGCGACCGCGGAGCUCUCUGCUCACGUCCUCAGCGCGCGCUCUGCCCGCGGUUGGGCCUGCGCACGAUCACGUCGGGGGGCCCCAUAUGCAUGCGGUUGCACACCGCACGUCACCACACGAUGCAGUUACGUGCGGCACGAUGGAGCUACGUGAUACGUCUCCAACGUAUCUAUAAUUUUUUUUAUAUUCAUGCCAUGUUUAUAAUAUUUCUACAUGCUUUUGGUAUGAUUUGGUUAGAACUAACCCGGACCGACGCUGUUUUCAGCAGAACUGCCGUGGUGUUGUUUUUGUGCAGAAAUAAAAGUUCUCAGAAUGCGCUAAAAAUCAACGGAGAUUCUUUCUGGAAAAUAUAAAAAAUACUGGAAUAAAGAGUUACCGGAGAGGAGGCUCAUGGGGCCCACGAGGGUGGUGGGCGCGCCCACCCUCCUGGGGCGCGCCCCUGCCUUGUAGACACCCGUGGGUCCUCCUGACUUGUUCUCAACGCCAAACCCUCCUAUAAAUACAGAAACCCCCGAAACAUAACCUAGAUCGGGAGUUCCACCGCCGCAAGCCUCUGUAGCCACCAAAAACCAAUCGGGGCCCUGUUCCGGCACCCUGCCGGAGGGAGGAUCCAUCACCAGUGGCCAUCUUCAUCAUCCCGGCGAUCUCCAUGACGAGGAGCGAGUAGUUCACCCUCGAGGCUGAGGCUUGAUAACCCACAAGUGUAGGGGAUCGCAACAGCUUUUGAGGGUAAAGUAUUCAACCCAAAUUUAUUGAUUCGACAAAAGGGGAGCCAAAGAAUAUUCUUGAGUAUUAGCAGUUGAGUUGUCAAUUCAACCACACCUGGAUAACUUAGUAUCUGUAGCAAAGUAUUUAGUAGCAAAAGUGGUAUGAUAAUAAAGGUAACGGUAGCAAAAGUAAAGAUAAAUGUUUUUGGGUUUUUGUAGUAGUUGUAACAGUAGCAACAGAAAAGUAAAUAAGCGAAGAACAAUAUAUGAAAAGCUCGUAGGCAAUGGAUCAGAGAUGGAUAAUUAUGCUGGAUGCGAUUCCUCAUGUAAUAGCUAUAACAUAGGGUGACACAGAACUAGCUCCAAUUCAUCAAUGUAAUGUAGGCAUGUAUUCCGUAAAUAGUCAUACAUGCUUAUGGAAAAGAACUUGCAUGACAUAUUUUGUCCUACCCUCCCGUGGAAGUGGGGUCCUAGCCAAAACUAAGGGAUAUUAAGGCCUCCUUUUGAUAGAGAACCGGAACAAAGCAUUAGCACAUAGUGUAUACAUGAACUCCUCAAACUACGGUCAUCACUGAGAAGUAUCCCGAUUAUUGUCACUUCGGGGUUGUCGGAUCAUAACACAUAAUAGGUGACUAUAUACUUGCAAGAUAGGAUCAAGAACACACAUAUAUUCAUGAAAACAUAAUAGGUUCAGAUCUGAAAUCAUGGCACUCGGGCCCUAGUGACAAGCAUUAAGCAUAGCAAAGUCAUAGCAACAUCAAUCUCAAAACAUAGUGGAUACUAGAGAUCAAACCCUAACAAAACUAACUUGAUUACAUGGUAAAUCUCAUCCAACCCAUCACCGUCCAGCAAGCCUACGAUGGAAUUACUUACGCAUGGCGGUGAGCAUCAUGAAAUUGGUGAUGGAGGAUGGUUGAUGAUGAUGACGGCGACGAAUCCCCCUCUCCAGAGCCCCGAACGGACUCCAGAUCAGCCCUCCCGAGAGAGAUUAGGGCUUGGCGAUGGCUCCGUGUCGUAAAACGCGAUGAAACUUUCUCCCUGAUUUUUUCUCCCCGAACGUGAAUAUAUGGAGUUGGAGUUGAGGUCGGUGGAGGUCCAGGGGGGCCACGAGAUAGGAGGGCGCGCCCUAGGGGGGGCGCCCCCCUGUGUCGUGGACAACCUGUGGGCCCCCUGGUCUUGAUUCUUUCGCCAAAAAUUCUUAUUAAUUCCAAAAAGUGCCUCCGUGGAUUUUCAGGACAUUCCGAGAACUUUUCUUUUCUACACAUAAAACAAAAUCAUGGCAGUUCUACUGAAAACAACGUCAGUCCGGAUUAGUUUCAUUCAAAUCAUGCAAGUUAGAGUCCAAAACAAGGGCAAAAGUGUUUGGAAAAGUAGAUACAUUGGAGACGUAUCAACUCCCCCAAGCUUAAACCUUUGCUUGUCCUCAAGCAAUUCAGUUGAUAAACUGAAAGUGAAAAAUAAAAAAAAUUACAAACUCAGUUUGCUCUUGUUGUUGUAAACAUGAAAAGCCAGCAUUCAAGUUUCGGCAAAUAUUAUGAACUAACCAUACUCACAAUAACACCUAGGUCUCACAAUUACUCAUAUCAAUAGCAUAAUCAGCUAGCGAGCCAUAAUAAUAAAACUCGGAUGACAACACUUUCUCAAAAUAAUCAUAACAUGACAUAACAAAAUGGUAUCUCGCUAGAUCUUUCCGAGACCGCAAAACAUAAAUGCAGAGCACCUUUAAAGAUCAAGGACUGACUAAACAUUGUAAUCCAUGGUAAAAGAGAUCCAGUCAAGUCAUACCCAAUAUAAACCAAUAAUAAUGAAUGCAAAUGACAGUGUGCUCUCCAGCGGGUGCUUUUAAUAAGAAGGGUGAUGACUCAACAUAAAAGUAAAUAGAUAGGCCCUUCGUAGAGGGAAUGUAACGCCCCAGAUAUACUUUCCAUAUUUGUAUCCAACUCUUGCCGUCUCCGGCGCUAAGUUAUAUUUAUUUCUCGGGUUCGGGUCUUUGUCUCCGUGUGUUGUUUUCGUUUUCAUGCAUUUCAUACCAUGUCAUCUCGUGCAUUGCAUUUGCAUACAUGUUCAUCUCAUGCAUUCGAGCAUUUUCCCCGUUGUCCGUUUUGCAUUCCGGCGCUUCGUUCUCCUCCGGUGGUCAUUUCUAGUUUUCUUUCGUGUUUGGGAAUUAAACAUUUCCGGAUUGGACCGAGACUUGCCAAGCGGCCUUGGUUUACUACCGGUAGACCGCCUGUCAAGUUUCGGGUCAUUUGGACUUCGUUUGAUACUCCAACGGUUAACCGAGGGACCGGAAAGGCCUCGUGUGUGUUGCAGCCCAACACCCCCCAAAUUUGGCCCAAAACCCACCAAACUCUGCUCCAUGUCCUAGAGCGUUCGAUCACGAUCGUGUGGGCGAAAACCGCACCUCAUUUGGACUCUCCUAGCUCCCUCUAUGCCUAUUUAUACCCCCCNNNNNNNNNNNNNNNNNNNNNNNNNNNNNNNNNNNNNNNNNNNNNNNNNNNNNNNNNNNNNNNNNNNNNNNNNNNNNNNNNNNNNNNNNNNNNNNNNNNNNNNNNNNNNNNNNNNNNNNNNNNNNNNNNNNNNNNNNNNNNNNNNNNNNNNNNNNNNNNNNNNNNNNNNNNNNNNNNNNNNNNNNNNNNNNNNNNNNNNNNNNNNNNNNNNNNNNNNNNNNNNNNNNNNNNNNNNNNNNNNNNNNNNNNNNNNNNNNNNNNNNNNNNNNNNNNNNNNNNNNNNNNNNNNNNNNNNNNNNNNNNNNNNNNNNNNNNNNNNNNNNNNNNNNNNNNNNNNNNNNNNNNNNNNNNNNNNNNNNNNNNNNNNNNNNNNNNNNNNNNNNNNNNNNNNNNNNNNNNNNNNNNNNNNNNNNNNNNNNNNNNNNNNNNNNNNNNNNNNNNNNNNNNNNNNNNNNNNNNNNNNNNNNNNNNNNNNNNNNNNNNNNNNNNNNNNNNNNNNNNNNNNNNNNNNNNNNNNNNNNNNNNNNNNNNNNNNNNNNNNNNNNNNNNNNNNNNNNNNNNNNNNNNNNNNNNNNNNNNNNNNNNNNNNNNNNNNNNNNNNNNNNNNNNNNNNNNNNNNNNNNNNNNNNNNNNNNNNNNNNNNNNNNNNNNNNNNNNNNNNNNNNNNNNNNNNNNNNNNNNNNNNNNNNNNNNNNNNNNNNNNNNNNNNNNNNNNNNNNNNNNNNNNNNNNNNNNNNNNNNNNNNNNNNCACCCAUGCAUUUUUAGGAUGUGUGUGUUGUCUUGUGCAAGCUUGCGAAGAGAGGUACCUGAGAUUGCAGAUUUCAGGGACUUAGUGAUUUUCACUGUCUGGGAUAUUUUAGUUCAUGAUGCUAUAUGUCCAGCUUGUUUCCUAGUGAUCCGUGCCUCUUUUGAGGAUGAUCAGUAAGGGAGUUUUGAUAUCUAUGUCAUGCUCUAUCCAUCCAUGUCUUUGUUGGCAUAUGUGGAGUGCUCUAGGUUGACUCAAUCGAGCUCAACUUUUGCUUCGUUGUUAAUCUGGGCAGAUCGUCAACUUGUUUGCGAUUUUGCCGAUGCUACCGUUAGUGUUCCAUGCAUGCUAUGCAUUCGUUCUUGCCAUGUGUAGCUAGCACUUUGUGCCUUCUUGCUGGUUAUAUGCUUUCCUUGCCAUGACUUGCACCGUAGUGAGUGCAUCGAGCUCGUUUACAUGCCUUCGUGAGUUAAAUUUCAGCAUGUCUCAGUUUUCACUAAGUCUGAAGACUGAUUGUGUUCGAGCGAUGUUCGUGAGCUCGGUAGAGUAUUUUGUGAACCCUUUUGGCCCCAGGUCACUUUGGGUGUUUUGUUAAGCUUGUUGAGUAGCUCCAUGCCAUGUUCUUACUUGUCAUGUUCAGGUUUUCUAUCAUGUUGUUUUGCUGCUCCGAAGAGAGCAUCGUGAUCUGAAAUUUCAGACUAGUGUUAAUUUCACUAAGUCUGAAAUCUGUUUUGCAUUUGCGUUUUAGCCAUGCUUGUUUGAACCUCUUAAUGGAUGAAUUUGCCUAUGGCUCAGUGCUAGUGUUUUGUCAACCAUCUUGUGUACAUCACUGCCAUCUAUUUUGUUUUCAUGUUUGGUGGCUGUAGCAUAUUCAUUUCGUUGCAUUUAGAUGCCUACUUGCUGUAAAUCGCAGACCGGUGUCAUAUCUUAAAACGCUCACCAUUUCCAAACCGUAACUCCGAUUCCAAUGAUCUUUAUAUCGUUUUCAAGCGAUUUCAUCCCCUCUAUCCAGUGGCACACUUGGUUUUCCAAGUUGAUGCCAGGUUCAUGCAUUUCCUGUCAUAUCUUGCAUUUUGCAUCCCGCAUCGCAUCCCGCAUAACAUAUCGUCAUUUCAUCAUAUUGCUUGGUCUUGCCCGUGGUUGAUUGUAUCCUUGUUGCUUGUUUGUCUUGUUGGGCAGAGCCGGGAGACGAGUUCGCUACCGAGGAGCCCGUUGAGUUUGCUUGCGAGGAUCCAGUCAACUCUGACAACUGUGCAGGCAAGAUGAUCAUACCCUCGAAAUCACUACUAUCUUUGCUAUGCUAGUUUGCUCGCUCUUUUGCUUUGCCACUGCUACGAUGCCUACCUUUUGCUUGUCAGCCUCCCAAUUGCCAUGUUGAACCUCUAACCCACCUUUGUCCUAGCAAACCGUUGAUUGGCUAUGUUACCGCUUUGCUCAGCCCUUCUUAUAGCGUUGUUAGCUGCAGGUGAAGAUUGGAGCCGUUCCUUGUUGGAGCAUUUAUUUACUUGUUGGGAUAUCAUUAUAUUGCUAUGUUAUCUUAAUGCAUCUAUAUACUUGGUAAAGGGUGGAAGGCUCGGCCUCUCGCCUACUGUUUUGUUCCACUCUUGCCGCCCUAGUUUCCGUCAUAUCGGUGUUAUGUUCCCGGAUUGUGCGUCCCUUACGCGGUUGGGCUAUAAUGGGAACCCCUUGAUAGUUCGCCUUGAUUAAAGCUUUUCCAGCAAUGCCCAACAUUGGUUUUACCAUUUGCCACCUAGCCUCUUUUUCCCUUGGGUUUCCGGAGCCCGAAGGUCAUCUUUAUUUUAGCCCCCCCCCCACGGGCCAGUGCUCCUCUGAGUGUUGGUCCGAACUAGAGCCCUGUGCAGCGCCACCUCGGGGAAACUCGAGGUUUGGUUUUAGUUGUACGGAUUGCUCAUCUGAGUGUGCCCUGAGAAAGAGAUAUGUGCAGCUCCUAUCGGGAUUUGUCGGCACAUUCGGGCGGUGUUGAUGGACUUGUUUUAACCUGUCGAAUCAUCUUGUUGUACCAAGAUACCGAGUCUGAUCGGUGUGUUUUGGGUGGAGGUCUAUUCCUUCGUUGACCGUGAGAGCUUGUUAUGGGCUAAGUUGGGACCCCCCCUGCAGGGAUUGAUCUUUCGAAAGCCGUGCCCGCGGUUAUGGGCGGAUGGGAAUUUGUUAAUGUCCGGUUGUAGAUUACUUGAAUUAAACUUAAUUAAAAUGAAUCAACCGUGUGUGUUACCGUGAUGGCCCCUUCUCGGCGGAGUCCGGGAAGUGGACACGGUGUUGGAGUUAUGCUUGCGCAGGGUGUUCCUUUAGCUUCUCGCUCGUGCUUCGCCUUCUCUUCUCGCUCUCUUUUGCGUAUAAGAUAGCCACCACAUAUGCUAGUCGCCUGCUGCAGCUCCACAUAUUUUUGCCUUAUCCAUUCCUAUGAGCUUAAAUAGUUUUGAUCGCGUGGGUGUGAGAUUGCUGAGUCCCUGUGGCUCACAGAUACUACAACUCCAGAUGCAGGUCCAGGUGUUUCUGCUCCAGUUGACGAUUACGAGCUCCAGUGGGAGUUCGACGAGGACUCUCAGCGAUACUACGUAUCUUUUCCGGAUGAUCAGUAGUGGUGCCUAGUUGGGGUUAUCGAUUCAGGACCUUGUCGCAUGUUGGGUUCUUUUCUAUUUUGGCACCGUAGUCGGGCCAUGAGUGCUUGUUUGAUGGAUGUUAUUUAUGUACUCUGAUGUGACGUGGCGAGUGUAAGCCAACUAUGUUAUCUCCCCCUUUGAUUAUGUAUUACAUGGGAUGUUGUAAUGAUUGCCUGACUUGCGACAUUGCUUUCAAUGCGGUUAUGCCUCUAAGUCGUGCCUCGACACGUGGGAGCUGUAGCCGCAUCGAGGGCGUUACAAGUUGGUAAUCAGAGCCUUCCCCGACCUUAGGAGCCCCAUUGCUUGAUCGUUUUUAGCAGCCGAGUUGUGUCUAGAAAAAAUGUUUUGAGUCCUUAGGAAUUAUAUAUCGGAGAGCUUAGGAAUUCUUUUUACUUCCCAGUCUCCUCAUCGCUCUGGUAAGGCAUCCUGGCGUAGAGUUUUGACUCUUCUCUUCUCAAAUUUCACAAAAAAAAAUUUUAGGAUCACGCGAGUAUCUUGGUUUUGUUCCGAUGGUUUUGUGACGAGAACAUUGUUCUUGGUGCCUCCUGUCUUUAGGGGUUGUGGCAGUGUCCCGGGGAGUUGAGCUCCGAGGUGUUGUUGUCACAAUUUUAUCGUUGCAAUUCUGGUAUACUUGAGAUAUGUUCGCCGACAUCGAAAAUCUCUUUUAUGCAGUUCGUUGGUGAGAUAACCUCGACGCCACCCAGUACUGGGGCGGGAGUUCGGGAGUAUCGCCAUAACUUGUAUAACGGAUGCUUUUCGAAGGUUGAGGUAGAUGGUUUCCGAAGUUUUCCUGGUUAUGUGUUGAAGGAUGGAUACAGCUGGAUGUAGGAUUUGCUAGUUUGGGUGAGAUAUUGUGCUUCCCCUGUAUCCCCAACACCUGAUUGCAUAACCGGAAAGGUUCGGGAGUUUCAUAGGUGGGAAUUCUAGUAGCUCUAGUUCUUCUUCCACGGAUAUUGGUUUGAGAUUGGGAUUUCUUACCGAUUAUUCGUUCUUGAUCCGUACCUUGUUGAUUUAUUUCUCUACCUUAAUUCUUCGUGGCUUCUCAAUUUCUGGAUAUGUGAUCAUUUGAAGAGGAAUGCAUUCGUUCAUUUUGUUCGGAUGUGAAGACUAUAUGUUGCAAUUUUCAUUCCGUUGGAUUCAGCUUCUAUAUUGUUGGCUAUCAAUGUGCUAAUGAUGGUCAACCUGUUCAGGAUGGCUCCUCCAACGCGCACGACUCCGAAUCCUGAUCCGCCUCCACCUCCGCCUCCUCCGGAAGCAUGGCAAGCUGUGAUGGCCGCUACUAAUGCAAACACACAGUUGAUCAUGCAAAUUCUCCAAGAGCGCAAUCAAGGCAGUCAAGGGAAUCAGGGCCACAAUCAGCACCACUUUGCUACUCUGAACCAGUUCCUCGCAAAUGGCCCAAAGACGUUCAGCGGUUGUGUUGAGGCUACCGAUGCUGACGAUUGGCUAGUGGAUCUGGGCAAGCAUUUUGAAUGCAGCAACGUCAGGCCUGAAGAUUUCGUCAAGUUCGCUUCUUUCCAGCUCAAAGAUCAGGCUGCAGAGUGGUUCCAGCAGUACAAGGAUUCCAGAGGUGGACGUCUGAUCACUUGGGACGAUUUCCGUCAAGAUUUCCGCGCUCAUCACAUCCCUCAAAGUGUGGUUGAGAGUAAGCGUCAGGAAUUCCGCAAUCUGAAACAAGGCUCUUUGUCUGUCUAUGACUACAACAAGUUGUUCCAGAAGCUCGCCCGUUUUGCCAAGCAGGAUGUUCCUGAUGAGAAGAGCAUGAUCUAUCAGUUCAGGGGUGGUCUUCGUGAGGAAAUUCAGCUCGCUCUUGUCCUCUUUGAGCCGUUGAGAUACGAUGAGUUCUACAACAUGGCACUGAAGCAAGAGGCUGCUCAGAUGAGAUGUGAUGCUUCCAGGAAGCAUGCCAGAGAUGUUACUCCUUCUUCCUCUACUCAAGUGGUCAAGCAGCAGAAGUAUUGGCUUCCUCCUCCUCCGUUCCGUCAGCCGUAUCAGCAGAAGAGCAAAGGUGGCAAUGGUUUCUCCCACCCACCCAACCCAGGCUUUCAGAACAAGGCUUCGUCUCAAGCUCCAAGAUCGAGUGCUCCGUAUCACCGUCCGCUUUCAGAGGUCACGUGCAACAAGUGCCAACAGAAGGGUCACUAUGCCAACAAGUGUACCAACCAGAGGCGUCUUCCUCCUCCUCCUCCUGUCAGAUCGGCAAGUACAGCGGUGGUCAAGCACAAUCCCAAGCACGCCAAGGUCAAUAUGGUGAAUGCAGCUCAGGCAGAGGAUUCUUCAGAUGUGAUCAUGGGUAACCUUCCUGUUAAUGAUAUUCCUGCAAAAGUUCUUUUUGACACUGGUGCAUCGCAUUGUUUCAUCUCGAGACCUUUUGCUUCCAAGCAUGAUUUUGUUACUCAAAUGUUGCCGAGACCAUUGUCUGUUGACUCUCCGGCCAGCCUCUUGACAUCUCGAGUGUGUGUUCCGGAUGUUACAAUCACUUUGGGCGACUGCAAGUUUCUCUCUUCUCCGGUGGUUCUUGGCAAUUCUGAUAUCGAUCUUAUUCUCGGGAUGGACUGGCUCUCUAAGCAUAAAGCUCAGCUUGAUUGUGCAGCCAGGCAGAUUCAACUGACGCAUUCGUCUGAGGAGGUCAUUGUCUUUGCCGCUCGGGAUAAUACCAUCCGGUUGUUUUCUCUCAAUGAGAAGGGUGAAUUGGAUGCUAUUUCGCAGAUUCCGGUUGUUUGCGAAUAUCAAGACGUCUUUCCAGAAGAACUUCCAGGGAUGCCUCCAAACCGGCCGGUUGAAUUCGUUAUUGAACUUGAGCCCGGUACGGAACCUGUGUGCAAACGUCCUUACAAGCUCGGCCCCGAAGAGUUGAAGGAGUUGAAGAAACAACUCGAUGAGCAAGAAAGAUUGGGUCUCAUUCGGCCUAGUACUUCUCCGUGGGGUUGUGGUGUUCUUUUUGUGAAGAAGAAGGAUGGAUCGAGUCGACUUUGUGUUGAUUACCGUCCAGUAAACAAGAAGACCAUCAAGAACAAAUACCCACUUCCCAACAUCAAUGAGUUGUUCGAACAACUCAAGGGUGCUCAAGUAUUCUCCAAGCUUGAUCUCCGUAUGGGUUAUCAUCAGAUUCGUAUUCGUGAGCAAGAUAUUCCCAAGACGGCGUUCAGAACAAGCUUUGGUUCAUAUGAAUACACCGUCAUGUCUUUUGGCCUCGCCAACGCUCCUCCGACGUUCUCUCGCAUGAUGAACUUCAUCUUCAACCCCUACACCAAUGAAUUCGUUUUGGUCUAUCUCGACGACAUUCUGGUUUUCUCGAAGAACAAGAAAGAUCAUGCCAGGCACUUGCGUUUGGUUCUUGACAAGCUCAGAGAACAUCAGUUCUACGCCAAGUUUUCCAAGUGUGAAUUUUGGCUCGAUGAAGUUCUUUAUCUUGGUCAUAUCAUCUCUGCCAAGGGCAUUUCCGUGAAUCCUGAGAAGGUGACUGCAAUUGUGAAUUGGGAACCUCCUCAGAACGUAAAGCAACUCCGCAGUUUCCUCGGUCUCGCAAGCUAUUGCAGAAGAUUCGUUGAAAACUUUUCUAAGAUCGCCAAGCCUCUCUCAAAUCUUCUUCAGAAGCACGUCAAGUACGUUUGGUCUCCGGAGUGUGAUAUUGCUUUCAACACUUUGAAAGAGAAAUUGAUCACUGCUCCAGUUCUGACUCCACCUGAUGAAACCAAGCCGUACGAGGUCUUUUGUGAUGCCUCUCUCCAAGGUCUCGGUGUUGUACUGAUGCAAGAGAAGAAAGUUGUUGCUUAUACCUCUCGCCAGUUGAAACCUAAUGAGAAGAACUACCCCACUCAUGAUCUCGAGUUGGCGGCAGUUGUGCACGCUUUGUUGACUUGGAGACAUCUUCUAUUGGGAAGGAAAGUGGAUAUUUUCACUGAUCACAAGAGUCUCAAGUACAUCUUCACUCAGCCUAAUCUCAACCUCAGGCAGACUCGAUGGGUCGAAAUGAUUCAAGAGUACAAUCCGAGUAUCGAGUAUACUCCAGGCAAGGCCAAUGUGAUUGCUGACGCUUUGAGCAGGAAAGCAUAUUGCAACAGUCUGAUUCUCAAGCCUUAUCAACCCGAGCUUUGUGAAGCUUUCCGCAAACUUAAUCUGCAAGUUGUUCCUCAAGGUUUCCUCGCCAACCUUCAAGUCUCUCCUACCUUAGAAGACCAGAUUCGCCAAGCCCAACUUCUUGAUGAUAUGGUGAAAAAGGUGAAGAUUGGUAUUGCAAAGAGUCAGUCCAAGUACAAGUGCUUCCGACUUGAUGACAAGGCCACUCUCUUCUUCGAGGAUCGAAUUGUUGUGCCCAAAGGUGAACUCCGUAAGGUGAUCAUGAACGAGGCUCACAACUCUCUCCUCUCCAUCCACCCUGGUAGUACGAAGAUGUAUCAGGAUCUCAAGCAAACUUAUUGGUGGACUCGAAUGAAGCGCGAGAUCGCUCAAUUCGUGAACGAAUGUGAUGUCUGCAGAAGAGUGAAGGCAGAACACCAAAGGCCAGCUGGUCUCCUCCAACCUCUUGCCAUUCCAGAAUGGAAGUUUGACCACAUUGAAAUGGACUUCGUGACUGGGUUUCCAAAGUCCAAGCGUGGCAAUGAUGCUAUAUUUGUUGUCAUCGACAAGCUCACCAAAGUGGCUCAUUUUUUGCCUAUCAAAGAGUCAAUCACUGCAGCUCAAUUGGCGGAACUCUAUACCUCUCGCAUUAUCUCUCUGCACGGUAUUCCUCAAGUGAUAUCUUCAGACCGUGGCAGCAUCUUUACCUCCAAGUUUUGGGAUUCUUUUCAGAAAGCCAUGGGCACCAACAUCCGCUUCAGCACAGCUUUCCAUCCUCAAACAAGCGGUCAAGUCGAGCGUGUCAACCAAAUUCUUGAAGAUAUGCUCAGGGCUUGUGUGAUCUCCUUCGGCAUGAAGUGGGAGGAUUGUCUUCCUUAUGCUGAAUUCUCAUACAACAACAGCUUUCAAGCAAGUUCGGGCAAGGCCCCCUUUGAAAUUCUGUAUGGCAGGAAGUGCCGUACCCCUCUCAACUGGUCUGAAACCGGUGAACGUCAGCUGCUGGGUAAUGACUUAAUCACAGAAGCAGAAGAAAUGUGCAAAGUCAUUCGUGAUAACCUCAAAGCAGCCCAGUCCCGCCAGAAGUGCUACUAUGAUAGUAAGCACCGUGAAUUGGCUUUCGAGAUCGGAGAUCAUGUUUACCUCCGCGUCUCUCCCAUGAAAGGUACUCGUCGCUUCGGUAUCAAAGGGAAGCUUGCCCCUAGAUACGUGGGACCUUUCAAGAUUGUCAGCAAGAGAGGCAACCUUGCCUAUCAACUCGAGCUUCCUUCAAACUUUGCAAAUGUUCAUGAUGUGUUCCAUGUCUCUCAGCUUCAAAAGUGCUUCAAGACUCCUGACCGCACCGUCAACUUCGAGGACAUUGAGCUCCAAGAAGAUCUCUCCUAUCGUGAGCACCCAGUUGCUAUUCUUGAAGAGACUGAACGCAAGACUCGCAACAAGUCAAUCAAAUUUCUCAAAGUCAAGUGGUCACACCAUUCCGACCGUGAAGCUACCUGGGAACGUGAGGAUCACCUCCGUUCUAAGUACCCGGAGUUCUUUCAGUCCUAGAUCUCGGGACGAGAUCUUUUCGUAGUGGUGGAGUGUUGUAACGCCCCAGAUAUACUUUCCAUAUUUGUAUCCAACUCUUGCCGUCUCCGGCGCUAAGUUAUAUUUAUUUCUCGGGUUCGGGUCUUUGUCUCCGUGUGUUGUUUUCGUUUUCAUGCAUUUCAUACCAUGUCAUCUCGUGCAUUGCAUUUGCAUACAUGUUCAUCUCAUGCAUUCGAGCAUUUUCCCCGUUGUCCGUUUUGCAUUCCGGCGCUUCGUUCUCCUCCGGUGGUCAUUUCUAGUUUUCUUUCGUGUUUGGGAAUUAAACAUUUCCGGAUUGGACCGAGACUUGCCAAGCGGCCUUGGUUUACUACCGGUAGACCGCCUGUCAAGUUUCGGGUCAUUUGGACUUCGUUUGAUACUCCAACGGUUAACCGAGGGACCGNNNNNNNNNNNNNNNNNNNNNNNNNNNNNNNNNNNNNNNNNNNNNNNNNNNNNNNNNNNNNNNNNNNNNNNNNNNNNNNNNNNNNNNNNNNNNNNNNNNNNNNNNNNNNNNNNNNNNNNNNNNNNNNNNNNNNNNNNNNNNNNNNNNNNNNNNNNNNNNNNNNNNNNNNNNNNNNNNNNNNNNNNNNNNNNNNNNNNNNNNNNNNNNNNNNNNNNNNNNNNNNNNNNNNNNNNNNNNNNNNNNNNNNNNNNNNNNNNNNNNNNNNNNNNNNNNNNNNNNNNNNNNNNNNNNNNNNNNNNNNNNNNNNNNNNNNNNNNNNNNNNNNNNNNNNNNNNNNNNNNNNNNNNNNNNNNNNNNNNNNNNNNNNNNNNNNNNNNNNNNNNNNNNNNNNNNNNNNNNNNNNNNNNNNNNNNNNNNNNNNNNNNNNNNNNNNNNNNNNNNNNNNNNNNNNNNNNNNNNNNNNNNNNNNNNNNNNNNNNNNNNNNNNNNNNNNNNNNNNNNNNNNNNNNNNNNNNNNNNNNNNNNNNNNNNNNNNNNNNNNNNNNNNNNNNNNNNNNNNNNNNNNNNNNNNNNNNNNNNNNNNNNNNNNNNNNNNNNNNNNNNNNNNNNNNNNNNNNNNNNNNNNNNNNNNNNNNNNNNNNNNNNNNNNNNNNNNNNNNNNNNNNNNNNNNNNNNNNNNNNNNNNNNNNNNNNNNNNNNNNNNNNNNNNNNNNNNNNNNNNNNNNNNNNNNNNNNNNNNNNNNNNNNNNNNNNNNNNNNNNNNNNNNNNNNNNNNNNNNNNNNNNNNNNNNNNNNNNNNNNNNNNNNNNNNNNNNNNNNNNNNNNNNNNNNNNNNNNNNNNNNNNNNNNNNNNNNNNNNNNNNNNNNNNNNNNNNNNNNNNNNNNNNNNNNNNNNNNNNNNNNNNNNNNNNNNNNNNNNNNNNNNNNNNNNNNNNNNNNNNNNNNNNNNNNNNNNNNNNNNNNNNNNNNNNNNNNNNNNNNNNNNNNNNNNNNNNNNNNNNNNNNNNNNNNNNNNNNNNNNNNNNNNNNNNNNNNNNNNNNNNNNNNNNNNNNNNNNNNNNNNNNNNNNNNNNNNNNNNNNNNNNNNNNNNNNNNNNNNNNNNNNNNNNNNNNNNNNNNNNNNNNNNNNNNNNNNNNNNNNNNNNNNNNNNNNNNNNNNNNNNNNNNNNNNNNNNNNNNNNNNNNNNNNNNNNNNNNNNNNNNNNNNNNNNNNNNNNNNNNNNNNNNNNNNNNNNNNNNNNNNNNNNNNNNNNNNNNNNNNNNNNNNNNNNNNNNNNNNNNNNNNNNNNNNNNNNNNNNNNNNNNNNNNNNNNNNNNNNNNNNNNNNNNNNNNNNNNNNNNNNNNNNNNNNNNNNNNNNNNNNNNNNNNNNNNNNNNNNNNNNNNNNNNNNNNNNNNNNNNNNNNNNNNNNNNNNNNNNNNNNNNNNNNNNNNNNNNNNNNNNNNNNNNNNNNNNNNNNNNNNNNNNNNNNNNNNNNNNNNNNNNNNNNNNNNNNNNNNNNNNNNNNNNNNNNNNNNNNNNNNNNNNNNNNNNNNNNNNNNNNNNNNNNNNNNNNNNNNNNNNNNNNNNNNNNNNNNNNNNNNNNNNNNNNNNNNNNNNNNNNNNNNNNNNNNNNNNNNNNNNNNNNNNNNNNNNNNNNNNNNNNNNNNNNNNNNNNNNNNNNNNNNNNNNNNNNNNNNNNNNNNNNNNNNNNNNNNNNNNNNNNNNNNNNNNNNNNNNNNNNNNNNNNNNNNNNNNNNNNNNNNNNNNNNNNNNNNNNNNNNNNNNNNNNNNNNNNNNNNNNNNNNNNNNNNNNNNNNNNNNNNNNNNNNNNNNNNNNNNNNNNNNNNNNNNNNNNNNNNNNNNNNNNNNNNNNNNNNNNNNNNNNNNNNNNNNNNNNNNNNNNNNNNNNNNNNNNNNNNNNNNNNNNNNNNNNNNNNNNNNNNNNNNNNNNNNNNNNNNNNNNNNNNNNNNNNNNNNNNNNNNNNNNNNNNNNNNNNNNNNNNNNNNNNNNNNNNNNNNNNNNNNNNNNNNNNNNNNNNNNNNNNNNNNNNNNNNNNNNNNNNNNNNNNNNNNNNNNNNNNNNNNNNNNNNNNNNNNNNNNNNNNNNNNNNNNNNNNNNNNNNNNNNNNNNNNNNNNNNNNNNNNNNNNNNNNNNNNNNNNNNNNNNNNNNNNNNNNNNNNNNNNNNNNNNNNNNNNNNNNNNNNNNNNNNNNNNNNNNNNNNNNNNNNNNNNNNNNNNNNNNNNNNNNNNNNNNNNNNNNNNNNNNNNNNNNNNNNNNNNNNNNNNNNNNNNNNNNNNNNNNNNNNNNNNNNNNNNNNNNNNNNNNNNNNNNNNNNNNNNNNNNNNNNNNNNNNNNNNNNNNNNNNNNNNNNNNNNNNNNNNNNNNNNNNNNNNNNNNNNNNNNNNNNNNNNNNNNNNNNNNNNNNNNNNNNNNNNNNNNNNNNNNNNNNNNNNNNNNNNNNNNNGAUGCCUACCUUUUGCUUGUCAGCCUCCCAAUUGCCAUGUUGAACCUCUAACCCACCUUUGUCCUAGCAAACCGUUGAUUGGCUAUGUUACCGCUUUGCUCAGCCCUUCUUAUAGCGUUGUUAGCUGCAGGUGAAGAUUGGAGCCGUUCCUUGUUGGAGCAUUUAUUUACUUGUUGGGAUAUCAUUAUAUUGCUAUGUUAUCUUAAUGCAUCUAUAUACUUGGUAAAGGGUGGAAGGCUCGGCCUCUCGCCUAGUGUUUUGUUCCACUCUUGCCGCCCUAGUUUCCGUCAUAUCGGUGUUAUGUUCCCGGAUUGUGCGUCCCUUACGCGGUUGGGCUAUAAUGGGAACCCCUUGAUAGUUCGCCUUGAUUAAAGCUUUUCCAGCAAUGCCCAACAUUGGUUUUACCAUUUGCCACCUAGCCUCUUUUUCCCUUGGGUUUCCGGAGCCCUAAGGUCAUCUUUAUUUUAGCCCCCCCCCCACGGGCCAGUGCUCCUCUGAGUGUUGGUCCGAACUAGAGCCCUGUGCAGCGCCACCUCGGGGAAACUCGAGGUUUGGUUUUAGUUGUACGGAUUGCUCAUCUGAGUGUGCCCUGAGAAAGAGAUAUGUGCAGCUCCUAUCGGGAUUUGUCGGCACAUUCGGGCGGUGUUGCUGGACUUGUUUUAACCUGUCGAAUCAUCUUGUUGUACCAAGAUACCGAGUCUGAUCGGUGUGUCUUGGGUGGAGGUCUAUUCCUUCGUUGACCGUGAGAGCUUGUUAUGGGCUAAGUUGGGACCCCCCCUGCAGGGAUUGAUCUUUCGAAAGCCGUGCCCGCGGUUAUGGGCGGAUGGGAAUUUGUUAAUGUCUGGUUGUAGAUUACUUGAAUUAAACUUAAUUAAAAUGAAUCAACCGUGUGUGUUACCGUGAUGGCCCCUUCUCGGCGGAGUCCGGGAAGUGGACACGGUGUUGGAGUUAUGCUUGCGCAGGGUGUUCCUUUAGCUUCUCGCUCGUGCUUCGCCUUCUCUUCUCGCUCUCUUUUGCGUAUAAGAUAGCCACCACAUAUGCUAGUCGCCUGCUGCAGCUCCACAUAUUUUUGCCUUAUCCAUUCCUAUGAGCUUAAAUAGUUUUGAUCGCGUGGGUGUGAGAUUGCUGAGUCCCUGUGGCUCACAGAUACUACAACUCCAGAUGCAGGUCCAGGUGUUUCUGCUCCAGUUGACGAUUACGAGCUCCAGUGGGAGUUCGACGAGGACUCUCAGCGAUACUACGUAUCUUUUCCGGAUGAUCAGUAGUGGUGCCUAGUUGGGGUUAUCGAUUCAGGACCUUGUCGCAUGUUGGGUUCUUUUCUAUUUUGGCGCCGUAGUCGGGCCAUGAGUGCUUGUUUGAUGGAUGUUAUUUAUGUACUCUGAUGUGACGUGGCGAGUGUAAGCCAACUAUGUUAUCUCCCCCUUUGAUUAUGUAUUACAUGGGAUGUUGUAAUGAUUGCCUGACUUGCGACAUUGCUUUCAAUGCGGUUAUGCCUCUAAGUCGUGCCUCGACACGUGGGAGCUAUAGCCGCAUCGAGGGCGUUACAGGGAAGCAGGGAUUUGUAGAGGUGCCAGAACUCGAUUUUAAAAUAGAGAUUGAAUAAUAUUUUGAAUGGCAUACUUUCGCUGUCAACGCAACAACUAUGAGAGUGCUGUAUCUUCCAUACUACAUGCAUUAUUGGCAGUUCCCAAACAGAAUGAUAAAGAUUUAUACUUCCCCAACCACCAACAAGCAUCAAUCCAUGGCUUUCUCGAAACAACGAGUGCCUCCAACAUACAACAGCCCUGGGGGAGUUUUGUUUAAUUAUUUUGAUUUGCUUUGAUCUUUUUGGAUCAUGGGACUGGGCAUCCCGGUUACUGGCCCUUUCUCGUGAAUGACGAGCGGAGUCCACUCCUUGUGAGAAUAACCCACCUAGCAUGGAAGAUGUAGGCAGCCCUAGUUGUAACAUGAGCUGCUCGAGCAUACAAAACAGAAUUUCAUUUGAAGGUUUGGAGUUUGGCACAUACAAAUUUACUUGGAACGGCAGGUAAAUACCGCAUAUAGGAAGGUAUAGUGGACUCAUAUGGAACAACUUUGGGGUUUAAGGAGUUUGGAUGCACAAGCAGUAUUCCCGCUUAGUACAGGUGACGGCUAGCAAAAGACUGGUGAGGGAGUCCUGGACUAGGGGGUGUCCGGAUAGCCGAACUAUCAUCAUCGGCCGGACUCCAAGACUAUGAAGAUACAAGAUUGAAGACUUCGUCCCGUGUCCGGAUGGGACUUUCCUUGGCGUGGAAGGCAAGCUUGGCAAUAUGGAUAUGUAGAUCUCCUACCAUUGUAACCAACUCUGUGUAACCCUAGCCCUCUCCGAUGUCUAUAUAAACCGGAGGGUUUUAGUCCAUAGGACGAACAACAAUCAUACCAUAGGCUAGCUUCUAGGGUUUAGCCUCCUUGAUCUCGUGGUAGAUCCACUCUUGUACUACCCAUAUCAUCAAUAUCAAUCAAGCAGGAGUAGGGUUUUACCUCCAUCGAGAGGGCCCGAACCUGGGUAAAAACAUCGUGUCCCUUGUCUCCUGUUACCAUCCGCCUAGAUGCACAGUUCGGGACCCCCUACCCGAGAUCCGCCGGUUUUGACACCGACAUUGGUGCUUUCAUUGAGAGUUACUCUGUGUCGUCACCGAUAGGCUUGAUGGCUCCUUCGAUCAUCAACAACAACGCGGUCCAGGGUGAGACUUUCCUCCCCGGACAGAUCUUCGUAUUCGGCAGCUUCGCACUGCGGGCCAAUUCGCUUGGCCAUCUGGAGCAGACUGGAAGCUACGUCCCUGGCCAUCAGGUCAGAUUUGGAAGUCUAAACUUCACGACCGACAUCCGCGGAGACUUGAUCUUCGAUGGAUUCGAGCCACAGCCGAGCGCGCCGCACUGUCACGAUGGGCACGAUUUAGCUCUGCUGCCGGAUAGUGUCCUAGAGGCCGCACAUGAGUCCGCUCCGAUCCCUAAUUCGGAGCCGACUGCGCAGAUCGAGGAUGGGUGGCUAGACACCGCCUCGGGGGCUGCAACCUCUACGGCGAUAGAGCCGAAUACUGACCUUGUCCCUUGUGAAGCUCGUGACUCCGAGGUGCCGGACUCCUCGCCGGACUCUGAACCUCCCGCGCCCCCUCUAAUCGAAUCCGAUUGGGCGCCGAUCAUGGAGUUCACCGAUGCGGACAUCUUUCAACACUCACCUUUCGGCGACAUCCUGAAUUCGCUAAGGUAUCUCUCGUUAUCAGGAGAGCCCUGGCCGGACUGCGGUCAGGACGGUUGGGAUGCGGACGACGAAGAAAUUCAAAGCCCACCCACCACCCACUUUGUAGCCACUGUCGACGAUCUAACCGACAUGCUAGACUACGACUCCGAAGACAUCGACGGUAUGGACGACGAUGCCGGAGACGACCAAGAACCAGCGCCUAUGGGGCACUGGAAGACCACCUCAUCAUACGACAUAUACAUGGUGGACAUCCCAAAGGAUGGGAAUGGCGAGGAUGCAGCGGAAGAAGACUCCUCCAAGAAACAGCCCAAGCGCCGGCGUCAGCGGCGCCGCUCUAAAUCCCGCCACAGCAGGAAUGGAGAUUCUGGCACCAGAGAUAAUAACACCCUAGAGAGUGCCGAAGACAACCCCCUCCAGCAAGAUUCAGCACAGGAGGACGGAGAAGCCAGCCCUCAUGAGAGAGCGGCAGACUAUGAGGUAGAGGAUGAUAAUUACAUGCCUCCCUCCGGAGACGAGGCAAGCCUUGACGACGACGAAUUCGUCGUGCCUGCGGAUCCCGUCGAACAAGAGCAUUUUAAACGCAGGCUUAUGGCCACGGCAAACAACCUCAAGAAAAAGUAGCAACAGCUUAAAGCUGAUCAAGAUCUGCUAGCCGACAGAUGGACUGAAGUCCUUGCGGCCGAAGAGCAUGAACUCGAACGCCCCUCCAAAAGCUACCCCAAACGCAAGUUGCUCCCCCGAUUAGAGGAGGAGGCAUACAAACCUGCAUCACCAGCGCACAAUACGGCUGACCGACCACCUCGUGGCCAUGACAGAGAGGCCUCUAGGCCCUUCACCAAAACCGUACCCCGGCACCGCUCGAAAAGUAUGAAGCCACGGGGGAAUGCACCGGACUUGCGAAACAUAUUGGAGGAUAAGGCAAGACAAUCAAGAUCGAUCUACGGAUCGCGUGGGCGCCCCAUAAUUCGCGACGAUGACCGUCGCGCCGGAUACAGCAACUCCGGCCGGGCUGAACACACUAGACAAAGCUCGCUUGAGCUACGUUGUGAUAUAGACUAAUAUAGAGGCGCUGCACACCCACUAUGCUUCACAGAUGAAGUAAUGGAUCAUCAAAUCCCCGAAGGAUUUAAACCUGUGAAUAUUUAAUCCUACGAUGGCACAACAGACCCCGCGGUUUGGAUCGAAGACUAUCUCCUUCAUAUCCACAUGGCCCGCGGCGAUGAUCUUCACGCCAUCAAAUACCUCCCACUCAAGCUUAAAGGACCAGCUCGGCAUUGGCUUAACCGGUUGCUAGCAGAAUCAAUUAGGUGUUGGGAGGACCUGGAAGCCGCAUUCUUGACAACUUCCAGGGCACAUAUGUGCGACCACCAGACGCCGAUGACCUAAGCCACAUAAUUCAGCAGUCAGAUGAAUCGGCCAGACAAUUCUGGACACGGUUCUUAACGAAGAAAAAUCAAAUCGUCGACUGUCCGGAUGCAGAGGCCCUUGCAGCCUUCAAACAUAACAUCCGCGACAAGUGGCUUGCCCGGCACCUAGGACAGGAAAAGCCGAAAUCCAUGGCAGCCCUCACAUCACUCAUGACCCGCUUCUGCACGGGAGAGGACAGCUGGCUAGCCCGCAGUAACAACCUCAGCAAAAAUUCUAGCAGUCCGGAUAACAAGGACCGCAAUGGCAGGUCGCGUCGCAACAAAAACAAACACCGCGUUAACGGUGAUAACACUGAGGAUACGGCAGUUAACGCCGGAUUCAGAGGCUCCAAACCCGGUCAGCGGAAAAAGCCAUUCAAAAGAACUACUCCGGGUCCGUCCAAUUUGGACCGAAUACUCGACCGCUCGUGCCAGAUACACGGCACCCCCAAAAAGCCAGCUAAUCACACCAACAGGGAUUGUUGGGUAUUCAAGCAGGCAGGCAAGUUAAUUGCCGAAAACAAUGACAAGGGGCUGCAUAGCGAUGACGAGGAAGAGACCCGACCGCCGAACAAUAGAGGACAGAAAGGUUCCCCCCCACAAGUGCAGAUGGUGAACAUGAUAUACGCAACCCACAUACCCAAAAGGGAGCGGAAGCGUGCACUUAGGGACGUAUAUGCGAUGGAGCCAGUCGCCCCGAAGUUCAACCCAUGGUCCUCCUGCCCGAUCACUUUUGAUCGAAGGGACCACCCCACCAGUAUCCGCCAUGGCGGAUUCGCCGCAUUGGUUUUAGACCCAAUCGUCGAUGGAUUUCACCUCACCAGAGUCCUGAUGGACGGCGGCAGCAGCCUGAACCUGCUUUAUUAGGAUACAGUGCGCAAGAUGGGCAUAGACCCCUCAAGGAUUAAACCCACAAAGACGACCUUCAAAGGCGUCAUACCAAGUGUAGAGGCCAAUUGUAUAGGCUCAGUCACACUGGAAGUGGUCUUCGGAUCCCUGGAUAACUUCCGAAGCGAGGAGUUAAUCUUUGACAUAGUCCCGUUCCGCAGCGGCUAUCAUGCUCUGCUUGGACGGACCGCGUUUGCAAAGUUCAACGCGGUGCCGCAUUACGCAUACCUCAAGCUCAAGAUGCCAGGCCCUCGAGGAGUCAUCACGGUCAACGGAAACACUGAACGCUCCCUCCAAACGGAGGAACACACAGCGGCUCUCGCGGCAGAAGUACAGAGCAGCCUCUUAAGGCAAUUUUCGAGUCCGGCCGUUAAGCGACCGGACACGGCCAAACGCGCCCGGAGUAACCUACAACAAGACCACCUGGCACGUUCCGAGCACGCGUAGCAAUGCGGCCCCAACCUCAGCCCUUGCAAAAUUGCAAGACUGGUCCUUCAUGUACAUCAUUACGCCCUGGAGAUACCAUGGGCAUAGGGGGAGGGGCACGCCCACAACAGGCCCAGAGUGCGGCUCAACCCCACCAGGGGCUCCCAAGUGUGUCAUUCUAUUUCCUUUUUCUUUUUUCUUACACACAGGACUCUGUUCACCAGAGGCCCUGCCCGGCAGUAGACCUGCCGAACUCACGAUGCAACAGCCAGGGAAGGAGAAAGGCUACAAAGAGUAUCCAGGUGGUCUCCAUUACGAGCAUUAAAUCUGUUUUAUACACCAUUUCGCAGCCUACCCCUGGAGGGGGACAUGUUUAAUAGUCCAAUCCCUUGCUUACCGCACUAUUUGUAUCGUUCUGCAUUCAUGGCAAUAUUUCUUGAAUAAACAAUGCAUCGCUUUUUGCUUAUAAUUGCAUUUCUUUCUUAUACAUAUGAUCAUUUAUGACAUGUUGCAUCCGUACACUUUGGUACGGCUAAAUACACCAGGGGCUUAAGUUCCCCACAUUAUGGUGUGAUAAGUCCGAACACUUUCACAAGUGCGGCACCCCAAACUUAUAGCAUUAUAUGCAUCGGCUCCGAAUCAUGUCUUGGGUCAAUAGUUGGGUUUGCCCGGCUCCCAUGUUUUGGUACCUUACGUUCUGUUGUAUCGGGUAAGGUAGCACUGGGAGAACCACUGCGAUUGCGCCCCAGUUGAGCUGGGCGAGCGCCUCAGUGGAGAAAGCUAAAACUGACCGUCAUGAUAAGGCGAGAGCUGGUCGCUGUUCGAGAGGUUUUUUCGAGUCCCUAAAGACUUAUGCCGCUUAGAGCGAGGAACCGGCUUUGUCCGGCCCAGGCGUGGAUAGCGCCCCGAACUCGGUCUUCCGAACACUAGGGGCUUCGCCGAAAUUUAAAAUUAUAGAAUUCUAUGGCUAAGUGAGAGUGUUCAAGCAUUAUAAGUCUGGUUGCCUCGUUCGUUGUGUUGAGAGCCUCCCUAGAUGGACCCAAAAAUGGGAACAAGAGCGCUCAAGUUUAUCCCGAACACCCCAGCACUCGUGGCAUGGGGGCUGAAGCCGACGACUUGACAUCUCUUAGAUUUCAUAAACGGCCGCACAGAAGGUAAUAUUUUAAAUCAACAAGCGUUGCUUAGCGCAUAUGAACAAAGUUUUCAGCGCACAGGAUAACAAAAUGCGAGUCUACUCAAAUAUUACAUCUUUGGAGCACUCACCCGCAAUCAUGCGGGCACCCUUCAGGACACUCUUAUAAUACAUUUCGGGCGUGCGAUACUCCUUGCCCGUCGGUGGCGCGUCCGUCACAAGCUUCUCAGCGUCCAUCCUGCCCCAGUGCACCUUUGCACGGGCAAGGGCCCGACGGGCACCUUCAAUGCAGGCAGAGUGCUUGACGACUUCAACCCAGGGACACGCAUCCACCAGCCGCCGCACCAGGCCAAAGUAGCUCCCAGGCAUGGCCUCCUUGGGCCACAGCCAAACUAUGAGGCCCUUCAUGGCCUGUUUGGCCACCUUGUGGAGCUCGACCAGCUACUUCAGCUGGUCGCUGAGGGGCACCGGAUGUCCGGCCUCAGCAUACUGAGACCAGAAGACCUUCUCUGUCGAGCUCCCCUCCUCGGCCCGGUAGAAUGCGGCAGCAUCGGACACGCUGCGGGGCAGAUCUGCGAACGCUCCUGGAGAGCUCCGAAUUCGGGUAAGUAAUAGGUAAUUCACAUUCACAUGCUUGCUUUGCAUGAAAAAUGCCUUACCCGACGCUAUCUUCUUCAACGCCUCGAUUUCCUGGAGGGCCUUGUGGGCUUCGGCCUUAGCGGCUUUGGCACUCUCAAGAGCCGAUGCAAGCUCGGACUCUCGAGUCUUUGAGUCACGCUCCAAACUCUCAUGCUUCUCCACGAGUGCCUGGAGCUCUUGCUGCACCUCCGCCACCCGCGCCUCCUGCUUCUCUCGCUCGGCUCGCUCCGCGGCCGCAUUGCGUUCAGCCGCGGACACCGCCUCCUUCAGGGUCGCCACCUCGUUUGUGGCCCCUGGAGUACCCAUGUUAUCCUUGUUAUUUCUCUUGCAACCAAAUCCUUUUCUGUAAGGUACAACUUUAAUACGGUGUUACUCACCUUCCUUGUCCUCGAGCUGCUUGUUGCCACAGCUGAGCUCGCUCUCGGACCGCUCGAGGCUCUGCUUCAAAGCAUUGACCUCCACAGUCAGUGCGGCAGAGGUCAGCAGUGCAGCCUGCAAUCCCAUAUUGACAUAUUUUUUAGACUCCUGCGUAUAUCUUUUUAGAUCCUCAGUCUAGCUUUUCUUUCCGAACACCGAACCGAGCAUCAGGGGCUACUGUCUAUGCGGUAUUAUAUUACACAUCUUAAAAUUCUUACCUCAAAGCCUAUUAGAAGGCUGCUGCAGGCUUCGGUCAGCCCGCUCUUGGCGAGCUGGACCUUCUGAAUCACCGCACUCAUGACAGUGCGGUGUUCUUCUUCGAUGGAAGCGCCGUUGAGCGCCUCUAGCAAGUUAUCCGGCGCCUCCGGUUGGACGGAGUCCGCCGGCGUCACAGUCUUGCCCUUCUUACGAAGGGGCCGCUCGCCGGACUCCGAACCACUGCAGGUUCCGAUGCGGAGUCCGGUGCAAAGUCCGGGAGGUUGCCCUGCGGCACCUCCGGGGCCUCCUCCUCCUGGCGGGUCCCUUCCUUGGAUCCCACCUCGACGUCGUCAGCGUCACGAGGGGUGGAGGCGGUCGGAAGAGAAUCCAUAUCCGACGUGCCCAAGGACCCGCUCGACGAAGCGGGAAGAUCGUCCUUGGCCGGACUACAGGUUGUAUGCGGCAUUAGAAAGACACCGCGUGGCAAAAAGAAAAAACUAUAAAUCAUCCAAGAGUCCGGAUACUUACGAUCUUGCCAGGGGCUUGGCCCUUGAGGGCCACUCCUCGUCGUCAUCGCCGACGCUGGCGGAGCAGUCCGGGGGAAGGGUCCUUCUCUUCUUGGACCCUUCGGCCUCCCUCGUUGGGGAGGCCUUCCUCUUCUUCUCUCCCCCCGCUGGGGGAGAGGCCUCUUUCUUCUCCUCCUCGUCCUCGUGGGAGGAGUCCGCCUCGGAGUCAUCGGACGAUGAGUCCAAUACCACCUGACGUCGGGAACUCCUUCGGGUUCCCGUGGCCUUCUUCUUGGCCUUCUUCUCCGGCACUACAUAAAGUGCCGGGACCAGCAGCCCUGUCAAACGGGCGUCCGCUUGGUCUUCUGGAAGGGGAGCCGGACAGUUAACCUGUCCGGACGUCUUCUGCCAGUCCUGUUAAAGGUAUUGGGAGUUUAGAUCCCGCAUAGAGUCAAACUAUGAAAAGCGAGUGUCCCAUAAAGGAUAACAUAGCUUACCUCUCCGGUCGGGCGCUGCGUGCUGAAUCCGCGACCUUCGGUUGCGGAUGCGGGAGCUUCGACGCCCUUGAACAGCACCCUCCAGGCAGCUUCGUAUGUAGUAUAGAAGAGCCCGCUCAAGGUCCGGUGCUGUGCCGGAUCAAACUCCCACAAAUUGAAGUCCCAUUGCUGGCAGGGGAGAAUUCGGCGGACGAGCAUGACUUGGAUCAUGUUGACAAUCUUGAGCUUCUUGUUCACCAGGGUCUGGAGACAGGACUGGAGUCCGGUCAGCUCCUCCGAACUACCGCAAAGAAAGCCCUUCUCUUUCCAGGAGGUGAGCUGCAUGGGGAUGCCAGAUCUGAAUUCGGGGGCCGCUGCCCAUUUAGGGUCACGCGGCUCGGUGAUGUAGAACCACCCCGAUUGCCACCCUUUAACGGAUUCCACGAAGGCACCCUCGAGCCAAGUGACGUUGGGCAUUUUGCCCACCAUGGCGCCUCCGCACUCUGCUUGGCUACCCUUCACAACCUUCGGCUUGACAUUGAAGGUCUUUAGCCACAAGCUGAAGUGGGGCUACAUGCAGAGGAAGGCCUCACACACGACGAUAAACGCCAAGAUAUUGAGGAUGAAAUUCGGGGCCAGAUCGUGGAAAUCUAGGCCGUAGUAGAACAUGAGCCCCCGGACAAAGGGGUGGAGUGGGAAGCCCAGUCUGUGGAGGAAGUGGGGAAGGAAUACGACCCUCUCAUGGGGCCUGGGGGUGGGGAUGAGCUGCCCCUUGUCGGGGAGCCGAUGCGCGAUAUCGUUGGACAGAUAUCCGGCGCUGCGUAGCUUCUCAAUGUGCCCCUCCGUAACGGAGGAGGCCAUCCACUUGCCUCCCGCUCCGGACAUGGCUGGAGAAGGUCGAGGUGAGAUGUGCGGACUUGGGUGCUGGAGCUCGGGUGCGCGGUGAUGGAUAAGCAAAGGAGGAAGAAGGCGUAGGUAAAAGAGGUGGAUCCUUAUCCCCUUAUAUAUGGGCGGACGAAAACUAUGCAUCCCACCGGCCUGGUAAAACUCGCUUAUCUCCCAAGCGCCACAAUCAAUGGCGCGGUUGGGUUACCCACGUCCGUAUUGAUGGGAAUCCCGGAAUAAGGGGAACACGAUCUCUGCUUCGACAAGACGUGCCAAGGAAACCGCUUCACUAAAUGCGCUGAGGUGGUAUAAUAAAAACGAUUCAAGUAAAGGCUUGGUAGUGGUGUGACGUCACGCCACAAAAUACGUCAGCAGAUUGAACUUGUGUAAAAAUUAUUCUCUCUACGGUGGUAUGUGGAAUUUAUUUUACAGAGCCGGACACUAUCCUGGUGUUCACAAUCUUCUAUGAACUAUUCGGAGGAGGAACCCGCCUUGCAAUGCCGAAGACAAUGUGCGCGCCGGACUCGUCGUCAUUGAAGCCUGGAUCAGGGGCUACUGAGGGAGUCCUGGACUAGGGGGUGUCCGGAUAGCCGAACUAUCAUCAUCGGCCGGACUCCAACACUAUGAAGAUACAAGAUUGAAGACUUCGUCCCGUGUCCGGAUGGGACUUUCCUUGGCGUGGAAGGCAAGCUUGGCAAUACGGAUAUGUAGAUCUCCUACCAUUGUAACCGACUCUGUGUAACCCUAGCCCUCUCCGGUGUCUAUAUAAACCGGAGGGUUUUAGUCCAUAGGACGAACAACAAUCAUACCAUAGGCUAGCUUCUAGGGUUUAGCCUCCUUGAUCUCGUGGUAGAUCCACUCUUGUACUACCCAUAUCAUAAAUAUCAAUCAAGCAGGAGUAGGGUUUUGCCUCCAUCAAGAGGGCCCGAACCUGGGUAAAAACAUCGUGUCCCUUGUCUCCUGUUACCAUCCGCCUAGACGCACAGUUCGGGACCCCCUACCCGAGAUCCGCCGGUUUUGACACCGACAACUGGGAAGCGACCAACUGAGCGAGCGACAACAGUCGUAAACAUGCAUUAAAAUUAAUUCACACCGAGUACAAGCAUGAGUAGGAUAUAAUCCAGCAUGAACAUAAAUAUCAUGAAGCUAUGUUGAUUUGAUUCAACUACAUGCAUGAACAUGUGCCAAGUCGAGUCACUCAAUUUAUUCAAAGGAGGAUACCAUCCCAUCAUAUCACAUCAUAAUCAUUCUAAUAGCAAUGUUGGCAUGCAAAGUAAAGCAUUAUAACUCAUAGCUAAUCAAGCAUGGCACAAGCAACUAUAAUCUCUAAAUGUCAUUGCAAAUAUGUUUACUUCAUAAUAGCUGACUCAGAAAUGAUGAACUCAUCAUAUUUACAAAAACAAGAGAGGUCGAGUUCAUACCAGCUUUUCUCAUCCCAAUAAGUCCAUCAUAUAUCGUCAUUAUUGCCUUUCACUUGCACGACCUAAUGAUGUGUAUAAUAAUAAGAGUGCACGUGCAUUGGACUAAGCUGGAAUCUGCAAGCAUUCAACUCAAGAGAGAAGACAAGUAAUAUGGGCUCUAAGUUAAAUAAACAAUCAUGCAUAUGAGAGCCACUAAACAAUUUCAAUAUGGUCUUGUCGACCCCCAAAGGAAAGAAAAGAAAAUAAAUCUAUUUACACGGGAAAGCUCCCAACAAGUAAGAAGAAGAACUAGAAAUCUUUUUGGGUUUUCAUUUUAAUUCAACUACAAGCAUGGAAAUUGAACUAACUAAUUUUUUUGGUUUUUCUUAAGGUUUAUCAAGCACACAAAAAGAAAACGAGAAAAAGAAAUUUAAACUAGCAUGGAUAAUACAAUGAAAGAGUAUGAGCACUGACGACUAGAGUGUGAACAUGAAUGUAAAGUCGGUGAGAAAUACGUACUCCCCCAAGCUUAGGCUUUUGGCCUAAGUUGGUCUAGUACCAAGGAUCGCCGCUACUCUCCCCGGUGUAAUGGGAGGUGUAAUCAGGAUACCACUGGCUGGUCAUCUCCGGAUCCCACUGGACAGAUGAUGCACGAUAAGGGUCCAGUUCAGGUUCCGGCUCAGGUUCAGGUUCUGAAGUAAAAGCUUGAGCUCGAUGGUUGUUCACCGCUUUUGGCGUAACAAGAAAAUUUUCUGCAAGCAAAUCAAACAACAGAGGUGCAGGCAAGAUAAUAAUCUCAAAGUGUUUCUUAUUAAAUCCAAGUUUAUACAAGAGCAUCUUCUCUUCAUUGUCAACAAUAAACUUGUGCGCUACCAUGCUCUUGUAAUCUAAGAUGUGAGGAGGCAAUUUUAUCUCCUCCUCCUCAUGGUGCCUAAUGGGUAUCUGAAAAUGUUUAGCAAGACGUGCAGCAUAGAUACCUCCAAAUAUGGGGCCUUUUGUAUGAUUCAAGGCUAGCCGUUUAGCGACGACGGCACCCAUACUAAAAGUAUUGUCUCCAAGCAAGGCAUGUUGAAGAAUGAUAAUAUUAGGAACACUCAAGUUUCCACUAUUUCCGCGACCAAUCAAGCAUCUACUAGCAAAUAUGGCAAAGUAGCGUAAAACAGGAAAGUGUAUGCUAGAGACUUUUGCCUCAGAGCCCUUCUUUGGCUCCUCUACAGCAAUAGUAUUAACAAAACCACCCACAUCUUCACGAUGGGGUUCCUCUAAUUCUCCCUCAUAAGGUAUCCUACAUACCGCACAAAAAUGACGUAAAGGCAUUUCUUUGAACUCAUAUAAAUGAAAUGAUACUGCAGGCGGUGACUUCUUAGGAUAAUAAUAAAAGUUUUGCACGAAAGUAUUGGUGAGUAAGAGAUACUGAUCGAUUCGGUCAUUGAUGAAACCGGUGAGGCAUGCAGUCUCGAUUAAAGCAUAAAAGUCUUCAUGAAUUCCAGCUUCUUUCAAGAAAUCCUCGCAUGGCCAUUCACACGAUUGUACUUCCGCUAAGCGAGGAAGAUUAUACUUGGCUUUUUCUUCUCUUUGGCUUGUUUUUCCUGAGAGCUUUGGCUAGAAGAGCCCCUCAAAAGUUUCCUCAACAUUUUCUGAAAAUUUCUGAAAUUUUAGUAACUUCAAAAUAAAAGUGAAUAAAACUAAACAAGAUUGAUAGCAACUACUCCUACAAGUGCCUAGAGCCUAUAUCAUGCAUUGGAAUUGCUUGGGACCUCAAAAAUUUAACAUGCAAGCUCAAGAACAUGGUCACCUAUGCAGCAAAAAUUUGCAAUGAAUAAAGCACUAGAACAAAAACUAAUUGGACCAAUGGAGGAGUCACAUACCAAGCAACAAUCUCCCAAAGCAGUUUUGUGAAAGGAGCUUUGAGCAAGGAGAUCAAAAAUCGCAGCAAAACGAGCUAGAACUCGUGCUUGAGCUGGAUGGGGAUUUUUUUGGGUAGAAGAUGAAGUGUGUGGGUGCUGGCAUAAGUGGAGGGGGGGCCACCAGGGGCCCACGAGACAGGGGGCGCGCCCUCCACUCUCGUGUCCUGGUGCUUGCCCCUCCUGCAGUGAUUUCAGUGCCUAAAAUCCUCAAAUAUUCCAGAAAAAAUCAUACUAAAUUUGCAAGGCAUUUGGAGCACUUUUAUUUUCGGACUAUUUUUUAUUGCACGGAUAAUUCAGAAAACAGACAGAUAAUACUAUUUUUGCUAUAUUUAUUCUAAAUAACAGAAAGUAAAAAGUGGGUACAGAAGGUUGUGCCUUCUAGUUUCAUCGAUCUCAUGGUCAUCAAAAUGAAUCCACUAACAAGGUUGAUCAAGUCUUGUUAACAAACUCAUUCCGAAUAACACGGAACCGGACAAAUUUUGAAUAACACUAAGUUACCUCAACGGGGAUAUGAAAUCCCCAACAACAAGAAUAUCAUACUUUUUCUUGAUAGUAGGGAGAGGAAAUUCAAAACCUCCAAAAAUGAUAGUUGGAACUUUUUCAAUAGAAUUGAUGCUAUGCACUUGAGAUUGUUUCCUCGGAAAGUGUACUGUAUGCUCAUUACCAUUAACAUGAAAAGUGACAUUGCCUUUGUUGCAAUCAAUAACAGCCCUUGCAGUAUUAAGAAAAGGUCUACCAAGGAUAAUAGACAUACUAUCAUCCUCGGGAAUAUCAAGAAUAACAAAGUCCGUUAAGAUAGUGACAUUUGCAACCACAACAGGCACAUCCUCACAAAUACUGACAGGUAUAGCAGUUGAUUUAUCAGCCAUUUGCAAAGAUAUUUUAGUAGGUGUCAACAUAUUCAAUUCAAGUCUGCGAUAUAAAGAGAGAGGCAUAACACUAACACCGGCUCCAAGAUCACAUAAAGCAGUUCUAACAUAAUUUCUUUUAAUGGAGCAUGGUAUAGUUGGUACACCCGGAUCUCCGAGUUUCUUUGGUAUUCCACCCUUAAAAGUGUAAUUAGCAAGCAUGGUGGAAAUUUCAGCUUCCGGUAUCUUUCUUUUAUUUGUAAUGAUAUCCUUCAUAUACUUAGCAUAAGGAUUCACUUUCAGCAUAUCAGUUAAGCGCAUAUGUAAGAAAAUAGGUCUAAUCAUUUCAGCAAAGCGCUCAAAAUCCUCAUCAUCCUUUGACUUGGAUGGUUUAGGAGAAGGGCAUGGGUUUCUGAACCCAUGGUUCUCUUUCUUUACCGUGCUUCCUAGCAACAAAAUCUCUCUUAUCAUAACAUUGAUUCUUUGAUUGUGGGUUAUCAAGAUCAACAGCAGGUUCAAUCUCUACAUCAUUGUUUUUGCUAGGUUGAGCAUCAACAUGAACAUUAUCAUUAACAAUAUCACUAGGUUCAUGUUCAUCACCUGAUUGUGUUUCAGCAUCAGAAAUAGAAAUAUCAUUGGGAUUCUCAGGUGUGUCUACAGUAGGUUCACUAGAAGCAUGCAAAGUUCUAUCGUUUUUCUUCUUCUUCUUUUUAGAAGAACUAGGUGCCUCUAAAUUAUUUCUUUGAGAAUCUUGUUCGAUUCUCUUAGGGUGGCCUUCAGGAUACAGAGGUUCCUGAGUCAUUCUACCAGUUCUAGUAGCCACUCUAACAGCAAAGUCACUUGUGUAGCAAACAUAGAAGCAUAUUUGCUAAUGAGGUGAAGUUCAUCUUUAACUCUAGCCAGAUUAUCGCUUACACGUCCUAUCUCGAAAGCAUUAUUCUUUAACUCUCUACCAACAUAAGCAUUAAAACUUUCUUGUCUAGCCAUAAAGUCAUCAAAUUCAUCUAAGCAUGGGCUAUGAAAUUUAGUAGAGGGAAUUUCAACUUUAUCAUAUCUAUAGAGAGAAUUUACCUUUACUACCUGUGUCGGGUUAUCAAGACAAUGUGGUUCUUCAGGCGGUAUAUUAAGAGCAUGUAUUUCUUCAAUAGGAGGUAAAUUCUUAACAUCUUCAGCUUUAAUACCUUUUUCUUUCAUUGAUUUCUUUGCCUCUUGCAUAUCUUCAGGACUGAGAAAUAAAACACCUCUCUUCUUCAGAGUGGGUUUAGGAAUAGGCUCAGGAGUUGGCUCAAUUGGUUCAGGAAUUACUUCAGGAACUGGCUCAGGAAGAGUCCAAUUAUUUUCAUUAGUCAACAUAUUAUUCAAUAAUAUUUCAGCUUCGUCGACCGUUCUUUCCCUGAAAACACAACCAGCACAACUAUCUAAGUAGUCCUUGGAAGCAUCGUUAGUCCAUUAUAAAAGAUAUCAAGUAUUUCAUUUUUCUUAAGAGGAUGAUUAGGCAAAGCAUUAAGUAACCGGAGAAGCCUCCCCCAAGCUUGUGGGAGACUCUCUUCUUUGAUUUGCACAAAGUUAUAUAUUCCCCGCAAGGCAGCUUGUUUCUUAUGAGCAGGGAAAUAUUUAGCAGAGAAGUAAUAAAUCAUAUCCUGGGGACUACGCACACAACCAGGAGCAAGAGAAUUAUAUCAAGUCUUAGCAUCACCCUUUAAUGAGAACAGAAAUAUCUGAAGGAUAUAAAAAUAGCGAGACUUCUCAUCAUUAGUAAAUAGGGUGGCUAUAUCAUUCAACUUGGUAAGAUGUGCCACAAUAGUUUCAUAUUCAAGGCCAUAAAAAGGAUCAGAUUCAACUAAAGUAAUUAUUUCAGGAUCGAUAGAGAAUUCAUAAUCCUUAUCAGUAACACAGAUAGGUGAAGUAGCAAAAGCAGGGUCAGGUUUCAUUCUAGCAUUAAGAGACUGUUGCUUCCAUUUAGCUAAUAAUUUCUUAAGAUCAUAUCUAUCAUUGCAAGCAAAGAUUUCCCUAGCAGCUUCUUCAUUCAUAACAUAACCCUUAGGAACAACAGGUAAUACAUAAUCACUGGGAGAACCUUCAUCAUCACUAUCAUCAAUAAUAGGAUCUUCAGUAAUUUCAUUCCUCCUAACUCUAGCAAGUUGUUCAUCAAGAAAUUCACCUAAUGGCAAAGUAGUAUCACGCACAGAAGUAGUUUCAUCGUGCAUAGCAGAAGUGGCAUCAUCAAUAACAUUGCGACAUAUCAGAAUUCAUAGCAGUAGCAGGUUUAGGUGUCGCAAGCCUACUAAUAACGGAAGGAGAAUCUAGUGUAGAGCUAGAUGGCAGUUCCUUACCUCCCCUCGUAGUUGAGGGCAAAAUAGUAGUUCGGUCGUCUUUCAAGUUCUUCAUAGUGAUCAACAGAUAUAAAUCCCAAGUGACUCAGAGAAUAGAGCUAUGCUCCCUGGCAACGGCGCCAGAAAUUAGUCUUGAUAACCCACAAGUGUAGGGGAUCGCAACAGCUUUCGAGGGUAAAGUAUUCAACCCAAAUUUAUUGAUUCGACACAAGGGGAGCCAAAGAAUAUUCUUGAGUAUUAGCAGUUGAGUUGUCAAUUCAACCACACCUGGAUAACUAAGUAUCUGCAGUAAAGUAUUUAGUAGCAAAAGUGGUAUGAUAAUAAAGGUAACGGUAGCAAAAGUAAAGAUAAAUGUUUUUGGGUUUUUGUAGUAGUUGUAACAGUAGCAACGGAAAAGUAAAUAAGCGAAGAACAAUAUAUGAAAAGCUUGUAGGCAAUGGAUCAGUGAUGGAUAAUUAUGCCGGAUGCGAUUCCUCAUGUAAUAGCUAUAACAUAGGGUGACACAGAACUAGCUCCAAUUCGUCAAUGUAAUGUAGGCAUGUAUUCCGUAAAUAGUCAUACGUGCUUAUGGAAAAGAACUUGCAUGACAUCUUUUGUCCUACCCUCCCGUGGAAGCGGGGUCCUAGCGAAAACUAAGGGAUAUUAAGGCCUCCUUUUGAUAGAGAACCGGAACAAAGCAUUAGCACAUAGUGAAUACAUGAACUCCUCAAACUACGGUCAUCACUGAGAAGUAUCCCGAUUAUUGUCACUUCGGGGUUGUCGGAUUAUAACACAUAAUAGGUGACUAUAUACUUGCAAGAUAGGAUCAAGAACACACAUAUAUUCAUGAAAACAUAAUAGGUUCAGAUCUGAAAUCAUGGCACUCGGGCCCUAGUGACAAGCAUUAAGCAUAGCAAAGUCAUAGCAACAUCAAUCUCAGAACAUAAUGGAUACUAGGGAUCAAACCCUAACAAAACUAACUUGAUUACAUGGUAAAUCUCAUCCAACCCAUCACCGUCCAGCAAGCCUACGAUGGAAUUACUAACGCACGGCGGUGAGCAUCAUGAAAUUGGUGAUGGAGGAUGGUUUAUGAUGAUGACGGCGACGAAUCCCCCUCUCCGGAGCCCCGAACGGACUCCAUAUCAGCCCUCCCGAGAGGAUUAGGGCUUGGCGGCGGCUCCGUGUCGUAAAACGUGAUGAAUCUUUCUCCCUGAAUGUUUUCUCCCCGGACGUGAAUAUAUGGAGUUGGAGUUGAGGUCGGUGGAGGUCCAUGGGGCCCACGAGAUAGGAGGGCGCGCCCUAAGUGGGCGCGCCCCCCUGUCUCAUGGAUAGCCUGUGGGCCCCCUGGUCUUGAUUCUUUCGCCAUAAUUCUUAUUAAUUCCAAAAAGUGCCUCCAUGGAUUUUCAGGACAUUCCGAGAAAUUUUCUUUUCUACACAUAAAACAACAUCAUGGCAGUUCUGCUGAAAACAGCGUCAGUCCGGGUUAGUUUCAUUCAAAUCAUGCAAGUUAGAGUCCAAAACAAGGGCAAAAGUGUUUGGAAAAGUAGAUACGUUGGAGACGUAUCAAGGCUAUGUACCAGUAGCUAUGUGUUUGAUCUCUCUCUCUCGUGUUCUUGAUUUGGCACGAUCUUGAUGUGUCGCGAGCUUUGCUAUUAUAGCUGGAUCUUGUGAUGUUUCUCCCCCUCUACUCUCCUGUAAUGGAUUGAGUUUUCCCUUCGAAGUUAUCUUAUCGGAUUGAGUCUUUAAGGAUUUGAGAACACUUGAUGUAUGUCUUGCAUGUGCUUAUCUGUGGCGACAAUGGGAUAUUCACGUGAUCUACUUGAUGUACGUUUUGGUGAUCAACUUGCGGGUUCAGUGACCAUGUGAACUUAUGCAUAGGGGUUGGCACACGUUUUCGUCUUAACUCUCCAGUAUAAACUUUGGGGCACUCUUUGAAGUACUUUCUGUUGGUUGAAUAGAUGAAUCUGAGAUUGUGUGAUGCAUAUCGUAUAAUCAUGCCCACGGAUACUUGAGGUAACAUUGGAGUAUCUAGGUGACAUUAGGGUUUUGGUUGAUUUGUGUCUUAAGGUGUUAUUCUAGUACGAACUCUAUGAUAGAUCGAACAGAAAGAAUAGCUUCAUGUUAUUUUACUACGGACUCGGAUAGAUCGAUCAGAAAGGAUAACUUUGAGGUGGUUUCGUACCCUACAAUAAUCUCUUUGUUUGUUCUCUGCUAUAAGUGACUUUGGAGUGACUCUUUGUUGCGUGUCGAGGGAUACUUAUAUGAUCCAGUUAUGUUAUUAUUGUUGAGAGAACUUGCACUAGUGAAAGUAUGAACCCUAGGCCUUGUUUCCUAGCAUUGCAAUACCGUUUACGCUCACUUUUGCUAUUAGUUACCUUGCUGCUUUUAUAUUUUCAGAUUACAAAUACUCAUAUCUACCAUCCAUAUUGCACUUGUAUCACCAUCUCUUCGCUGAACUAGUGCACCUAUACAAUUUAACAUUGUAUUGGGUGUUGAGGGAGUCCUGGACUAGGGGGUGUCCGGAUAGCCGAACUAUCAUCAUCGGGCGGACUCCAGGACUAUGAAGAUACAAGAUUGAAGACUUCGUCCCGUAUCCGGAUGGGACUUUCCUUGGCGUGGAAGGCAAGCUUGGCAAUACGGAUAUGUAGAUUUCCUACCAUUGUAACCGACUCUGUGUAACCCUAGCCCUCUCCGGUGUCUAUAUAAACCGGAGGGUUUUAGUCUGUAGGACACAACGACGAACAACAAUCAUACCAUAGGCUAGCUUCUAGGGUUUAGCCUCCUUGAUCUCGUGGUAGAUCCACUCUUGUACUACCCAUAUCAUCAAUAUCAAUCAAGCAGGAGUAGGGUUUUACCUCCAUCGAGAGGGCCCGAACCUGGGUAAAAACAUCGUGUCCCUUGUCUCCUGUUACCAUCCGCCUAGACGCACAGUUCGGGACCCCCUACCCGAGAUCCGCCGGUUUUGACACCGACAUUGGUGCUUUCAUUGAGAGUUCCUCUGUGUCAUCACCGAUAGGCUGGAUGGCUCCUUCGAUCAUCAACGACGUGGUCCAGGGUGAGACUUUUCUCCCCGGACAGAUCUUCGUAUUCGGCGGCUUUGCACUGUGGGCCAAUUCACUUGGCCAUCUAGAGCAGAUUGAAAGCUACGCCCCUGGCCGUCAGGUCAGAUUUGGAAGUUUGAACUUCACGGCUGACAUCCGCGGAGACUUGAUCUUCGAUGGAUUCGAGCCACAGCCGAGCGUGCUGCACUGUCUCGAUGGGCAUCAUUUAGCUCUGUUGCUGGACAGUGCCAUGGAGGCCGCACACGAGUCCGCUCCGACCCUUAAUUCGAAGCCGACUGCGCAGAUCGAGGAUUAGUGGCUGGACACCGCCUCGGGGGCUGCUACAUCUACGGCGAUGGAGCCGAAUACUGACCUUGUCCCUUGUGAAGCUCGUGACUCCGAGGUGUCGGAGUCCUCGCCGGACUCCGAACCUCCCGCGCCCCCUCCAAUCGAAUCCGAUUGGGCGCCGAUCAUGGAGUUCACCGCCACGGACAUCUUUCAACACUCACCUUUCGGCGACAUCUUGAAUUCGCUAAAAUAUCUCUCGUUAUCAAGAGAGCCCUGGCCGGACUGCGGUCAGGACGGUUGGGAUGCAGACAACAAAGAAAUUCAAACCCCACCCACCACCCACUUAGUAGCCACUGUCGACGAUCUAACCGACAUGCUAGACUUCGACUCCGAAGACAUCGACGGUAUGGACGACGAUGCCAGAGAUGACCAAGAACCAGCGCCUACUGGGCACUGGAAAGCCACCUCAACUCACGGUGUAUACAUGGUGGAUACACCAAAAGGAAGCGAUAAAGAGGAACAACGGGACGUGGCGAAGGAUAAUUCCCCCGAAAAACAACCAAAACGGCGACGCAAGCGCCGCCCAAAGUCCCGCCUCGAUAACAACAGCACCCAUACUGACCCAGCCGUAGAGCAGGGCGAACCAGUGGACGAUGAACACGCCACCAAGCAACCAUCCGAACAGGAUGAAUCGGACAAGCAACCCAUUCCCGGCGAAAACAACAAUCCAGACGGUCUCACGCCGGACACAUCACCGGAGCAUAAGAACCUUCACAAAAGGCUCAUCGCCACUGCAAGAAGUUUGAAGAAGCAGAAGCGGAAGCUCAAAACAGCAGAAGACGUACUCAAAAUGAGAUGGAGCAAAGUACUCAAGACCGCAGAUAAAUACGGUGAUAGUCACCAAGCAAAGAGCUACCCGAAGCGCAAAAUGUUGCCCGAAUUUGACGAGGAGGCCGCAGAGCCCCCACAGUCAAAAAACAAAGAGGCCACCUGGCCGGAUAGAUGACCAGAUGACAGGCUAAGAGCGGCAAGCGGCGCCGCACACAAGCCGGCACACGAUCCACAUAAGGAUCUUCGCAGAAAGGAUGGCCCGGUCAGAUCCAUCUACGAGCCAAAAAAAGGCUCCAGGAAGCAACACAACACGCCGAGCAUUCGAAGAUAACAGCACACCUAAAUACAGGGGCUCCGCACACCCACUAUGUUUCACCGAUGAGGUGCUGGAUCAUGAAUUUCCAGCGGGAUUCAAGCCCGUAAACAUAGAGGCAUACGACGGAACAACAGACCCCGGAGUCUGGAUCGAGGAUUACAUCCUACACAUACAUAUGGCUAGAGGAGAUGAUCUCCAUGCCAUAAAAUACCUACCCUCAAGCUCAAAGGGCCAGCUCGGCAUUGGCUCAAAAGCCUCCCAGAAAAUACCAUUGGAAGUUGGGAAGAGCUCGAGGAUGCGUUUCGAGCAAACUUUCAGGGGACUUAUGUCCGCCCUCCGGAUGCAGACGAUUUAAGUCACAUAACUCAACAGCCCGGAGAGUCAGCAUGCAAAUUCUGGAACAGGUUCCUCACCAAAAAGAACCAAAUAGUCGACUGUCCGGACGCCGAAGCCUUAGCAGCCUUCAAACAUAACGUCCGAGAAGAAUGGCUCGCCAGACACCUCGGCCAGGAAAAACCAAAAACAAUGCUCGCGCUAACAAGCCUCAUGACCCGCUUCUGCGCGGGGGAAGAUAGCUGGCUGGCAAGAUGCAACACCAGCGACACGAGUACAUCCGAGGUUAGGGAUGGAAAUGGGAAAUCACGACGCAGAAAAGAUCAGCGUCGGAAUAAGGAAAAUGGCCCAAAGAACACGGCGGUCAAUGCCGGAUUCAAAAGCUCUCGGCCGAACAACAAAACACUGCCUCUUAAGGACAAUGGUGACGAGCUAUCUAACCUAAACAAAAUCUUGGAUAGGAUAUGCCAAAUUCACAGUACCCCAGGGAAGCCUGCAAACCAUACCCACAGAGAUUGUUGGGUCUUCAAGCAGUCCGGCCAACUUAACGCCGAACACAAGGGGCUCGACACACCAAGCGAGGAUGAUGACGAACCCCACAAGCAGAGCGCCGGAAAACAAAAGAACUUCCCACAAGAAGUCAAAACAGUGAAUUCACUUCAAGUGAUAACAAGGAAAAAUACGGCGGCACCUACCAAAGCACAUGCCGCAUGGUCCACCCCAGCGGAAUCCCGAGAUUGGAUGUCAAAACCAAUUACUUUUGACCAUCUGGAUUACUCCAGAAGUAUUCGAAACACAGGAUGGACUGCUUUGAUAUUGGAUCCUAUAAUCGACGGACUACAAUUUACACAAGUCCUAAUGGAUGACGGUAGCGAUUUAAACCUGCUAUGUCCGGACACAAUCCGCAGAAUGGGGAUAGACCCUACCAAAAUUCGCCAUAGCAGCACUUCCUUCAAAGGAGUGACGCCAGGCCCUUACGCCAAUUGCACGGGCUCCUUACUACUAGAAGUUGUGUUCGGGUCAUCCGACAACUUCCAUCGCGAAAAGCUAAUCUUCCAUAUCGCCCCAUUUAAAAGUAGCCACCAAGCACUAUUGGGACGUGAAGCUUUCGCCCGCUUCAACACAAUACCGCAUUAUGCGUCUCUCACACUUAAAAUGCCCGGUCCACGCAGCAUCAUCUCUUUAAAAGGUCGUUCAAGACCCCGGACACGGCUAGGCGAGUCCGGCAUAAAUAAACCAGGGGCUUCCUAGCCGCAUACCCCUUUACAAGGGGUUGUGCGCAUGAACAAUGAGAGCCAAUAAAAACUCAACUUCAUUCAUUUUUUCAUACUCUGUUCUAAAUACAUUUUUUGCACGAUACCUUUCCAAACUAAGUUCUUCUCUUUUACAGAUGAACAGCAUGCUACACCCAUCCAGGAUACAGCACAAUAGAGACACAUGCGCAGACGUGCAGCAGGGACCCGUUGCAAGGAUUCUUUUCAGAUUAAGACCCUGCGUAAACCUUUCUUACUGUCUCUUGUUGAUACACAUCCCCCGGUUUCUUACCAUAACCGAGGAGGAGGCUGUCGUUUUGGCAUAGGCCGCAUCAGAAGUUCUCGCCCGUACCUGGACACUAGGGGCUUAGGGCAAUGUUCUGCCCGUUAUCAUAAAGACCGAACACCUCAGGGAGUGUUCGGCGUCUCAAGUUAGGCCUUAUAUGCAUCAGCUCCGAAUCAUGUCUUUGGUCAAAUGUUGGGUUUGCCCGGCUCCUGUGUUUUGCUGCCUUACGUUCCGUAUCAUCGGCUAACGCGGCACGAGGAGAACUACUGCGAUUGUGCCCUGGUUCGGCCAGGCGAGCACCUCAGUAGAGAAAGUCGAAAACUGACUGUCAUGAUAUGGCGAGAGACUGGUCAACCACUCGAUGGACUACCGGAAUGUCUAGAAUUCCUCCGCUUUGACGAAGGAUCGUUUCCCGGUCAGGCACAUACGCGCCCCGAAUUCGGAGAGCGCGGUGCCCCUAGGGGCUAUAUCGUAACCCCACCUUCAAACUCCUAUGGCUAAGUGAAAGUGAUAAAGCAUUAUAGUCUGGUUGCCUAGUUUGCUACGCUACCACCUCCUUGACAGGACCAAGACGUUGGAUUAAGUGUGAAAAUGCGCAAUUUUGCAAACACCCCCGCACCAUGUGCGUGGGGGCUGAAGCCGAAGACUGCCAUCUUUCAGGUUAUAUACACAUAUACAUUAACGGCCGCACAUGAGAUAUUUCAAUACUUGAACGCACAAGUAUAAAAAGUCGUUACAUCAUAAAUGUGGUUUCACAAAUCAUACAUAUCAUUUGAAAAUAACAUUUUUCGAGCACUGCGACUCUAUUAAACGAGCGCCCUGCAGGACUUCCCCAAAAUAGUGCUCGACGGGUAACCGGCUCUCAUCCGAACCCCGGGAUGCAACAUCGGUGGCAUCCAUCUCCGCCCAGUAUGUCUUAACACGGGCGAGCGCCAUCCGUGCACCCUCUAUGCAUGCCGACCGCUUCAUCGCCUUGAUAUGCGGCACCGCCCCAAGGAAUUGCUCCAAUAAGCCAAAAUAACUCUUUGGCUUGGGCCUCUCCGGCCACAGAUGAGCCACCACACCCAUCAUGGCAAAUCCGGACAAUCUAUUCAGCUCAGCCCACUCAGCCAACCGAUCGGUCAACGGAAGUGAACGCUCCGGACUGUGGAAUUGAGACCAAAAAAGCUCUUCCAUCUCGUGAUCCUUUUGGCUUCGGAAGUGCACGACCGCGUCCGCCGCACUCGCCGCCAAAUCCAGAUAAGGAUCCUCCGCACUCCAUAGCUGGCCCAACUGAGCAUACUUCUGAUCCGUGAACUUCCUGCGCAGCAGAAAGGGCUUUCCAGCCGCAAUGUCUCCGGUGUGACGCAGCUCCUCCUUUAUAGCCCUCAUUGCAGAAUGGGCAACCUUGGCUUCGGCGGUGGCCUUCUUCAGGUCCUCUUGCUCCGCUCGGCGUUCUUUUUCAAGAACCUCAUAGCAGUCGGUAACUUCCUUCAGCUUCACGGCCAUUUCGGCCAUCUUCUCCCUGCUUCGAUAGUAAGCAGCCUUUUCGGCUUUCAGCUCUUUGGCCGCCUUCGAGGCAGCCGCAUUACUCCUUCUGGCCUGCUCCUUGGCUCAAGCAAGCUCUGCCUGAAGGUUUUCCACAGCAGCGGCACCAUCUGCAUCAAGCAUACAUGUUGUAAGGAAUGGGCGUCAGCUCCCUUACCAGGUAACCGCGGAGAAACCACUCACCUUGUGACUCGUCAAGUCGCCUAUUGACCAACGCGAUGUCCGCAUCCGCAACAUCCAGUUGCCGCUUCAGUUCGGCAACUCUAUCAGUCCAGCUGGCCACCAAACGCUCCGCCCCCUGAAUAGGAAUGGCGACAUAUUAAAAAUGAGAGUAUGAUCCUCGGCACGCUGUCACUUCUGGCAACGUACCGAGUCUCAGGGGCUACUAUCUAUACAGGGUGCACCCUAUGUGCAAAACUGUCAAAAGACAUGUCAUUUUUACGUACCUCAAACCCCGCUAGUAAACUUCUGACGGCAUCAUGCAACCCGCUCUCAGCGGAUGAAAUUCUUUCAAUCACCGUACUCAUUAAUGUACGGUGAUCUUCUGAGAUAGACGCCCUCUCAAGCAGAUCCUUCAGCUCCCCCGACCGUACACUAGUUGGUGCCGAACUCUCCGGCCCUACCGGACUCGGGGAGACCCUCCACGACGACACCUCAGGGUCGUCCGCCCCGCCUGACGGUGCGGCAGAUGGAGGCGUCUCGCUCUCCAUCAUUUCCGGACGAAGGUCCCCCGAAGAUGAGCUCAGCUGAGAAGGGCGGAGAUUCGAUCUACAAGGUAAAAACUUCGGUUAUCCUCAGAAGCAAAAAUAGGGAUGUCCCUUAUUACAAAACUCCCCUUUUUCUACUUACGGCUCGCUGGAGGGCCGAUUCCUUUGGGGAGAUAGUGCGGCCGGGGCUUCUCUUGGAGCAGGACCCUCUGGCGAAGAUUUCUUCCCCCGCUUUGAGGCCUUAGCCUCCGGAUCUUCGAAAGCGGUCCUCUUCUCCCCCUGGAAGGAGGGAUUCUCGAUCCCCCCUUUCUUGAAAGCCUCCUCAGUGGAGGCGGUAGUUUCUCUGUUUUCCCCUUCGCCCUCUUCUGAAGGUGCAACCUCCAGCAUCUUGACUAACACCGGAUCCAGCAUGGUCUCAGGGAGGGGGGCCGGACACCGUAUCAGUUUUGCUUGCGCUAUCCACUCUUGUCCAAGGCAUAGCUGGUUAAAAGGCAAAUCCAUAAUAAAUAAAUGGACGAUAUGUCCGGACACGGGGCUACUUACUUGAGUAUCCGGGCGAUUGCAGCUUAGGCCGGCGUCCUCGGUCAAGUCCGGACACAUCUCUUGUGAUCCGAAGAACAAUUUGUACAUCUCCACGGGUGUCGUACCCAUGAAGUGUUGGAGAGCUCGUGGUCCCUCCGGAUUGAAUUCCCACAGGCGGAGGGGGCGACGUUUGCAGCGCAGAAGACGCCGAAUCAGCAUAACCUGCGUCACCACGACCAGAUUGAUCUCCCUCUCUUGGAGGUCUCGAAUCCGGCCCUGCAAUAGGGGCGCGUCCUUGGACGGCCCCUAGUCAAGCCCUUUGCUGACCCAUGACGUCAGCCAUUGUGGAGGACCCGAGCGAAAGACGGGCGGCGGCCUCUGCCUGCUGCCCCUGGGAGCGGUAAUAUAGAACCACUCCUGUUGCCACAAGCCGAGCUCCUCCUGAAAAGAGCCCUCGGGCCAUGGAGCAUCGGCCCUCUUGCUUACAACUGCCCUGCCGCACUCUGCUUGACGCCCCUCGAUCAUCUUCGUCUCCACGUUGAAGGUUUUGAGCCACAAACUGAAGUGAGGGGUAGUGCGGAGGAAGGCUUCGCAGACGACAAUAAAUGAUGAGAUAUGGAGGAUGGACUCCGGAGCCAAGUCGUGGAAUUCCAGCCCAUAAUAAAACAUGAGCCCCCUCACGAAAGGAUCCAUCGGGAAGCCUAAACCCCGACAGAGGUGAGACACGAACACGACACUCUCGCCAGGCUCGGGAGUAGGAAUGACUUGCCCUUGGGCAGGCAACCUGUGCGAAAUCUCGUAGGUUAGGUACCUCGCUUCUCUCAGCUUUAACACGUCCUCUUCCGUGACGGAGGAGGGCAUCCACUGGCCCUGUAGGUCGGAGCCAGACAUUGUCGAAGGUCCGAAGUGCCCGAAUCUGGAGCCCUGGGUGUUGGAACUCGGGACGAGGGGCGGAUUCGAUUGAGGAUUGAAGAAAAGAAACAGGCCUUGGUCUCAUUAUAAAGAGGGAGAAUACCAAGAGCCGUCCCCCUGACCGUUUGGGACUCGCCAUCGAUGGAGGGGCGUGGCAACGGGCGCGGUUGGGUUACCCACGUCCGUAUUGAUGGGAAUCCCGGAAUAAGGGGAACACGAUCUCUGCUUCGACAAGACGUGCCAAGGAAACCGCUUUGCUAAACGCGCUGAGGUGGUAUAAUAAAAACGAUUCAAGUAAAGGCUUGGUAGUGGUGUGACAUCACGCCACAAAAUACGUCAGCAGAUUGAACUGGUGUAAAUAUUAUUCUCUCUAUGGUGGUAUGUGCAAUUUAUUUUACAAAGCCGGACACUAUCCUGGUGUUCACAAUCUUCUACGAAUUACUCGGAGGAGGAACCCGCCUUGCAAUGUCGAAGACAAUAUGCGCGCCGGACUCGUCGUCAUUGAAGCCUGGUUCAGGGGCUACUAAGGGAGUCCUGGACUAGGGGGUGUCCGGAUAGCCGAACUAUCAUCAUCGGCCGGACUCCAAGACUAUGAAGAUACAAGAUUGAAGACUUCGUCCCGUGUCCGGAUGGGACUUUCCUUGGCGUGGAAGGCAAUCUUGGCAAUACGGAUAUGUAGAUCUCCUACCAUUGUAACCGACUCUGUAUAACCCUAGCCCUCUCCGGUGUCUAUAUAAACCGGAGGGUUUUAGUCCGUAGGACACAACAACGAACAACAAUCAUACCAUAGGCUAGCUUCUAGGGUUUAGCCUCCUUGAUCUCGUGGUAGAUCCACUCUUGUACUACCCAUAUCAUCAAUAUCAAUCAAGCAGGAGUAGGGUUUUACCUCCAUCGAGAGGGCCCGAACCUGGGUAAAAACAUCGUGUCCCUUGUCUCCUGUUACCAUCCGCCUAGACGCAUAGUUCGGGACCCCCUACCCGAGAUCCGCCGGUUUUGACACCAACAGGUGUGUUGGGGACACAAGAGACUCUUUGUUAUUUGGUUGCAGGGUUGUUUAAGAGAGACCAUCUUCAUCAUAUGCCUCCCACGGAUUGAUAAACCUUAGGUCAUCCACUUGAGGGAAAUUUGCUACUGUCCUACAAACCUCUGCACUUGGAGGCCCAACAACGUCUACAAGAAGAAGGUUGUGUAGUAGACAUCAAGCUAUUUUCUGGCACCGUUGCCGGGGAGGUGAGUGCUUGAAGGUAUAUCUUUAUAUCUUGUAAUCGAAUCUUUUAGUUUCUUGUUUUAUCACUAGUUUAGUUUAUAAAAUAAAACUACAAAAAAAUGGAAUUGAGGUUGCCUCAUAUGCUUCAUCUUUUUAAUUUCUGUCGUGAAAAUGAUGGGAAGGAAAAUUGUGCUCAACUACUAGAAGAAGAAUUACAUAGAAUGCUUGGAAUAAAAUAUGUGAAUGAUGAGCAUGACUGCAAUGUUGUUAGUAUGAAUUCUUUGAAUACCCAUGAUGCUAAUGAUAUGCAAAGCCACAAGCUUGGGGAUGCUAUGUUUGAUGAAGAUGAUAUGUUUAGUCCCCCAAGUUUUGAUGAGAAUAUUUAUUAUGAUGAAAGCAUGCCUCCUAUUUACGAUGAUUAUAUUGAUGAAAGUGGGUUUGGAAGAGUGUCAACUUUAGGAAGUAAUGAUCCCACUAUUUUGAAGGAUGUUGAAUAUUAUUGUGAUAAUUAUGAAAGUGGAUUUGGAGAGGUCAUGACUUUAUUUAGUGAUGAAUCCACUAUUUUGGAAGAGGUUCCAAUUGAUUAUGAGAACAAAGUAGCUAUCUAUGAUGAGUAUUGUGAUGACUUGUAUGCUAUUAAGAAUAAUGAUAACCAUGAAACUUGUCAUCAAGAUUUUAGUUUUCAAUUGGAUUAUGCCUCACAUGAUAACUAUUUUGUUGAAUUUGCUCCCACUACUAUUCAUGAGAAGAAGUUUGCUUAUGUGGAGAGUAGUAGAAUUUAUAUGCUUGUGCAUCAUGAAAAUAAUGCUUUAUGUGAUGGUUAUAUUGUUGAAUUCAUUCAUGAUGCUACUGAAAAUUAUUAUGAGGGAGGAACAUAUGCUUGUAGGAAUUGCAAUAAUAUCAAGUUUCCUCUCUAUGUGUUGAAAAUCUUGAAGCUAUGCUUGUUUUACCUUCCUAUGCUAGUUGAUUCUUGUUCCCAUAAGUUGUUUGCUCACAAAAUCCCUAUGCAUAGGAAGUGGGUUAGGCUUAAAUGUGCUAGUCAUAUGCUUCAUGAUGCUCCCGUUAUGUUUCAUUUCUUAUCUUUUAUGUGAGCAUCAUUGUCAUCAUCAUGCCUAGCUAGAAAGACAUUAAAGAAAAGCGCUUGUUGGGAGACAACCCAAUAUUUACCCUUAGUAUUUUUGUGUGUCCACAUGAUUAUGCUACUGUAUUAAUCAUGUUUUAUAGCUUUUGUUUCAAUAAAUUGCCAGGUAAGACCUUUAGGAUAGCUUAAGGUGAUAGUUGUGUUGAUCCUGCUGAAAAUCAGAAACUUUUGCACCCAGUAAAUUAGUUUUGAUAAUUCGCGGAAACAUGAUUUUGAUCUGAUUCUUUUUUAUCUAGAUUGGUACACAAAUUUCUCAGGUUUUCCAUAUUUGGUAGAAUUUUUGGAGUUACAGAAGUAUUCGAAUGAUACAGAUUACUACAGACUGUUCUGUUUUUGACAGAUUCUGUUUUCUAUGUGUUGUUUGCUUAUUUUGAUGAAUCUAUGAGUAGUAUCGGAGGGUAUGAACCAUAGAGAAGUUGGAAUACAGUAGAUAUUACACCAAUAUGAAUUUAGAAUGAGUUCACAACAGUACCUAAGUGGUGGUUUUAUUUUCUUAUACUAACGGAGCUUACGAGUUUUCUGUUGAGUUUUGUGUUGUGAAGUUUACAAGUUUUGGGUAAAGAUUCGAUGGACUAUGGAAUAAGGAGUGGCAAGAGCCUAAGCUUGGGGAUGCCCAAGGCACCCCAAGGUAAAAUUCAAGGACAACCAAAAGCCUAAGCUUGGGGAUGCCCCGGAAGGCAUCCCCUCUUUCGUCUUUGUUCAUCGGUAACUUCAAUUGGAGCUAUAUUUUUAUUCACCACAUGAUAUGUGUUUUGCUUGGAGCGUCAUUUUGUUUUGCUUGCUGCUUGAAUAAAAUACAUUAGAUCUGAAAUUCUUAAAUGAGAAAGUCUUCACAUAGUUGCACAAUUAUUUGACUACUCAAUGACCUUCACUUAUAUCUUUCGGAGUAGUUUGUCGUUUGCUCUAGUGCUUCACUUAUAUCUUUUAGAGCACGGCGAUGGUUUUAUUUUGAAGAAAUAGAUGAACUCUCAUGCUUCACUUAUAUUAUUUUGAGAGUCUUUUAGAACAGCAUGGUAAUUUUCCUUGGUUACGAAUUUAGUCCUAAUAUGAUAGGCAUUCAAGAGGGAUAUAAUAAAAACUUUCAUAUGGAGUGCAUUAAACGCUAUGAUAAAUUUGAUACUUGAGAAUUGUUUUGAGAUAUAAAGGUGGUAAUGUUAGAGUCAUGCUAGUUGGGUAAUUAUGACAUUGAGAAAUACUUGUGUUAAAGUUGGCACGUCCUGUAGCAUGCACGUAUGGUGAACGUUGUGUGACAAAUUUGAAGCAUGGGGUGUUCUUUGAUUGCCUUCCUUAUGAGUGGAGGUCGGGAUCGCGCCAUGGUUAACUCCUACCAACCCUUCCCCUAGAAGCAUGCAUAGUAGUACUUUGCUUUGUGGGCUAAUAAAAUUUUUCAAUAAGUAUAUGAGUUCUUUAUGACUAAUGUGAGUCCAUGGAUUAUAUGCACUCUUACCCUUCCGCAAUUUGCUAGCCUCUACGGUACCGUGCAUUACCCUUUCUCACCAUGAGAGUUGGUGCAAAUUUUGCUGGUGCAUCCAAACCCCGUGAUACGAUACGCUCUAUCACACAUAAACCUCCAUAUAUCUUCCUCAAAACAGCCACCAUACCUACCUAUUAUGGCAUUUCCAUAGCCAUUUCGAGAUAUAUUGCCAUGCAACUUUCCACCAUUCUGUUUAUCAUGACACGCUCCAUCAUUGUCAUAUUGCUUUGCAUGAUCAUGUAGUUGACAUCGUAUUUGUGGCAAAGCCACCUUUAUAUUUCUUUCAUACAUGUCGCUCUUGAUUCAUUGCAUAUCCCGGUACACCGCCGGAGGCAUUCACAUAGAGUCAUAUUUUGUCCUAAGUAUUGAGUUCUAAUUCUUGAGUUGUAAAUAAGUAGAAGUGUGAUGAUUUCCAUUAUUAGAGCAUUAUCCCAUGUGAGGAAAGGAUGAUGGAGACUAUGAUUCCCCCACAAGUCGGGAUGAGACUCCGGACGAAAUAAAAAAAGAGAAUUUUUUUUUAAAAAAAGAGGCCAAAGAAGCCCAAAUAAAAAAAUGAGAGAAAAAGAGAGAAGGGACAAUGUUACUAUCCUUUUUCCACACUUGUGCUUCAAAAUAGACCAUGAUCUUCAUGAUAGAGAGUUUCUUAUUUUGUCACUUUCAUAUACUAGUGGGAAUUUUUCAUUAUAGAACUUGGCUUGUAUUUCCAAUGAUGGGCUUCCUCAAAAUGCCCUAGGUCUUCGUGAGCAGGCAAGUUGGAUGCACACCCACUUAGUUUCUUUUUGAUGAGCUUUAAUACAUUUAUAGCUCUAGUGCAUCCGUUGCAUGGCAAUCCCUACUCCUCAUAUUGACAUCAAUUGAUGGGCAUCUCCAUAGCCCGUUGAUUAGCCGCGUCAAUGUGAGACUUUCUCCUUUUUUGUUUUCUCACAUAAUCCCUAUCAUCAUACUCUACUCCACCCAUAGUGCUAUGUCCAUGGCUUACGCUCAUGUAUUGCGUGAGGGUUGAAAAGGCUGAAGCACGUUAAAAAGUAUGAACCAAUUACUUGGCUGAAACCGGGGUUGUGCAUGAUGGGAGCAUUUUGUGUGACGAAAAUGAAGCAUGGACAAACUAUAUGAUUUUGUAGGGAAAAGCUUUCUUUGGCUAUGUUAUUUUGAUAAGACAUAAACUGCUUGGUUAGCAUGCUUGAAGUAUUAUUAUUAUUAUGUCAAUAUUAAACUUUUGUUUUGAAUCUUAUGGAUCUGAAUAUUCUUGCCACAAUAAAGAGAAUUACAUGGAUAAAUAUGUUAGGUAGAAUUCCACAUCAAAAAUUCUGUUUUUAUCAUUUACCUACUCGAGGACGAGCAAGAAUUAAGCUUGGGGGUGCUUGAUACGUCUCCAACGUAUCUAUAAUUUUCGAUGUAUUCAUGCCAUGUUUAUAAUAUUUCUACAUGCUUUUGGUAUGAUUUGGUUAGAACUAACCCGGACUGAUGAUGUUUUCAGCAGAACUAUUGUCGUGUUGUUUUUGUGCAGAAAUAAAAGUUCUCGGAAUGCGCUGAAAAUCAACGGAGAUUUUUUCUGGAAAAUAUACAAAAUACUGGAAUAAAGAGUUACCGGAGAGGAGGCUCAUGGGGCCCACAAGGGUGGAGGGCGCGCUCACCCCCCUGGGGCGUGCUCCCCUGCCUCGUGGACACCCCGUGGGUCCUCCUGACUUGUUCUCGACGCUAAACCCUCCUAUAAAUACAGAAAUCCCCGAAACAUAACCUAGAUCGGGAUUUUCGCUGCCGCAAGCCUCUAUAGCCACCAAAAACCAAUCGGGACCCUGUUUCGGCACCCUGCCAGAGGGGGGAUCCAUCACCGAUGUCCAUCUUCAUCAUCUCGGCGCUCUCCAUGACGAGGAGGGAGUAGUUCACCCUCGAGGCUGAGGGUAUGUACCAGUAGCUAUGUGUUUGAUCUCUCUCUCUCUCUCUCUUGUGUUCUUGAUUUGGCACGAUCUUGAUGCAUCGCGAGCUUUGCUAUUAUAGUUGGAUCUUAUGAUGUUUCUCCCCCUCUACUCUCUUCUAAUGGAUUGAGUUUUCCCUUUGAAGUUAUCUUAUCGGAUUGAGUCUUUAAGGAUUUGAUAACACUUGAUGUAUGUCUUGCAUGUACUUAUCUGUGGCGACAAUGGGAUAUUCACAUGAUCUACUUGAUGUAUGUUUUGGUGAUCAACUUGCGGGUUCAGUGACCUUGUGAACUUAUGCAUAGGGGUUGCACACGUUUUCGUCUUGACUCUUCGAUAGAAACUUUGGGGCACUCUUUGAAGUACUUUGUGUUGGUUGAAUAGAUGAAUCUGAGAUUGUGUGAUGCAUAUCGUAUAAUCGUACCCACGGAUACUUGAGGUGACAUUGGAGUAUCUAGGUGACAUUAGGGUUUUGGUUGAUUUGUGUCCUAAGGUGUUAUUCUAGUACGAACUCUAUGAUAGAUCGAACGGAAAGAAUAGCUUCAUGUUAUUUUACUACGGACUCUUGAAUAGAUCGAUCAGAAAGGAUAAGUUUGAGGUGGUUUUGUACCCUACAAUAAUCUCUUCGUUUGUUCUCCGCUAUUAUUGACUUUGGCGGGACUCUUUGUUGCAUGUUGAGGGAUAGUUAUAUGAUCCAGUUAUGUUAUUGUUGUUGAGAGAACUUGCACUAGUGAAAGUAUGAACCCUAGGCCUUGUUUCCUAGCAUUGCAAUACCAUUUACGCUCACUUUUGCUAUUAGUUACCUUGCUGUUUUUAUAUUUUCAGAUUACAAAUACUCAUAUCUACCAUCCAUAUUGCACUUGUAUCACCAUCUCUUCGCCGAACUAGUGCACCUAUACAAUUUACCAUUUAUUGGGUGUGUUGGGGACACAAGAGACUCUUUGUUAUUUGGUUGUUGGGUUGUUUGAGAGAGACCAUCUUCAUCCUACGCCUCCCACGGAUUGAUAAACCUUAGGUCAUCCACUUGAGGGAAAUUUGCUACUGUCCUACAAACCUCUACACUUGGAGGCCCAACAACGUCUACAAGAAGAAGGUUGUGUAGUAGACAUCAUUAGGCGCUGCAAAUUAGAACUGCCAUCCGGGCGUGCCGAUAUUCCAGGCCGUCCGGCUUCCCCUUUAAUUCCCGCAGCCAUUAUAACCUUAGUCUCUUCAACCUUUCGAUUGCGCCCCACAACACAACAAGCACACCCACGACGACACAUAGAGAGGGGAUGUCUAGCAGCCCUCCAAUCGAGUUUGGCGAGCAUGUCCUUAAAAGUGUGUGUGUGUGUGUGUGUCUAUAUAUANNNNNNNNNNNNNNNNNNNNNNNNNNNNNNNNNNNNNNNNNNNNNNNNNNNNNNNNNNNNNNNNNNNNNNNNNNNNNNNNNNNNNNNNNNNNNNNNNNNNNNNNNNNNNNNNNNNNNNNNNNNNNNNNNNNNNNNNNNNNNNNNNNNNNNNNNNNNNNNNNNNNNNNNNNNNNNNNNNNNNNNNNNNNNNNNNNNNNNNNNNNNNNNNNNNNNNNNNNNNNNNNNNNNNNNNNNNNNNNNNNNNNNNNNNNNNNNNNNNNNNNNNNNNNNNNNNNNNNNNNNNNNNNNNNNNNNNNNNNNNNNNNNNNNNNNNNNNNNNNNNNNNNNNNNNNNNNNNNNNNNNNNNNNNNNNNNNNNNNNNNNNNNNNNNNNNNNNNNNNNNNNNNNNNNNNNNNNNNNNNNNNNNNNNNNNNNNNNNNNNNNNNNNNNUGUGUGUGUUGUUGUUCUGUAUGCAAUCCCAACACAUAACACACACACCUAGCAGCAAUCAUCUGUGUUAUUAUCGGUCUUCACACACAUUUCUGAUUACAGACCUGUUUGUCGCGUAUCACACACAUCUUGUUAUAUUGAACCGUUUAUGUUAUCUUGGCUCAACGCAAACAGUUCAUCCGAGUGAACUGUUUGCCCUCUAUCGCAUACACCUUGAUCUGGUUGACCAUUUUUUUUGUUCCGCCUAAUCACAAAUAGUUCAUCCGAGUGAACUGUAUGCCAUAUAUCGCACACACAUUCAUGUGGCUGCCCGUUCUUCUGCCUCAUCGCAAACAGUUCAUUGAACUGAAUUGUAUGCCCUGCAUCGUACACGCAACUAAACUCUAAACUAUGUUUGAUGCAUCUGGCAUCGCAAAUGUUUUGCAUAUUUUUUGAUGGUUUCUUUACAUCACCGUUUGUGAUUAUUGCAUCGCACACAGUUUUGUCGAAGGUUCUCUGAUCGUAGUGUCGAGUUAGCAGCAUCCUGCAGUACUGACAUCUCUAGUCCAUACCAUGCCAUUCAUUGAACUUCCUGAAAUAUUUAUCUUCAAUGGAUAUUAGUUCAAUGAGUUAUAUGUCGUUAUGAAUUACCAAAAUCACUCGGGGAUUAGUUGCGUUUUCAAUCGAGAAAUUCCAUUAGUGGAGUAAUCCUAAUAGAUUUAUGCAACAUGAUAUCAUUAGAAGUGAUUGACCUAUCUGAGAACAAACUUUCCAUAGAGCUUCCCGAUUGUUAUCAUGCCUACACAUGUAACUGAGCUUUCGUUUAGUGAAUUCAUAUUGGUUUUUCAUGAAAUGGUAGUGAUGUCUAGUUGCGAAGAGUAGACACGUCUCAAGUAAAUAGUUUACCAGACGAAUAAUUCAUAUUGCAAUAGAGUGAUGGAGUUGUUGAUGGUAGGAGUGAAUUCUCUGAAACGUGGUUACAUUUGGCGAGUAGGGAAUGGACAGAAUAUCAAAUAUCUAGGAAGAUGCUUAGAUUCCUAAUAUUGUGCCACUAGGAAAGUCGUUACAUCGAGGGGGCAUAUUUUAUCUAAAGUGGUCGAUUUGAUUGAUCCUGCUUCAAAUAAUUGGGAUGAAGACCUGAUUAGACAAACUAUGUGGCCCAUUGAUGUCCAAUGGAUACUUGCAGUCCCACUGCCACAACAUGAUAUGCCAGACUUUGUUGCUUGGAGUUAUACGAAAAAUGGUAUAUUUUUGGUUCAGUCUGCAUAUUUUGUGGAAUGGGACCAUCAGCAUCGAAGUAAAUUGAGACAUUCUGAUGGAAUGGGAUGAACCACAGUUAACCCUAUUUGGACUAAGGUACGAAAAUUAUCUUGCCUGACAAAAGUCAAAAAAAUUAUCUGGCGUACCCUACAUUGCACACUUUCAUGUCGUGUUACACUCACAAACAGACAUAUGAAGAUCUCGCCCACUUGUCCUACUUGCUCCAAAGGUUUAGAAGAUAUGAAGCACAUUCUACCUCUGUAAUAAAGCAAGGAGGUUUGGAGAAGGUUGGGAUGGAUGAUAUUAUUGAUAAACCCUGUGAGGUUGAUCGUGCUAGAGAGGCAGUGCUUGAAUACUUACUUCUUCUACUAGACCAAGAAUUGUGGAUUACGAGUCAUUAGAAUGUGCAUGAAAUGAUUGCUAUAAUCUCAGCCUGGUACCUAUUGUGGGAUUGGGAAAGACGUAAAUUAGUGCACGAGAAGACAACUUAGAAUGCGUAUCAGAUCCCUAGGGGAAUAUUAGCUCUUACGGCAGACUUUGUAACUGCUUCUUCUCCAAAGGCCUCUGUGAAAAGGGGGGCUGGUUUUUCCCUCCAGUGGAUUUUUUGAAACUUAAUGUUGAUGCUUCUUUUGACCAUGACCAUCUCAAGGGCACGAUGGGGGUUGUCCUUAGAAUGACAAAGGAAAAUUUAUUGCUGGAGGAAUGGGAGGAUAGACUACUAUGCGGAUGACUUGACCGCUGAAGCCUUGGCUCUCAAAUUCGGACUAUCGUUGGUGCCUGGCGCAAUGAUCGGGAUGUAAUCGCCUUAUUAUUAACUCGGACAAUCUACACGUGAUUGAUACAAUGAAGGAUUGAGGACAGUUGGCGGGUGCAGUGGCAGCUAUUUUCGAUGAUUGUUUUCAUUAUUCUUGUGAUUUUAUUAUUACUAGGUUCCAACACCGUAACAGAGAAUCAAAUAAAAUUGCUCACGAGCUCGCUAGAUUAGCUAAAUUUUCUUUGACUUCUGAUUGGUUUGAGGAGCCCUUAAAUGAAAUUGUAACAACCCUCAUAAACAAUGUAUUGGUUAUUUCUGAUGAAUAAAUUUCUGGGUUUAUUAAAAUAGUUUUUCUAAUUCACAUCUAGAUGUUUUCCAAGAAUGUCACAUCUAAGCUCCCACAAAUAGCACAGCAACAAGGAACAAAAAAAGCUUGAACAAAAAAUAGACCACAAACAUAGUGGACAUCAGGUUAGAUGUGACAUAACUAUGUCACAUCUAGAUGUUUCCUAGACAGACCCUUACUAAAAAAAGUCCGACAAGAACAUCUACCUUCUGUAAAUUUCUUCAAGUCUGAAGAUAAAACAAAUUAUAGUUGUAAGUAGUUUAUCGAUGGUAUCUGCACAAAAUAUCUAUUUCCACGUUGUAAAAAUAUAGGACAUGUAGGUAUAUACAAGCAGAUUUAGGAAUAUAAUAUUUCUUCUUGCCAAAGAAAUUUAUUUUACUAAGAUUCUCCCUUCUGACUAAAAAUGAAGGAUUUUAUUCAAAUACUCACUCAUUGGUAGCUUGGAGGCAUAGACAGUCACCAUCCCAUAAAAAGUCAUAACAUAGUAGAAACAUAUAGGAAUUGAAAGGUUGAUUUGACCAUAAUACCAUUUACGAUUGUAACUUUGGGAUGAUAACAAUCUACCUUGAUAUAGUACAUAGAAAUUGCUUGUGCUAUCUUAUAUGAAGUUAGAGACCUGGUUUCUUCGUUGACAAUAUUUGUUUCUACCUGAGACCAGAAAAUCCCUUAGCAAAAUUAUCCAUAGAUUAAUUCAGUGGUCCACAUACUUGUAAGCAAUUGGUCAGAUCAUGUCAGAUUUCUCUUAAAUACCAUUUUUUGCUACUUAAAUACCGUAUGAAUCUAGCAGGUACCAGUCCAGCUAUCAGUAUAUAUGGUACUUUAUGCAAAAAGAAUCACCAAGAAUUGAAGUUUGAACCAUUGUGCCAUAGACUAUUAAUGGUGGAACAUGUGAAGUUAUCUAGUACUCCCUCCGGUCCUUUUUACUCUGCACAUUGGAUUUGCCCAAAGUCAAACUUAGCUAAGUUUGACCAAAUUUAUAUUAGAAAUUAUUAGCAUCUAUAAUAUCUAAUAAAUAUAAUAUGAAAAUAUAUUCCGAGAUGAAUCUAAUGAUGUUGGUGUUGUUAUGUAAAUGUCAAUAAUUUUUUAUAUAAACUUGGUCAAAGUUGGAUGAGAUUAACUUCAGACAAACUUAAUAUGCAGAGUAAAAAGGACCGGAGGGAGUACUGGAGCACAAAUUAAUGUUCUUUACAUUUAAUCCAUAACUAGAAGGGUCAGGCGCGCUUUGCUACACCGUCGCUAUUGUUGGGUUUCUUAAAAAAAUACUCACUCUGUUUCAAAUUAUAAGGUGUAUUACUCUUUUGAAAUGUCAACCAUUUGAAGUCUGAUCAAAUUUGUAGAGAAAUAUAUAUAAAUAAUAUAAUAUCAAAUUGGUAUGAUUAGAUUCAUCAUUAAAUAAUGUUUCAUACUUUUUUUGUUUAAUAUUGUGGAUGCCGAUAUUUUCUCGCUCUAAACUUGGUCGAAUUUGGAGAAAUAUGAAUUUCCAAAGAACUAAUACCCCUUAUAUUUUGAAACUAAUGGAAUAUUUAGUUUGGUGGGUGGAGGAGAUGAAAAAGUGUGCUUUACUUUUAUUCAUAAUGUGGUGAUUUGAUGGGUCUUUCGUGGUGUGGUUAUGUGUUAUCCGCUAACCAACGUAUAUUUAUGAGGGGAAAUUUAUGUGUCGGAGGUUGUAUGUACUAUAUUGGUGUUACAGUAUCGCAUGGUGCUGCUUUUUUCUGUGUGGUGGACGGGUGCAUGGGAUUGAUAUGUUUUUGUAGGCCGAUUGCUGCUGAUUGAUUUGAAAAAUUGUUGGCUACAUUUGAAAACCAAAUCCAAAAUUAAACACCUUAAUUGAAUGAAAAAGCUUCAAAAUGAAGGAACAUAGAAAAUUAGAAGAAUUGAAUGGAAAUAACUCUUUGAGAAUAAGACGAUCAAAAUUGAAUGACCCAAUUCUAAAUUCUUAAUCAAUUGUGAGGCCUUAAAACAAUCAAGUCUCUGUGCAUCAGUGUCAUCCCUGGAUCGGUAAUGCUGACACGCACAGUACUCGAGGAAUUAUAACAGAGUUUCAAUCACACACUUAUUACAUCAAGAACUCAUAAAGAGUAUUAUUACACAAAUAAAUCAUGGCUGAAGGCCAUCUAAACUAGAUAAUAGCGGAAGGCUUCGAUGGUAAAUGAGUCCAUCGACUCCAACAGCAUAGCUGAGUGCAAAACAACGACCUAUCGCACCUUAUUUGCCAUCUGAGUAGUCUGCAACAUAAGACGUUGCAGCUCGAAACGUGUCAGCACAUGGAAUAUGCUGGCAUCGUUACACUGUAAAGCAAUGAUUAAUGCAAAGACUAUAUCUACAUGCAAUAUUUGGCUGGUGGAGGCUGUAAGUUUCAUGGUUUUGCAUAAAGCUAGUUUUUCCCUACAACAAAGGCAUAAAUUUAUUUAACUACUCCCAUGUUGCCCAUUAUUUGAGAAGGUUCCUCCAACUCAAAUCCCAUUUAAAAGUAUCAUCAUUAACCCAACAUCAAAAUUAAUUAGAGUAACAUGUUGAGAUCACAUCAAUAGAUUCAAGUACUAGAUACUCAAGAUGUCCAUAACCGGGGACAUGGCUAACCAUGAUUAGUUUAUACACCCUGUAGAGUUUUGCGCACUUUUCCCCACAAGACUCGGCCGCAUCCAUGAUGGGAUGAUCGAGACAUAGCCUUUCUGAAGUAUUAACUCUCUACUCCGGGUAGACAGUACCACCUACAACCCUCUACAUUUGCUAGUCUACCUCUUCAAGAGCCCACGCAACUUACUCAACUAUGCCAGAGCCCAUAAUAGCUUGUGGUUGCACACAGAAAUUUCUAGCAUGAAUAAUCUUAUGUUCCCUUUGAGCCUGGGUGGCAUUCCAUAGGAUAAUCACACGGGGUACUCCGGGAUUUCCAAAACAGACAACAUUGGGUACUCCAGGUGCCUCAACCAAUCCACCCAGAUUUGUAUUAAAGUUGCCACCUUAAUGCUAUCCAAUUAAAAUAACUCUCAAACUUCCAUGUGUGAAUCACGAUCCAAUCCUCGUCUACGAGCAUGGCUAAGCAAUAAUAAGCAUAACGUAUAUUCCUGGGGUGAUCAAAAGGUAUUGGGUUCCUACCUCAAGCACUACAACCAAAACCACAUGUUCCCAAUCCUACCAAUGCAAGUGUUUGUGCGGCAGAACUAAUGCAUAGUAAAGUUGGGUAUAAAAGAGUAUGGUCAAAGUGUAACUUGCCUUGCUGACGAUCUGCAAACUCUAGAUAUUCGUAGUAACAAGCUUCGCACUCCGGGUAAUCUAGCAUAGACAAACAAUAGCAUACAUAAGCAAUCACUCAAACGAAACACGAGAAAACUCGAGAAAAGAUCCAAAUCGAACAUGAAACAAGCAACGGCUUAAACUAACAAGAGUCAAGACCUAACAGCAUUAUUAACAUUUGAAUUAGAUCUUAACGGAAAGUACAUGUGAUUAGCUACGAUUUGCAAAAAGAUUCAACUCAAGCGGAGCAACGAAACUCAAAAAAAUACGAACGAAACAAGAUCAUUUAAUAAUCUGUACUAAAGUAAAAUUUUACAGUAGCAAAAUGAUGUUCAAGUUGAUUAACUGGAAAGAGGGCUUCGAGACGAAGAUUUAGGUGAUGGUUUCAUCUAAGUUGGAUAAACGAGUAAAAAGUUAUACUAGUUUAAAGAUCAGGGGCUGAAUCGCGAUAAAAAUAAUCGCAGAUAAAUCCCUGGCAAAAAUAAAAUAAAAAGAAAAGACUAACGACCAAACGUUCACUGUCUGAACCUAACCCGCAAACAACGUUCGUUAAAACGAACGAACGGACGAAUGUCCGCUAAAUAAAUAAACCAACAAAAAACCGAUCUGAUAAAAUUAAACCGAAAACUAAAAAAGUCGGGGUUAACCAAAAAAAUCGACCGGUCAACGGCGGCGGCUCCGGCUAGAUCUGCGGCGGCAGCAGCGUUCGGCGACGGCGGGGCGGCGGCGGGUGGCUGCGGCGGCGGCGCNNNNNNNNNNNNNNNNNNNNNNNNNNNNNNNNNNNNNNNNNNNNNNNNNNNNNNNNNNNNNNNNNNNNNNNNNNNNNNNNNNNNNNNNNNNNNNNNNNNNNNNNNNNNNNNNNNNNNNNNNNNNNNNNNNNNNNNNNNNNNNNNNNNNNNNNNNNNNNNNNNNNNNNNNNNNNNNNNNNNNNNNNNNNNNNNNNNNNNNNNNNNNNNNNNNNNNNNNNNNNNNNNNNNNNNNNNNNNNNNNNNNNNNNNNNNNNNNNNNNNNNNNNNNNNNNNNNNNNNNNNNNNNNNNNNNNNNNNNNNNNNNNNNNNNNNNNNNNNNNNNNNNNNNNNNNNNNNNNNNNNNNNNNNNNNNNNNNNNNNNNNNNNNNNNNNNNNNNNNNNNNNNNNNNNNNNNNGGCGAAGUGGCGCAGCGGCGGAGGAGUGGCGCAGCGGCGGCGCUGCUCGGCUGUUGCUGCUGCUGGGGCGGGGCGGGCGGGGCGGCGGCUUUUAAGGAGGAGGGGGCGGGGUGCCUUGCCGGAGGGGCAAGGCGGCAACGGCGGAGUCCGAGCCGUACUCCACUUGAAGUCUGCCGGCGGCACGGCGACGCGGCGCAGGGGCGGUGGCACGAACGGGCCUGCUGGGCCAAUGGCCCAAUUCGGUCCAGGAACAUUUUUUAUUUUUUUUAAUAUUUUCGACCGAACAGAAAAAUCCUAAUAAAAUAUUUAAAAAAUCUAAAAAUACAAAAAAAAUCACCGUCUAAAUGAAAUAUUUAGAACAAAGUGAACAUUUUUCUCGCCUAUGCAAUUUUGAAAAAAUGCACAUUUUUCUAAUUAAAAUAAAAUAGAAAUAAAAUACCAGAAAAAUCAUAAUUGGAUUUUAAAAUUCUUUCUCCAAUAUUUCUUUAAAUUUGAAGAAGUCAUAUUAUCUUCUCUCGUUUAUUUUUUUAACAAUGGAAAUAUUUGGAGAGAAAAAUAAUAAAACCAAACUGAUCCUUUUCUUCAAAUUUGAGUAAACUCAAAUAUGAAUUUUGUGAAACCUUCAACUCUCUCCGUGGGUCCUUGAGUUGCUUAAGAUUUCUAGGAUCACAACCAAAAUUCAAGAAUAAAUAUGAUACGCAUAUGAUGGUCUAUGUAUAACAUCCAAAUUGAAAAUUGGGAUGUUACAAUAGUAUAAAGAAUUUAAUGAAAGAGCUUUAAGAAAUUGUUGACUAGGUUAAAAUCGGGUCACCAAGUUGCAAUUGGAGACCUCAGUUGAAUGUGGACUCUUUAAAACUAGGGAGCAUAGUUAUAGAAGAUAUGCAAAAGAAAGAGUCAAGCAAAGAGUUAAAUUAACAAGGGUAUUAAGGUUUGGUUUUAUCUAGGUGUUCAUAUUACUAACAAUGUCUGCUCGCAUGUAAAAAAAAAAGAAGAGAGCAUACAAUUACAACUUUUGAGAUAGCAGUUACCAUUGAUGCGUAUGGAUGCAUCCAUUCAUGACUGAGAAAUGAAGGGACAGUGCCAACCUAUACAUAGGAAGUGUAGGUAUGUUUGGUUCCAAAUCGUCAUUGUCUGCUAUAAUUAAUUCUGGCAUGUAACUUUGCCACUUGUAAAACUAAUUUUAAUCUUCUUCUGCCACAUAUCAAGAGAGUUGCAAAGACAUUUUUUAUGGCGACUGGUCUGCAUUGCUAUUUUUAAAUGCAUCUUUCUUUGGUCAUCAGAAACAUUGUCUCUAACUGCAGAUUUGCAUAAGGUGGCCACUUAGGGCGUGUUUGGUUGCCCGCAUUAGGCCCAGCCUGGCCCGAGCGGGAAGAAUUUAGCCCGUUUGGUUUCCUGCAUUCACUGUGUGGCCCGCAUCGCACGAAACUUAAAGCACAUCCAGGCCAGGCCCAGGGGAAACGCACGAAUCGGCAGUAGCUCAUGAGCCUGGCUCGGGCGAGGCAGGGGAAGGCGACGCGCUUCUCCCCUCGUGCGAGCAGGGGAGAUCGCGCGAGCUCGCCCGCGUCGCCAAAAAAUCGGCGGGGGGAUUUCGGCUCACCUCCCGUCGCUCCACCCCUAUUUAGCCCCUCCCUCACCACCCCAACACCUGCCACCAUUGUUCCUCCGUUCGCGCUUUCCCGCCGACGCGCAUCGGCACCAACGAGCAGGUAAGCGGCGCAUCUUCAUCGGUCGACGGUCCACGGCGUCAGAGCUCCUUCACCGGCCGGCGUUCAUCUUCCACGACCGUCCCCCCUCGUCCUCAAGCUGCGGCCAUGGCAUCUGUGAGUUCAAUCCCCCUUUCUCUCUGUUCCUUCUAGCUAGAUCUGAGCUACAGCUAGGGUUUGAUCUAGAUGCAUGGUUGAUUAGUGGUCUAAUCUGUGAGCUGAUAUGGUUGGUUGCUAUGCUGCGAUUGCAAUUUGUGGUAGGGCUAAAUGUUCAAGCAUGUGGUAGGCUAGAUUAGUAGUAGAGUUUGAAGUUGAACCUUGUGCUUGUGUUGAAUCAUGCUUAGAUCUGUGAUUUGUAGCUAUUGGUGGUCUAUUUGUAGCAUGAUGUUUGUUGUAGAUGUAUGUUCCUGCUCAUAGAUUGUCUGGUAUGCUUAGUAUGAUAGUGAUGAAGCAUGUGCUUGCUAUGAUAGUGAUGAACCAUGUACAUGUAUGCUCCUGCUUUCAUGGAUUGUCCAGUAUGUUGUGUGCUAUGCUCACUGUCAAUGCGUGCUACGAUUGUAGGGCAUGACCACGCAAACGCAAGAUCUUAGUCAGGCCCUUGUCGUGUCCGACAACCAGUUUGCUCUAUCGUUUGUUGAGGACUCACAGCCUAUGUCCGAGAUGGCACCUGAUUCAGAGGUGUUCGAGUCUGAUUCCCUCUAUGUGCCAGUAGUGCUCGUUAAGCCAACUCCUGCUGCCGCUGCUGCUGCCGCUGCAAUCAAGCUAGCAGCAGCAAAGGCAAAGAAGGAUGGUAGGCCGAACAACAUGAAGUGGCAGCCGUUCAUGUCCACGUUCAUGCUGAACAAGAUGUGUGAGCUCAUCUCUAGUGGAGUUAGGACUGACAAGGGCUUCAAGGAGGUGCACUUGAACACCAUUGUGAAGCAGGUGUUCGAGUUCUGUGGGCAAGAGGUGUCUGCCACCCAGGUGUACAACCACCUGAGGAAGUGGAGAAGUCGAUGGAUCCAAGUGUCCAAGCUAAGAGACCGUAGCGGCGCCUCAUGGGAUGAGAACACUUGCUCCAUAGUUCUGGAGGCAGAGCACAACGCCGGCCAUGUCGCGGUUAGCUCACAGCCCUCUUCCUUUUCAUACUGUCCACCAUUGCCUGCUCCUAAUCGCAACUAACAACACUUGUGUUUCAUUCUUAGGACCACCCAAGGGACGUUGAGUUCCUCAACACACCCAUCCAGAACUACAACCAGAUGCAGCACAUCUUCUCCUUCGGGCUGGCAACUGGGAAGCAUGCCAUGGGCUCGGGUGAGCCUCUUGGUUCUCCCAUGCCAGACUUCCCUGGGACACAGGACGUUGAGGUCCUUGAUGGCCCUGACAAGCCCGCUGCGAAGCCCUUCGACAAGCCAUUUGACUCCGUCCAUGAUAGGAAGAGGAAGAGUGGAGGCAUGAUGGAGGAGGAGAUCAAUGUCUUUUGCAGCAUGACUGAGGCGGUGGAGGUGGCAACAGCCAUCAGGGAGUGCAAGCCCCUCGAUGUCCACCCUGACCUGUAUGGCGCUGUCAUGACCCAGGGUGGAUUCAGCGACGAGGCUCUCAUGGCAGCUCUCAGCCACCUGCUUGACAACAAGGCCCAGGGUGUUGGGUUCGUUGCCAUGGCCGACGCUCAUAGGGUGAUGUGGCUCAGGAGCUGGCUGGGCAAGCACUACUACUAGAGUAGUGCUGCCUGUGAGUGUGCAUGAUCCCCGACGGCGAUGGAGGUGGCGGCGACGACGACGAUGACGAUGACGACGUACAUUUUGUGUAGCUGGGGCUCAAAAACUAUUUGAUGGUCUGUAUAUUUUCGUGAGGUGGUAUAUACUAACCCCUCACGCUGAUGGUUAACUUGCGAUGGUAGGACGACACCCUCUUUUGGAUGUGGUGGUAGGCAGUGGCGGAGCUAGCAUUUGACACCAGGGUGGUCCACCUUUAAUUUUUUUUACAACAACUAUGACUUGCAAAUAUUUCAACUAAUUGCAAAUACCACAGAAAUAGAUAAAUACACACUAAAAUUCUCAUUCAAGUCUCAGUUUUGAAUAAAAGAAGCCUACAUAGUACAGUACAUACCUUGAGAAGUUAAUCGUGAAAAUAUCAAUUAUAUCAUCUUCAUUCACCACAUAAAAAACAUCCAACUCAAUAUAUGUGACUAUGCAAUCAUCCAAAAGAUUAUCACCCAUCUUAUUUUUCAACUUGUUCUUGACUGAACAUGGUGGUGAAAAAGUUUUGCAAUAUCUCCGGUUCUCUUCAUUCAUUAAUAAUUCUAUAAUAAGAAUUUACUUUGUAUCAAUCAUAAAUUUAUAUGACAAAACUGAACAAAAAUAAUAUGCUUAAUUAUGUGUGUUGUUCAUCGGAUCAUGUUCAUCAGUCCAUGUAUUGUACUGUCCAGACCGCAAUACAAAAAAUAGCAAGCAAACCAUAAAUCAAAAAUUGAAAAAUUGGGGAAUGGAUGAAUGAUACCUCAAAUCAGGUAGAACCGGGUGCUGGAAUGUGAACUGGGCGGCUGCCGCUGGCUUGCAGGCUUGCAGCGGCACCAGGCGGAUGGCUGGGACAGGGGAGGGUCGCGGUCUAGGACGAUGGUGCAGCUGGUGCCUAGCGCCGGGCAGGCCGAGGGCGCAGCGGGGAGAUAGGAGCAGAGGAGCAUCCUGGGGGGGCGAGAGCCGGCGCCGGCGAGGCAGGCGGAGGCGGAGAUAGGCCGAUGGCGACGGGGCAGCCGGCGGCUGCGUGUCGGGAAGAGGUCUCCCGCAGUCGUGCUUGGUGUCGGGCUGCAAGCGAGAGGCGCUGGUUGUUUUGCGUCAAAGUGUUGUUGGGCCAUUUUUUUCCAUUCCCAAGCCCAUCUCUAUGCGCCCGGGUCAAAAUUCCAGGGUGGGCCGCGGCCCACCCUGGCCACCCUGUAGCUCCGCCCCUGGUGGUAGGUUAACACCAGGUAGUGCUAGGUUGAACUUGCUAUGUCGUAUGAUCAUGCAUGCUUUACUUCUCUUCUACUCCAUUGUUGUUUGUGUGCUACUUGUGCUCCAUUGAUAUGCUGCUUCAACUCUUGCUCUUGUGCAUUGCUAGGGCAAGUGGUAUGCCGUGUUCAUCGGUGAGGUUCCAGGGGUUUAUAGUUCCAUGGGAAGAAGCCAAUGCACAAGUGGCAUCGUAUAGCAACAACAACUAUAGAGGGUUCAAGACUAAGCAGGCAGCAGAACAAGCUUACUCCGCCUGGGUGCGAAAGCACGGAGGCAGCCGUGUUGACCGUGCUUGGAGCUAUCAAAGUGGAAGCUGCUAAGGUGGAUCGUCAGUUCGUCCUUUAUCUAAAGAACUUCAUCAUCUUCUCUCAGUUCGUCACCAUUGUUGUGUUGUGGCGUUGGUGUGCUAGGUGUGAUCAUUGUGGGUAAGCUCGCCAACUAGGGUACAAGGUAAGUACAACAUGUACGCCGUAUGCAAUCAAACGCCAUGUUCAUGUACCGCUAGGGCCAAUGCAGCCAACCAAACAAAGUGCACUUGCGUAUUACCUAAUGCAGGUACUAGGGAGGCAACCAAACAAGUUUCAUAUGGCGUAUUAGGGCCUGUUUUUCCUUCCAAACUGGAACCAAACACGCCCUUAGUUUCCACUAAACACAUGACGAAUCUAACUAUCCAGUUACAUUAGAUACCAUAGACUUGUGAAGAACAAAUCAGCCUCAUCUGCACAUAAGCAGUGCAGAAAAUUCAAGCAGACGGAAACAACAAACUUGUGGAGGACAAAUGAGACUUUGCAUAUAACUUAAGUUCGGAAAAUUCUGAGCAACAGUAACCAUAGGAGGGGGGGACUGGCAGAAACAAACAAUUAUCAUAUCACAAUGAACCUCCAACAUAGCUCGCUCACCUGUCUGCCAAAUUUCUAAUAAAAUCUUCACUACCACCCAAGUGUAGUUUCGGGUCAAGCAUAACGAGAGACGUGGUUACUCAAAGAAGCUACGAUGCCAACAAAAGAAAGCAGCAAGCAGUCAAAACAAAGGGUAGUACAACUGAUAUAAUAUAGUUCAUAUUAUCUUGUUGCAGAUCACAUAAUAAAUAAAGCGACAAGAGUCGGUGUUGAGGCAAUAUAGACGAGAUGGAUACAUAUUAAUAAAAAAGGUCUAGAAACAGACAAACGAAGGAUAGUCCUGAGACACCCUCCAUCAAUGCACAUGCAUUAUUUUCAGGUCAUAUACUCCAGUUCAGCUCAAAUGCAAACUCCUUCCACUUGUUAAUCACCAUGGCGUCAUCUCCGGUCACUGCUCAGCUUCUUGCACGCCUUUCCCUGGCAUAUCAAAUUUAGCAUGUCUUCAGUAAUACUAGUUCGGAAGAAAAAAAAGCUGAUCCAUACCCAACUUUGAUUCACGGCCCAAAUAUAUAACCACUACUUUAUGCUUCCUUGUGAAAUGGAACGAGGAAAAAGUCCAAACUUGUUUACAAGAUGUAGGGCUCUAUAAGUAAAUACUCCCUCUGUCCCAUAAUAUAGGGACUGCAAAAACGUCUUAUAUUGUGGGAUGAAGGAAGUAUGUUAUUACAACCAAUAUGUGUAGAUACUGGUUUUAAUAAUAUCUUGUAUUAUGGGACGGAGGGAGUAGCUUAUAGUAGUAGAAUGCAGCAACACAAGCUGUAACGUGUCACAGGGAAAGUUAAUUGUUCCGGUGAGAAUUUCACAGCAACAGUAGAAAACUGUAGUUCCCAAAAUGCUAGCAUUUAACUUCAGUAUUGGCUGUAUAUCUUCUUCCACCACAUGUUACACUCUGUGUUAUCGGUGCUGUGCCCCUAUACUAUAAUGUGUUCAACACCUCACCAAGUUCUUCCCAAAUCCAUAGUGGCAAACAUCACCGAUCCUAAACCUGUCUUUGAGCUGAAUGAUAUCAUUGGCCUACCAUAUCUUAUUUCGGUUGAAUUUAGAGUAUCCUCCCUAAUAAACCCUGCAAUGUCUAUGUGUGUGAUAUGNNNNNNNNNNNNNNNNNNNNNNNNNNNNNNNNNNNNNNNNNNNNNNNNNNNNNNNNNNNNNNNNNNNNNNNNNNNNNNNNNNNNNNNNNNNNNNNNNNNNNNNNNNNNNNNNNNNNNNNNNNNNNNNNNNNNNNNNNNNNNNNNNNNNNNNNNNNNNNNNNNNNNNNNNNNNNNNNNNNNNNNNNNNNNNNNNNNNNNNNNNNNNNNNNNNNNNNNNNNNNNNNNNNNNNNNNNNNNNNNNNNNNNNNNNNNNNNNNNNNNNNNNNNNGAACUUUUUUAGCAUGCACUGAAAGUGGCAGACAGUAAGGCAGUGGUGGAAACAGUUACCUGGACCAACUUUGAGAUAUUUGGAGAUCGUACUUGAAUCGUAGCCCCUGGCUAAACCAAUAGCCCUCUUGGGGCUAAACUCAGCCACUCUCUGGACAGUGUUGUUCUUCAUGUCAACAGCAAGCACCCAUGAUGUGUGCUGCCUGUCGCGGUAGUCAAUCUUAGCUAGUAAGUAAAGAAUGCAAUCAUCUUGCAGGCUCAGCUUGGGCAGGCCAAUAUGGAGAGUCGACAAGGUAGGCUGUGACACCUUCACGGACCUUCAGCUUAGGCAGCGGCGGUUCAGGUAUAGCAGAGGAAUCGAACUGGCAAUCGACACUCCAAUGCGCUUUGGAGAAGAUGCCAGUCUUGAUGCUCCAUAUUGUGGCCUUCCAACCAAUAGCACGGUGCUCCAGCUCGACCAUCUUGAUGAAGCCAUUAAGGACUGAAACGUCCCGAACAGCGGGCGAUCGAGUUGCAUUGCUAGGCAGUCUUAAGAAAUGAGGCUUGGGGCGUUUGUCCAGCACGUUGCAGAAGAUGAUCAUAUGCGAGAGAUCAACCCAGGCCACUGUUCCUUCAUCACCUCCGAUUGUGAUUGCCUUGUAUGUGAUGAACUCGUCGGCGUCGGGGACUGAAUCGACAUUCACUGGCAGCUUGCUCCAGGAGUUGGUAUCAUGGUCAUAGAGGCAGAGGUGAGAAGGAUUGCCAUAUCUGAACCCAUUAGCUCUGGGUGGUCGUUGCCGGGCUGCUUGAUGUGCUUGAGCUCGGGAACACUGGCGUCGUAGACGAAGUAGUGUCGAUUGCGGCGAUACAACGCAUCGGAUGGGCAAUCACCGACUACGACGCAUAGGAGGACGAGCCCACCGUCAGUCUCUGUGGCGACUAUGCUAGGCCGGGUGGCGAACACGUUGUGGUCGUAGGCGGUGACGUGGAAGCAUAGGUAGGAGACCUGCGGUGGUUGGGCGGUGCAGAAGGUGACCUCGAUGUUACCCCGGAGACGGAGACCCUCCAAGCCGCAGUCGGCGGUGGUGGCGUUGCGGCGGUCGGCAAAGAAGGCGUAUGGCUCGAUCAAGACGAAGCUUGGCUGGUCGCCACCGCCGUCGGGGUAGCCAUAAGCAGGGGAUUCAAGGACGGGGAAUCCUGUGUGAUUGGGCGCCUGCGGAAAAUCAAUACCUUUCCCUCUCCUGCGGAUGGACUGCUGUCAGGCUUCUUGACGGCUUCCUCCCCGCCGAGGUAAGAAGCAGCAAGAGCAGCCAGGCCGCUGUCCAUGGAUUGCAGAUCGAGUGCCAUCAAGCUCUUCCUCUCCGGUGUGUGGAUCGAUCCCAGAUCGGUUGGCCCUCCUCUCCGCCUUGGGUGUGUGGAUGGAUUUAUGUGGGGAAGGUGAGGUUGGAGUCGAUCAGAGUCGGAGAUCGAGAUGAGAUUGCAGCCGGAGCGAAAGGGGAGCAACCAGCCGCCGCUAUACCAGGAGAACGAGGGUUGGGUGGGGAGUGCCUCGUAAGCUAGGGUUAUGUUUCCCUUCAACAUCUGUUUGGGGUGGAACUUUGCGCCUCCCACAGCCGAGAGAAAAUCGGCUAUUUGCCCCUUUCAAUACCGGGCUUCGCAAAAUUGCCACUCUCAAGAUUGGCUUCGCAAAAAUGCCAUCAAGCUCGUGUGCACGUUGAUUACUAUGCCAUUUUCCUUUUUUAUUAUUGUUUUCCUUUUCUUUUCCAUUUUUUGGCACCUGAAAAGACCAUAGUACCCCUCACGCUAUCUUCACGUACUACUUGGGAUUCAGAUCGGCACUUGAAGCGAAACGAGCUCGUGCUGUCCUGCCGAGAAAAGCGACGCGAGGGUGAGCUGUGUCGGAGCGUGCAGACAUGGACGAGCGCCGGCGGAGAGCGGCAGUGAUGAGGGCGAGUUUCAGCGGAGCGUGCAGACAUGGACGAGCGCCGGCGGAGAGCGGCAGUGACGGAGGGCAACUUGCAGCAGCGCGUGCAACCAUGGGCGAGCGCCUGCAGCGACCAGCGGCUCGGACAGGCAUGAGAAAGCUAGGGCGGCGAGUUCAUGUAGCUCGCGCAGGCAUCAACGAGGUACAACAGCGAGCAACCAUGAUGACAAGAACGAGAUAAGCCUGAGAGCAAAAUCCGAUGCCAACACAGCCAGACCACAAACGCAUUGGAUAAGGUUGAAACAACCAGGGGUACUUCGGUCCUUUCAAGUGCCAGAAAAUGGAAAAGAAAAAGAAAAACAAUGAAAAGGGAAAAAUGGCAUGGUAAUCAAAGUGCACAUGAGCUAGGUGACAUUUUUGCAAAGCCAAUCUUGAGAGUGGCAAUUUUGCGAAGCCCGGUAUUGAAAGUGGCAAAUAGCCGAUUUUCUCCACAACUCACGGUGGCGAUGCAAGUCUCUAUCAAUAUAUUGUUAGAGUUUUUUUUGUUUUUGUCUUUUUAAGGCAUGAACUUUUUCCGAGAGCAACUAGUUGACGAGCGCCCAUUUGGGAGCCUCGGAACGAUCAACGCCACUUGACGCGCUCUCACUCAUUCGCCACAUGUCGCGCUCUGGACGCUCCAUCCGGAUUUUGUUUUUUAUUUUUAUUUUUCCGCACUCGUUUUCGGUUUUUAAAACGGUUUUUUGUGUCUUUUCGACGUUUCGGUUUUCCACUUGUCUUCCUUAGCUUUUGGAUAAAAAAAUUGCGCGAAAGAACGUGUUUUCUUUUUUUCCCUUUCGCGAGAGUCACGGUUUUGCUUUCGCGAGUGUCACGGUCAUGCCUCUCGGAAAUGAAAAAAACAUGUUUUCUGUUUUAUUUCCUUCCGCGAGAGUCACAGCUUUGCUUUCGCGAGAGGCACGGUUGUGCUUUCGCGAGAGUCACGGUCGUGCCUCUUGGAAACGGGGAAAAUGCGUUUUUUUGUUUUUUUUUCUUUCGCGAGAGUCACGCUUUUGCUUCCGCGAGAGGCAUGGUUGUGUUUUCAUGAGAGUCAUGGUGGUGCCUCUCGGAAACGGAAAAAACACAUUUUCUGUUUUUUCUCUUUCAUGAGAGUCACGAUUUUGCUUCCGCGAGAGGCAUGGUCGUGCUUUCGCGAGAAGCAUGGUCGUGCCUCUCCUCGGAAAUGAAAAAAACGUGUUUUUUCUUUGUUUUUUCCUUCCGCUGGAGUCACGGUUUUGCUUUCAUGAGGGACACGGUUGUGAUUUUGUGAGAGGCACGGGCGUGCCUCUUUUGGAAAGGGAAAAAACCCGUGCUCCCGGCUCGGUUUUUUGUAUGGUUUUUUCUUUCGGUUUUUUCAUGAAAAAAAGUUCGUCAAAACCUAUCAACAUGAGAUCUAGUUUUGAAGAUCUCGAUGCAAGGAAUCCAAUGGUGAAAGCGGUUCGAGAUUUGGACGCGUGGUUUAAGAGAUAAACUGUUUUGAAUUAAAGGAUCUACGAAAAAGGGAAAACUCUCAGGUUGCGACAAGUGGCGCACAUGCAGCACGCCACUUGUUGUAACCUAGGAAAGUUGGAGUGAUCUUUGCAAUGAGACUCCUCAACUAGUGAUUUCAACUUUUCCCCCUAGUGUGAUGUAGGGUCCCUUCUUUUCCUUUGGCGUUGUCCAUGUAAAAACGUCGACACCGGCCGGAUCUCACGACGAUGGCUUUCUUGAUGUAUUUGGGUAUAAACUAAACAAGGUGCCGGUGUGGGCUCAAAUUCAAGGAUGCAUGGGUGGUUUGACAAGGAAGGGAGAACUCGCCGAGAAAGUUGUUGCUAAAGUUGGGGAUCCGCCCUUCACCAUAAUGGUUGACAAUGGAGUAAUAAACCCGGGUAGUACCCCUCUUGCAGGAGUUUUUUGGCUAUGGAAAUUAUUACUACCUUUGGUGAUUCAAAAAUGGAGAAAAAAGAUUCUCGCUCGUUUCCCCAGAGGUGACCCCGAGUUAUUGAACCCACGGGAGGAAGACCCCCUUGAAGCUAAACAAGCUUUUGUUAAAGAAAAACCCUAGCUUUAGGCCGGAUGAAAAUCAAACAAACUGAAGGGGAACACAUAUGACAAAAAAUAGGCGCGGGUGUGAGAUCUUAAUGCUCACAACCCUAUAUUUGUGUUGGGACCAAAUAUGAUCUUAAUUUGUGUGUUGAAAGUCACCCAUUGAGAUGUUCUUGUUACAAACUAAAGUGGGGGGGUGUCCAAAUUACGUCUUGACUGGCACGCAUCCUGCUUCAAGAGUCAGUUGUUCAACCAAAGGCCCUACCCAUCUUGUGGGGUUGCCUCGAGAAUUAAGAUUGCAAUAACUAGACAAGAGCUUUGGGUGUUUAAUGAUUACACCUCUUGAAUCCCCAGGGAUAGGAUCAAUAUUACCAUACUAAACCUUUCUAUAACUGGUGUUUAGAAUAACACUUUACGGUCUCUCUGCGCUUAGCCUCUUCGUGGCUCACUCUUUAUGAUCCUAGUGUUGAGAAACGUAGUAGAAAACAAAAAAAAUCGCCCUGCGAUCAACGAGGUAUGCCAUGAAGAUGCAAUAACAGUUUGGAUCGGAUCGUUACCAACUCUGAGUUGCAGCGGAAGAAGACAAGUUGGUGUAGAUCGUACUUGAAGUCCCUCGAACCGUCGAUGAAUGAUCCCUCAAACAGACGAUCAGAAGCACGACCUCUUCACAGUUUGCAAGCGUACGGUCUUAGCGAUCCGGCAACGCUUUGCUGUUCUGAGCUAAUCAUCACCGAAGACUUAGAGGGAGGAUUAGAGGGAGGACUAAAGGAUCUAGGUCUUUCUCUAAUUACUCAACUAGGACCAACUAGAACUAGACCUAGUUGAACUAGAGGAGGCUUCAAAACUUGUGUGUUGAAUUGUGGCCAAAACGUCUAGUAUAUAUAGGUUGGAGGAGGGGCAGGCGGCGCCACAUAAGGGUGGAGUUUCCCCCUCCUCCCUUGGUCGGCCUAGAGGAGGGGGAACCCCCUCCAAUUUGGCUUCCCCCUUGCUUCUACAAGGGGUAAAGUGGGCUCCACCUAUAUUGGUCCCAAGUGUCCCAAUAUGCUUUCCACCACUUGGCCUUUUAAGGCCCCACUAGAGAAGCACGUGUUAUACAAACCGUUUUUAACCCCUUUCUGUGACAGAGUUUAAAACCUUUGCCUUGCCUGUGUGUGCAAUAGUGUGGCACCCCGGCUCAGAGGAACCGGAACACCCUGUAUUCCAGCCCAGAUAUCAAGUCUUCUGGAAUACGACACUGCUUGGCAUAGAAAGGUCUUAUUACAAAUAAUAGGGUUACAAAGGCUCUGGUAUACAAAAGAUUACAUCGGUGCGGCGACACUACGUCUGCUAAGGUAGCUCUAUGCUAGCUGCGGAACAAGUUGUAGCAAUGGAAUAACUUUUAGCAGCGAAACAACGACGACGGAGAUGGACUUCACUCCAUAGGGACUCUGGCUGGGAUACGUCCUAGCUCGCAAACUCGGGAUCCUUGACAAGCAAUCAAUCAUGGCAUCACCUUCAAUCUGGCAUGACACGCCAGGUGAGUACUUUGAAUGUACUCGCAAGCUCACAACAACCAAAGCAAUCAAGGCAAACAAUAGCAUGGCAUUUACAGGUUAAUUAUCAAUGAUGAACAUGAUACUACUAGAACAAUUGAAAGAGUGAGCAUGGCAUUUACAUGUUACUCAUGAUAUGAACAUGAUGAUGCUAAUGCUAGCAUGAAGGGGAGUAAACAUUUAAGGUCUCAUGGACCAACUUACUCAUCUCGGAGGUUAUCCCAUAACCACCAUAUGUAUCAAGCUUACCGUCGUGAACAUCACAUGAUCACCCCAAGAUCAACCAAGCUCGGUAUCAACAAUACCAUCAUGAUCAUCACAUGACCACGAGGAGCUUGAUCUUUACCUGUGAUCAUCGCAUGACCACAUAAAGAUCAACCAACUUAUUUCCUCACGGAACCGGGGUUAUUUAUUAUCUAGGUUAUUAUUUCUAUUACCCCGUAGUGUGACCUGCAAUGAACUAUGCCCAUAACCGAGGGUGUGACUAUCGAUAGAUUAUACACUUUGUAGAGGUUAGUACACUGUAGCCACACUAUGGAACCCAUGGCCUCGUGCUCCCAUUCAGGUGGACCAAUGACGUUCCAACAAAACCGAUCUAUUGCAUGAUGCUUUGCCGACCACUCCGAAAAACUCCCCUUUGGGCUAUGUCGUGGGUGGCCCCGAUGUCAACUCGUGACAUCCGCCACCUUCAUGUCCGCCACCAUCGUGUCAAAACUAAAACAAAAUCAUCCCAAAUGGGGACUUGUGCACAUGUGUCCAAACUGGACACACAAGGUUAUUGCCGCCUGCCAGGACAGGGUAGCACGCGCACAUAAACUUCCCUAGUUGGAGGCACCGGUGAGAGGCAUGACAAUAGAACGAAUUAGGGCCUCCCCAUCCAGGCAAGCGUGGUUGCACCAGUGAGCUCGAUUUGGUGGCACCAUGACUCGGCCAACAGAUUUGUUCAAGUUCAAUCAAUGUCAGGUUUAACUUGAAUGGGAUGAGUUGAGCCAUAGAAAAAUAACAUGAAGAAAUAAUAAUGCAUAAAAGCAUGAUAUAUUACAAUAGGUAAUCAACAAGAUUGAUUCUAUGUUAUAUGUAAAGCAGGUAAUAUUGGUGAACUCUACACCUGGACCACAUGACCCGCGAGAAGAAACUGUCAUACAUGAUCCCUUUUCCGUUUUAACGUGAUCAUCUCACAGAGUUGGCAAGCGAAGAUCACAAAAAGCACAGACUAGUACAAGGAUGAUACGUCCAUUUUGCAUCAUGUUUACCUACUGUUAUUUACUAUAUUUUGUGCAUAAUAAUGUUUUUUGGAGUAAUUCUAAUGCCUUUUCUCUCAUAGUAUGCUAGGUUUACACAAAGAGGAAGAAUACCAACAACUGGAAUUCUGGACCUGAAAAGCUACGUUAGAGUUACCUAUUCUGCACAUCUCCAAAUGAGCUGAAACUUUACGGAGAAUUAUUUUGGAAUAAAAGAAAAAUACUGAAGCAAAUAACUACCGGCGGAGGCCCACCAGGUGGGCAUAACCCACCUAGGCGCGCCCUGGUGGGUUAUGCCCUCCUCGGCCCACCUCCGGUGCCCCUCUUCUGGUAUAUAAGUCAUUUUGACCUAGAAAAAAAUAAGAAGAGGACUUUCGGGACAAAGCGCCACCGUCUUGAGGUGGAACUUGGGCAGGAGCACGUUUUCCCUCUGGCGAAGCGAUUCCGCCGGGGGAACUUCCCUCCCGAAGGGGGAAAUCAUCGUCAACAUCAUCACCAACAACUCUCCCAUCUUGGGGAGGGUAAUAUCCAUCAACCUCUUCAACACCACCAUCUCCUCUCAAACCCUAGUUCAUAUCUUGUGUUUUGUCUUUGCACAGGAUCCUUAGAUUGGUGCUUGUGGGUGACUAGUAGUGUUGGUUACAUCUUGUAGUUGAUUAAUAUACGGUUUAUUUGGUGGAAGAUUAUACGUUCAGACCCAUUAUGAUAUUUAAUACCCCUCUGAUCAUGAGCAUGAUUAUCAUUUGUGAGUAGUUACUUUUGUUCUUGAGGUCACCGGAGAAAUCUUGUUGCAAGUAAUCAUGCAAACUUGAUAUGUGUUUGAUAUUUUGAUAAUAUGUAUGUUGUGAUUCCCUUAGUGGUGCCAUGUAAACGUUGACUACAUGACACUUCACCAUAUUCGGGCCUAAGGGGAUGCAUUGUGGAGUAAUUAUUAGAUGAUGGGUUGCUAGAGUGAUAGAAGCUUAAACCCUAGUGUAUGCGCUACUUCAUAAGGGGACGAUUUGGAUCCAAAAGUUUAAUGCUAUGGUUAGAUUUUAUCUUAAUACUUUUCUCGUAGUUGCGGAUUCUUGCAAGGGGGUUAAUCAUAAGUAGGAGGUUUGUUCAAGUAAGAACAUCACCUAAGCACCGGUCCACCCACAUAUCAAAUUAUCAAAGUAGCAAACACAAAUCGAACCAACAUGAUGAAAGUGACUAGAUGAAAUUCCCGUGUACCCUCAAGAACGCUUUGCCUAUUAUAAGAAAUUGUUUUGGCCUAUCCUUUGCCACAAAAGGAUUGGGCUACCUUGCUAUACUUUAUUUACUGUUAUCAUUACUUGCUCGUUACACAUUAUCUUGCUAUGAAACUAUAUGUUAUGUACAAUUUCAGUGCUUGCAGAAGUUACCUUGCUGAAAACCACUUGUCAUUUCCUUCUGCACCUCGUUGGGUUUGACACUCUUACUUAUCGAAAGGACUACGAUUGAUCCCCUAUACUUGUGGGUCAUCAAUGCUCUUUUAUAGCACCGUUGCCGGGGAGUGAAGCGCUCUUGGUAAGUUGAAAUUGGUAAGGGAAAAUUAUUAUUACGUGCUGAAAUUUAUUGUCACUUGCUACUAUGGAGAACAAUCCUUUGAGGGGUGGCUGUUAGCGGGUUAUCAGAUCCAAAAUCGGACCUGAUAGCUUAACGGUGACCCAUUACGGUGGAUGCCACGUGUCGAUCACCCUUGACGAAAGCAAUUCCAUGACGCGCGAUUUAUCAUCAUGGAAGUGGACACUUCCGUGAUGAUAAUUUUGGUAGUGGCAUGGAACACUUCUACGACAGCACAAGUAUGACUAUCUUGAUUCUGUCAUAAAAUCACCAUGGAUGUACAUGCAUGACAAAAAACGUGACCUACUGUGACAAACACGUAUCAUCACGGAAGUGUAUUUUUUGUAGUGGUGAGUCUAGUGUAUUACCUAUGCAGAGUGUUAUUUAAAUCUAUCGAUAGUCACGUCCUCGAUUACGGACAUAACUCGUGAGUAAGUCACACCAUUAAUCAACAUUAAUAAGUAAUCUUGCACACUAAGUUAUGUUUGGCACUGGUAAAGUGAUGAUGUCGGUGAAACUGAUUGUUGUGGAAACCAAAGUGUUGGUUUUGUUUGUGAUCCGGGAAUGAUCACCAUUUGGUUACGAGGUAACCCAUUGGUAAGAGAGUCUGAGGGACUCGGUGAACAAGUUUGUUUGCACUACAUUUGUAGUAUGUUACUAUCCUACAUUCAACUUGAUUAAAUGUCAUGAUAUUGCUUGCCAUUAUGUUUAUGCUUGUUGUGAGCUUGCAAGUACAUUCAAUGUACUGACCUGGCGUGUUAUGCCAGAUUUUAGGAAAAUCUAACCGGAUCGGAGUGCUGCCGUGUUUAGAUCGGGUCCACAUCGGUGUCCCUAUGCUAUGGAGUCCUGCUUCAUCGUCAUUCCGCUGCCGCGUAGUUGUCGUGAUCGUGGCCCCUUUAUGUUCACUAAAUAAUGUACAUAUUGUUCAGCCGCACCGUGUGUGCCGCUUGGCCUCGCUACUUGAUGUAAUAUUGCACUAUGUUUCCGCUAGCAUCAAUAAAGCGGUUGUUUUCUGUAUGAAGAUGUUGUGUGUUGCCAAAAGACUUGAUCUCUGAGCUGGCAAUGCAAGGUAAACUGGUUGCUCUGAGUUGGGGUGCCACAAAGGCAUACAUAUAUUUUUUAAAUUGAACCAUUCCCGACCUUUCCUAUUCUUUUAAGCAUAUUUUGUGCAGCUCAACUAAAAUAAAAUGCCAUCACCGCCUUGACAAUUCAGUGACACUGUAUAAAAAGAAAUGACUUAACAUUACAUCAUGAUGCCAGGUAUGUAAUCGACAGGCAUUAGAGACAAACAUACAGACCUCCUUUGAUAACAUAAUGAACAUUGAUUUUAACAAAGGUGUGACUAGCCUUACCGGGAUAAUUUGAGUGAAAUCUACACCCUCUGUUCCUUAAUGUAAGACAUUUUUGCAGUUCAAUUUAAAGUAGCCAAAUGUCUAGUAUUUAGAAAAAGAGGUGGUAGUUUUCUUGAGCAUAUAUUUGGGAAAGCUUGCCACACUUUAUAUAUGUCCAUACACUAAUGCAACACCAUUCGAAUAGUACAAAUAUACACUAAUCCAGUGGCUAGUGCAAUAUUAGAGUAGUUUUUUUUAUUAUGGGGAACAGUACAAUGGUUUUACUGAACAGAUUUCUAUAAGCUAGCACCGGAAGAUUUCUAUAAGCAUUAACAAUACAAAAUGUAAAGGUAAUAAGUUUCAGCAUUGGUAUACUAGCUGUGCAACAACAUUAAACUAAAUACAAAAGUGUGAAGGUAACUAGCAUUACUAAGUAAUGACAGUAUAAAAAAUGCAAACCAUGUACCUUCAAGGUAAAUAUCAUUUCGAACUCGAGGGGACUUGAAAAAUUGCUAUCCCAACCUUGAUAAUCGAUCAAACAUAAAAACUUGAUCGAACGGAUCAAGAGAACAGCCAGAGGAGGAGGUGCCCACUCUUGACCUUGCCUCUUCUCUUCGUAAUUUUUGUGCAGUUUAACCAAAAUAAGAUGACAUCAGCGCCUUGGCAUUUUGGUGACACUGUACACAAAAACUUGACUUAUCUCAUGAAAGUGAGGUAUGUAAUCUAUAAUCAUUAACAGUGCAAAAAUCUAAAGGUCGUAACAAGUUUCAUCGUUGGUAUACUGGUUGUGCAACAACAUUAGAAUGCCUUAGCUGAAAAAUCUUUAAUACAUCCACAAUCAACAGCUAACCCUGAAAUAAUCUGGUGACAUUAAAUGGCAUUGCUUAAAUUUAUCGGCGGCAUUAGACUGAAUGCGGCAUUAGUUAAAUGUGGCAUCACUUUAGUAGUAGCACUGGCAUUAUACUAACAGCAAAAAAGUGGCAAUAAGGGCAUGGGAGGCCUAUUCGGAUAGUGGGCGUACCAGUAUGAUGUACCUCCACGGAUGCAUAGAGUGCUGCCCAAAUCAACAAAUAUCCCGGAAGCAUAUGUGGAUUACGUCCAAUUUUUGUUCUCUUUAGCACCUUUUUCCUAUGUGAGGACAACAAACCGAACGACCUGGUCAUUCUCUAUUUUGUUGUCAUGCCUUUCUACCCUUUUUCAACCAAGAGACACGGGACUCGUUCCUUAGCUACUAAUUUCCCCUUUUCAACCUAGAUGCGGGUUUGAUGCCUAGUCUCUUUGACAUUACUUUCUCCCUUCCUUUCCUUAUUCAACCCAGACAUGGAUUAGUCUGCAUGAAGUAGGGUUUCCUUUAAUAGUGAAAAUUAAGGUUUUCAUCUGCGUGACCAGCAGAGCAGAGGAUAGCAAAUUGGGAAGAAGGUGGAGUGCAGAACGAUCCAGAUGCAGCGACGUGGCAGAUGGGGCAAUAGAACAAGGGUAUGGUUUGAAAAGAGGUAGCAUACCUGAGGGUCGGCAGGAAGUGGCUUCACUCGUGGUCGUCAUCCUUCGCACAUACUAUGGCAACGAGCUUAGGGACAGAGGCCAUCCCGCACGGGCGCUAGGUUUGAGAGGACGACCUUGUUGUCAGUGCGUGACCUCGCUCGCCGACGACGAGUGCGUCAACGCCGCACGUCCUUUUCUUCCCCAGCGGAUCUGUAACCACCGGUGAGGAGGGAGAGAGUGGUCGUCUUUUUUAGAUAUGGAGAGAGGGUGAUAGUGUGAGAAGCAAGUGGGCAGCCCUUAGCAAGCAAGCGCUGAAGCUCCAGCCUAUAUAUCUUUUUUGAUACUAGUACUAGAGGUGGAGUAGUGGUAGAGUAGUUUAUAUUUUCUCUGCAUACAGUACCAGUUAGUCGUGCUUCAAAACUGAACAACACGCCAUUAUAAAAAUAAAGUCGAGAAAUAAUGUGGCACCUCGGGACAACGCGACCAGAUUGCAUUUUGCACGAGAAAUGACACAUCAUGUUUCAUUAACAUGUGGUCCCAUUCCAACAUGUCAAUGAGACGACGGCGAGUCCUUUUGUACAAUUUCUGAACGGACGGCUAUGUAGGUCGGGGCGCCUCUUCAUGUACCAUGGCAACCGUCCACCACCUCUUCGCCUUUCCCUCUCGAUUUGGAACUGUUGUCGCACGCUCUUCCUACCUCCUCCAUUUGCCUUCACCCUUCCUUCUACCAUCGUUUGAUCGUCUUCUCCAUGGAGGGAACAAGCCGGAAAUGGCCCCGUUAUUCUUGCCCCGAUCUAAAAGAUGACAUGGUGGAGGAACUCAUUGAUCGGUGUGAUGUCAUCACCUCGGCUAGCAUGGCAGGUUCAUUCAAGACCAUUCUCGACUAAACUAAUAACAUCAUUACAAAGAACCCAAGGGUCCAAGAGCGGUUUGAUCUCCCCUAUCUUCUUCGCCGUGACCCUGAUCACUGGCACGGACAAUGGAAGCCUCGCCUUGUGCAAGUUGAUGCACUACAAAAAAAAUACACUUCCGUGAUGAUACAUGUUCAUCACAGUAGGUCACAUUUUCUAUCAUGCAUGUACAUCCAUGGCGAUUUUAUGGCAGAAUCAAGAUAGUCAUACCUGUGUUGUCGUAGAAGUGUUCCAUGACAUUACCAAAAUUAUCAUCACGGAAGUGUCCACUUCCAUGACGAUAAAUCGCGCGUCAUGGAAGUGCUUUCGUCAAGGGUAACCGACACGUGGCAUCCACCAUAAUGGGUCGCCGUUAAGCUAUCGGUUCCGGUUUUGGAUCCAAUAACCCGCUAAUAGCCACGACCAAUGGGGAUUUUCCAUGUGUAAAUUUCUCAUUGGCCAGAGGAACCACAUGUAGGCUCAUCGCUGGGACAGAUGUCAUCCCUACAAUGGACGGAACACGCCUAUGAUAUGUCGCCACAUGGCACGGCCCAACAAUGGCCCAUUUAAGGUAAAAAAGAUCGGCCCAACUAAAGGCCCACCAUAUUUUUUCAGACACUAGUGGGCUGGCCCGUUAACAGCCUACCAUGUUUUGGGUAAAAUUGAGGCCCAUAUCAGAUCAGGCCCAUUCACAGCCAUCCAUGUUUUGGGCCAAAUUAUGGCCCAUAUCGGAUCAGGCCUAUUAGCAGGUCCUUGUUCUUUUGGGCCCAUUCUAAGCCAGGUUUUAUUUCACCCUGUUAGAUGCCCGUUUACCAGUUUGGCCCGAUAAUAGUUUCAGCCUGUUAGCGACCCGUGGUGCAACUCGGAUGUUGUUGGCCCAGUUUAACUUUAGGCCAUUUAAUGGCCCAUGCAAAAAUUGGGCUAUAUCUUGUCCAAAUUAACUUUAGGCCUCUUAUAGGCCCGUAGUCUUCGUGGAUAAAUUUCAACCCGUGUAACUGUUGGGCCUAAUUACAACCCGUGUUGAUUUCGGCCUGCUUACAACCCAUUCGAUAAUGGCCCGUGACACUGUUGGGCCUACGGUCCCGCGUUGAUAGCGGCCGGCUUAAAGCCCAUAGUUUUAUUGGGCCAAACAGGGCCCGAGAUAUAUUUUGGCCUGUUAACAACUCGUCCUAUUUGGGCCAAACAUGGGCCUGAGGCAGUUUUGGCUUGUAUUGGCCCAUGAAUUUUUCGGCCCAACACUAGCCCAAUCUAGUUUUUAGCCUGUUAAAAGCCCAAUGGGAUUCUCUGGCCCAGCUGGCCAGAAUUUUACUCGGCCUGUUAAAGGCGGAAAACUACUAUCGAUUAGACCUGCUAAUGGCCCAAGAUGAUUAUAGGCCCACGUUUUGGCCCAUAUGAGUAACAAGCUAGCCUGAAGACCGGCAACAUUGAGAUCCAUUGAACCUUCUAUCCUAAAUUACAGCAUACCGACCAAGAAUAAAGCCACACUAUACAAUAAAGAAAUUAUGGCAUAAUAAAGCAAAACAUGGCCGCGGAUUACAUACCCUGGGCAUCAAAGGUUGCCACCAGUGCAUACAAACGAGCCACAAAAGAAUAUACAAAACUGAGAGCACUUCAGAAGGCAUUAGGCCUGGAUGGGACGGCCACCGCAAGCAGCCGAACAAGCUGAUGAGACCUCAGUUGUGUCAAUGAUAGAUGCUGCAUCCCUAGCUUUAUAGCACCAAAGCUCGCAAGGUAGUCCUCUGAGAUCUUCAUUGCAUCUUUGACAUCAAGUCGGAGCUUAGCUGAAGCAAGCCUUUCUGCUUUAAGUUGAGACUGAAGAAGUCAAACUAAUUGAGGCAGCGACUACACAAAGGUUGUCUCACAGCUGCUGGAGAGUAGCUUCAACUCACUGUCUUCAUCAAGACAGGACCUUGGGGUCAUCUCGCUCUCUUCAAGAUGGUUUGGCUCACCAUCUUCCGUAAAGUUCUGCCUGACAUAAGAGAUACGACUCUAAAAGAGAAUCAAAGAGGCAAGUAGCAGGUUUCACAAUUAUAUAAGCAAAUAAAUGGAUCUGUUCUGCAUAAGGAACAUGUUUUUACUACUACAAUUUAAAACUAGUAGUUGUUGCAAACAUCCAAUCAGAUGUAAACAACAAAGUAAGCAGUAGUGGAGGAAAUGAUGCCUAGCCAAAUUUAUACUAGAACAAAGUUUGAAGAAUUGAGAAGGAUGAACCUACAUUACAUGCUAAUACGGGUUGGACAAAGCCCUUCUCCAUGUCAAUGGAAGGAUAAUUCAAUAAAUUCACCAAAGAAACUUCUUUAUAAGCGUUGCCAUUAUUCUACAUUUUGCAAAGAGUAAAUAUAGAUCACAUAAUAUUGGAAGAAAUAGAGGAUAAUGAAGCUGAGGUGCAGACUGAUGAUACAUAAUCAAAUAGCAAUUAAUUAAGUACUACGUUACAAGGCAAAAGGUACUGACAAGAGGAAUGCAGACAUCAAUGUGUGUAGUGGCAUUGGCUUUAUUCAACAUUUUGGUAAGAGUAAAUGUAGAUCUAAUAAUUUGGAGGAAGUGGAGGGCAGGGCAGAUAAGAUGAUGAGUAAUGCUAGACAAUCAACUAUCGCACGAUGCAAGUACAAUAAUACCACCACCGUCCGUUAUUACUUGUCGCUCAAAUGGAUGUAUGUCGCACUAUUAAGUUCUAAAUACAUCCAAUUGAUCAACAAUUAGUUCGAUACAGAGGGAGUACAUGACAACAGGUACUUACAUGAGCAAUCCAAAACUUCAUAACCAUCGUGUUAAUUCUACAUUUAUCUAAGAGUAAAUCUAUAUCUUAUAAUUUUGAGCAAAGGGAGGAUCACUAGUAGAAAAAGGACCUAAUGUGAGACACAUUAGUCCCGGUUCGAUUUUGGCCCGGUACUAAUGGUACCAUUAGUGCCGGUUCGAACGGCUAUGCAUUAAUGUCGGUUCGCUAUGAACCUUUAGUACCGGUUCAUGUCACGAACCGGUACUAAAGGGGUGUUGGCAGGCUGGCGUCAGGCCGGGGCCCCACGAUCACCUUUAGUACCGGUUCGUGGCACAAACCGGUACUAAAGGGCUAACCUUUAGUACCGGUUCGUGCCACGAACUGGGACUAAAGGGGUUUGACCUAUAGUCCCGGUUGGAGACNNNNNNNNNNNNNNNNNNNNNNNNNNNNNNNNNNNNNNNNNNNNNNNNNNNNNNNNNNNNNNNNNNNNNNNNNNNNNNNNNNNNNNNNNNNNNNNNNNNNNNNNNNNNNNNNNNNNNNNNNNNNNNNNNNNNNNNNNNNNNNNNNNNNNNNNNNNNNNNNNNNNNNNNNNNNNNNNNNNNNNNNNNNNNNNNNNNNNNNNNNNNNNNNNNNNNNNNNNNUAAAAAAAUAAAAAAAAUAAAAUUCUUCGAGAAGUAGUUAUAUUACUACAUCUACUAGUUAGGAAAAUUAAAAAAAUUUAAAUGUGGACAUGUUUUGCAAAAAGUGUAGGGAAAAUGUAAAACGGCUAUAACUUUUGCAUAUGAUGUCGGAAAAAACGUAUAAUAUAUCAAAAAAAUCGGCACGAAAAUCCGCAUCCGAUUUUGACUCCUCAUACUAAUUAUUCGUGAAUUGCUUGUAUGAACAAUAUUGUGAUUGUCAAGCCUCAAAAGAUUUCACUUUCUAAACCCAAUGUGAAGCUACCACUAGGCAUGAUAAGAUUUCAACUUCAUGAUAUUCCAUUCAUUCAACAAUUUGCUCAUAGGAUAUAAGUGAAGCACAAGAGUAAAUCUAUAGAAAAGAGCUUCGUUGACGGGAUGUGAAUGCCGCUUUCCUAGCCUCCUAUUUGAGGACUCUAUUUUAUUUAAAAACUUUUAGGUCUAAGUAUUUUAUUAAAACAGCAAGCAAAACAAAACAAAAUUACAUUCCAAGAAUAGCACACAUCAUGUGAGGAAGCAAAAACUUAGGCUCAACCGAUACUAAAAGGUAGUUGUUGAAGAGAAAAGGUGGGAUGCCUACCGAGGCAUCCCCAAGCUUAGAUGCUUGAGACUUCUUGAAAUAUUAUCUUGGGGUUCCUUGGGAAUCCCCAAGCUUGAGCUUUUUUGUCUCCUUAAUUCUUCUCAUAUCACGGUUUUCCUAAAUCUCAAAAGCUUCAUCCACACAAAACUUAACAAGAACUUGUGAGAUAAGUUAGUAUAAAGCAAUGCAAAACCUUAUCAUUCUCUACUGUAGCAAAGCACUAAAAUUAUUAGUCAACAUUGCAUACUAAAUGCCUCUGCAUAUUCAAUAGUCCGAUCCUCAAAUAUAAUCAUUAAACAAGCAAACAUAUGCAAACAAUGCAACCAUAACAGCAAUCUGCCAAAACAGUACAGUCUGUAAAGAAUGCAAGAUUCAUCAUACUUCCCUAACCCCAAAAAUUAUGAGAAAAAUACCACACUGUAGGAAAUUUAUUAGAUCUUAUUUUUCAAAAAUGUUUCAACAAUUUAUCAUUUCUGAAUUUUCUAGGGAAUUUUUGCAACAUCGAUAAACUUUCUGUUCUGAAACAGCAACUUGUAUACUUGAAAAAUAAGCAUGGCAAAGGCUAGCAUUGCCACUUUUAUUGAAAUAAAAGAUGCAAAACAUUAUUAUAAAUAAAAGCAAACAAAUCCUAGCAAAAUAAAUUGACGCUCCAAGAAAAACACAUAUCAUGUGACGAAUGAAAACAUAGCUCCAAGUGAGGUUAGCGAUAAUCUUGGAGACGAAAGAGGGGAUGCCAUCCGGGGCAUCCCCAAGAUUAGUUGCUUCGAUCUUCCUUGAAUAUUACAUUGGGGGUGCCUUGGGCAUCCCCAAUCUUAGGGUAUUUUCACUCCUUAUUCUGCUCAUAUCGACAUCUCACCCAAAACUUGAAAACUUCAAUCACACAAAACUUGACGGAACCUUGUGAGAUAGGUUAGUAUGAUAAAGAGCAAACCAUUUCACUUUUGGUACUGUCAAAGACAAGAUUCAUAAUUGUUUCCACACAAUGCCUACUGUAGCAUAUCACUUCCACAAUUUAUAUUGAGCAAUAUAAGCCAUAGAAACAAGGAAACAAGCAAACUAUGCAUUGAAAACAGAAUCUGUCAAAAACAGAACAGUGUGUAGUAAUCUGUACUCAAACCAUACUUCUGCUACUUCAAAAAUUAUUAAAAAAUGGACCACGUGAGAAAUUUGUAUAUUAAUCUUCUGCAAAAACAAUAAACUCAAAAGCACUCUUCUGUUAAAAAUUAGAGCUAUUUUCGUGAGCGCAAGAGUUUCUGUUUUUUCAGCAAGAUCAAAUCAACUAUAACCCAACAUGAUCCCAAUGGCUUUACUUGGCACUUUAUUGAAACAAAGACGAUAAAACAUGAUUGCUACAGUAUCCUAAUCAUGUGAACAUACAAAAACAGUAGGUAAAAGUGUUGGGUUGUCUCCCAACAAGCGCUUUUCUUUAAUGCCUUUUAUCUAGGCAUGAUGAGUUCAAUGAUGCUCGCAUAAAAGAUAAAGAUUGAAGCAUAACAAGAGCUUCAUGAAUCAUAAGUUCCUCUCUCAUAAUAUUUUUCAGUAGAAUCAUGAAUAGAGUCAUCCAUAUAACCAUCACAUAAAGCAUUCUUUUCAUGAUCCAAAAGCAUAGAUAAUUUAUUACUCUUUAUGGCAUACAUGUCAUCAUAAUAAUCAUCAUAAGUAGCAACUUUGUUCUCAUCAUAGUCAAUUGAAACCUCUUCCAAAAUAGUGGAUGUAUCACUAAAUAAAGUCAUGACCUCUACAAAUACACUUUCAUCAAUAUUGCAAUAAGAUUCAACACCCUCCAAAAUAGUGGUAUCACUACUACCUAGAGUUGACACUCUUCCAAACCCACUUUCAUAAUUGUAAUCAUCAUAAAUAGGAGGCAUGCUAUCAUCAUAAUAAAUUUUCUUAUUGAAAGUAGAAGGAAUCAAAGGAUCAUAUUCAUUAGGCAAAGCAUACCCAAGCUUGGGACAAGCAUUGUUUUCAGAAAAUAAAUCUUCAAACAUUUCAUACUCAUCAAACAUAGCAUUCCCAAGCUUGUGGUUUUGCAUAUCAUCAUAAACAUUCUUAUCAAUAGCAUGAAUGGCACCAAUGGUAUAGCAAACAUUAUUAUCAUAUUCUUCCAAGCAAGUGACAAAAAUAUAUUCAAGGUCAUAAGAGACAUCAUUGUCUUCCCAAUCAUAAUCAUCACAACAAGAAGUAGGCAUCAGAAAAUCAUACUCAAUAUCAUCAUCCUCCAUCAACAUAUUUGAUCACUUUCAUGAGGCACAAUGGUGAUAGGAGCAAUAUUACUUGGGAGAGUUACCUUUUCACUUCUACUUUUUCUUCUUUUAUUUUUCUUCUUCACCACCUCACAUGUGGGUUUAAUCAAUUUUUUCAAGCUUCUUAUUAAAAAGAUUGAUUGGAUAGGAAGCUCCUCCUCGUUACCUGAUUCAUCAUAAGAAACACUAGGAGGGUAUUGGGCAUAUUUUCCCUUUCAUUAGUACUCUCUUCAUAUUCUAUUUCUUUUCUUUUCUUUAGAUAGUUGGCAAUGUAAGGAUUCUCAAUGCAAUUUACUGCACAAAUAUAUAAAUUUCCUCUAGAUCAAAAUCAAGAACUCUUUCAAGGGCAAAUUCUGGAAUAUCCUUAGUUAUACGUUUCAUUUCUUCAUACCCCAAAAGAAGGCUAAGCUCUUUAUGAUGCUCAAGGGUAAUCAAGUUAUCAUAGUUUUUGGACAUGAUUUGAUCAUAAAACAAAUGGCAUUGGAGUUUUAAAUGACCACGUUAAUUGCAAAAUUCACAAGGAUGGCGAAAAAUAUUAAAUAUUUCAGCACAAACAUCUAGCCUAUCUUGCAACCAUUUUGUUUCUAAAUAUUUAUGCUUCUUACAAAAUCUAUCUUCCCUUUUUGGUGUGUGUGUGCACUCCCAAUAUACUCCGCAAAAAUUGACAUCCUUGUAGGAGACAUCACUAACAUGGCUAGUGCGAUCAUCAUUAUGAAGGAAAUAUGCCCUAGAGGCAAUAAUAAAGUUAUUAUUUAUUUCCUUAUAUCAUGAUAAAUGUUUAUUAUUCAUGCUAGAAUUGUAUUAACCGGAAACAUAAUACAUGUGUGAAUACAUAGACAAACAUAGUGUCACUAGUAUGCCUCUACUUGACUAGCUCAUUAAUCAAAGAUGGUUAUGUUUCCUAACCAUAGACAUGUGUUGUCAUUUGAUUAACGGGAUCACAUCAUUAGGAGAAUGAUGUGAUUGACAUGACCCAUUCCAUUAGCCUAGCACUUGAUCGUUUAGUAUAUUGCUAUUGCUUUCUUCAUGACUUAUACAUGUUCCUGUAACUAUGAGAUUAUGCAACUCCCGUUUACCGGAGGAACACUUUGGGUGCUACCAAACGUCACAACGUAACUGGGUGAUUAUAAAGGAGUACUACAGGUGUCUCCGAAGGUACAUGUUGGGUUGGCAUAUUUCGAGAUUAGGUUUUAUCACUCCGAUUGUCGGAGAGGUAUCUCUGGGCCCUCUCGGUAAUGCACAUCACUAUAAGCCUUGCAAGCAAUGUAGCUAAUGAGUUAGUUACGGAAUGAUGUAUUAUGUAACGAGUAAAGAGACUUGCCAGUAACGAGAUUGAACUAGGUAUUGGAUACCGACGAUCAAAUCUCGGGCAAGUAACAUACCGAUGACAAAGGGAACAACGUAUGUUGUUAUGCGGUUUGACCGAUAAAGAUCUUCGUAGAAUAUGUGGGAGCCAAUAUGGGCAUCUAGGUCCCGCUAUUGGUUAUUGACGGGAAACAAGUUCUAGGUCAUGUCUACAUAGUUCUCGAACCCAUAGGGUCCGCACGCUUAACGUUUCGUUGACGAUAUAGUAUUAUAUGAGUUAUGUAUGUGGGUAACCAAAUGUUGUUCGGAGUCACGGAUGAGAUCAUGGACAUGACGAGGAACUCCAGAAUGGUCCGGAGAUAAAGUUUGAUAUAUGGGAUAAUAGUGUUUGAUCUCCGGAAGAGUUCCGGAAUUCACCGGAAGGGGUUCCGGAUGUUUCCCGAAAUGUUUGGGUACGAGAACACGUUAUUUGGGUCAAAGGGGAAAGACCACAAGGUUUUUGGAAAGCGCAAAAGGAAGUUUUGCGGAGUCCAGGUGCCAGACGCCAGGGUCCCUGGCGUCUGGGUCCAGACACCGGGAACCCUGGCGUCUGGCCCUGAAGUCCGAGAAGGACUCUUGCCUUUCGGGUGAAACCGACUUUGUGGAGGCUUUUACUCCAAGUUUCGACCCCAAGGCUCAACAUAUAAAUAGAGGGGCAGGGCUAGCACCAAAGACACAUCAAGAAACACCAAGCCGUGUGCCGGCAACCCCGUCCCCUCUAGUUUAUCCUCCGUCAUAGUUUCCGCAGUGCUUAGGCGAAGCCCUGCGGAGAUUGUUCUUCACCAACGCCGUCACCACGCCGUCAUGCUGCCGGAACUCAUCUACCACUUCGCCCGUCUUGCUGGAUCGAGAAGGCGAGGACGUCAUCAAGCUGAACAUGUGCAGGACUCGGAGGUGCCGUGCGUUCGGUACUUGGAUCGGUCGGAUCGUGAAGACGUACGACUACAUCAACCGCGUUGAUAAACGCUUACGCUUAGCGAUCUUCAAGGGUAUGACGAUGCACUCCUCCUCUCGUUGCUAUGCAUCACCAUGAUCUUGUGUGUGCGUAGGAAAAUUUUGAAAUUACUAUGUUCCCCAACAGUGGCAUCCGAGCCUAGGUUUUAUGCGUAGAUAUCAUAUGCACGAGUAGAACACAAGUGAGUUGUGAGCGAUACAAGUCAUAUUGCUUACCAGCAUGUCAUACUUUGGCUCAGCGGUAUUGUGAGAUGAAGCGGCCCGGACCGACAUUACGCGUACGCUUACGCGAGACUGGUUUCACCGUUACGAGCACUCAUGCUUAAAGGUGACUAGCGGGUGUCUGUCUCUCUCACUUUAGCUGAACCGAGUGUGGCUACGCCUGGUCCUUGCAAAGGUUAAAACAACAUUAACUUGACGAACUAUCUUGUGGUUUUGAUGCGUAGGUAAGAACGGUUCUUGCUAAGCCCGUAGCAGCCACGUAAAAUUUGCAACAACAAAGUAGAGGACGUCUAACUUGUUUUUGCAGGGCAUGUUGUGAUGUGAUAUGGUCAAGACGUGAUGCUAUAUUUUAUUGUAUGAGAUGAUCAUGUUUUGUAACCAUAGUUAUCGGCAACUGGCAGGAGCCAUAUGGUUGUCGCUUUAUUGUAUGAAAUGCAAACGCCUUGUAAUUGCUUUACUUUAUCACUAAGCGGUAGCGAUAGUCGUAGAAGCAAUAGAUGGCGUAACGACAACGAUGCUACGAUGGAGAUCAAGGUGUCGCGCCGGUGACGAUGGUGAUCACGACGGUGCUUCAAAGAUGGAGAUCACAAGCACAAGAUGAUGAUGGCCAUAUCAUAUCACUUAUAUUGAUUGCAUGUGAUGUUUAUCCUUUAUGCAUCUUAUCUUGCUUUGAUUGACGGUAGCAUUUUAAGAUGAUCUCUCACUAAAUUAUCAAGAAGUGUUCUCCCUGAGUAUGCACCAUUGCAAAAGUUCUUCGUGCUGAGACACCACGUGAUGAUCGGGUGUGAUAGGUUCUACGUUCAAAUACAACGGGUGCAAAACAGUUGCACACGCGGAAUACUCAGGUUAAACUUGAUGAGCCUAGCAUAUAACAGAUAUGGCCUCGGAACACGGAGACCGAAAGGUCGAGCGUGAAUCAUAUAGUAGAUAUGAUCAACAUAUUGAUGUUCACCGUUGAAACUACUCCAUCUCACGUGAUGAUCAGACAUGGUGUAGUUGAUAUGGAUCACGUAAUCACUUAGAGGAUUAGAGGGAUGUCUAUCUAAGUGGGAGUUCUUAAGUUAUAUGAUUAAUUGAACUUUAAUUUAUCAUGAACUUAGUCCUGGUAGUAUUUUGCAAAUUAUGUUGUAGAUCAAUAGCUCGCGUUGUUGCUUUCAUAUGUUUAUAUGUUCCUAGAGAAAAUUGUGUUGAAAGAUGUUAGUAGCAAUGAUGCAGACUUGGUCCGUGAUCUGAGGUUUAUCCUCAUUGCUGCACAGAAGAAUUAUGUCCUUUAUGCACCGCUAGGUGACAGACCUAUUGCAGGAGCAGAUGCAGACGUUACGAACGUUUGGCUAUCUUAAUAUGAUGACUACUUGAUAGUUUAGUGCACCAUGCUUAACGGCUUAGAAUCGGGACUUCAAAGACGUUUUGAACGUCAUGGACCAUAUGAGAUGUUCCAGGAGUUGAAGUUAAUAUUUCAAGCAAAUACCCGAGUUGAGAGAUAUGAAGUCUCCAACAAGUUCUAUGGCUAAAAGAUGGAGGAGAAUCGCUCAACUAGUGAGCAUGUGCUUAGAUUGUCUGGGUACUACAAUCGCUUGAAUCAAGUGGGAGUUAAUCUUCCAGAUAAGAUAGUGAUUGACAGAAUUCUCUAGUCACCAUCACUAAAGUUACUAGAACUUCGUGAUGAACUAUAGUAUGCAAGGGAUGACCAAAACGAUUCCCGAGCUCUUCGUGAUGUUGAAAUCGACGAAGGUAGAAAUCAAGAAAGAGCAUCAAGUGUUGAUGAUUGAGAAGAUCACUAGUUUCAAGAAAAGGGCAAAGGGAAAGAAAAGGGAACUUCAAGUAGAAUGACAAACAAGUUUUCACUCCCAUGAAGAAGCCCAAAGCUGGACCAAAGCCUGAAACUGAGUGCUUACACUGCAAAGGAAAUGGUCACUGGAAGCGGAAAUGCCCUGAAUAUUUGAUCAGAAGGAUGUCAAAGUGAACAAUGGUAUAUUUGAUAUACAGGUUAUUGAUGUGUACCUUACUAGUGUUUAUAGUAGCCCCUGAGUAUUUGAUACUUGUUCGGUUGCUAAAAAUUAGUAACUCGAAACAGGAGUUACAGAGUAAACAGAGACUAGUUGAGGGUGAAGUGACGAUGAGUGUUGGAAGUAGUUCCAAGAUUGAUCUGAUCAUCAUCGCACACUCCCUAUACUUUCGGGAUUAGUGUUGAACCUAAAUAAAUGUUAUUUGGUGUUUGCGUUGAGCAUGAAUGUGAUUUGAGCAUAUUUAUUGCAAUACGGUUAUUCAUGUAAGUUAGAGAAUAAUUGUUAUUCUGUUUACAUGAAUAAAACCUUCUAUGGUCAUACACCCAAUGAAAAUGGUUUGUUGGAUCUCGAUCGUAUGAUACACAUAUUCAUAAUAUUGAAGCCAAAAGAUGUAAAGUUAAUAAUGAUAGUGCAACUUAUUUGUGGCACUGCCGUUUAGGUCAUAUUGGUGUAAAGCGCAUGAAGAAACUCCAUGUUGAUGGGCUUUUGGAAUCACUUGAUGCUUGCGAACCAUGCCUCAUGGGCGAGAUGACUAAGACUCCGUUCUCCGGAACAAUGGAGCGAGCAAUAGAUUUGUUGGAAAUAAUACAUAUUGAUGUAUGAGAUCCAAUGAGUGUUGAUGCUCGUGGCAAGUAUCGUUAUUUUCUGACCUUCACAGAUGAUUUGAGCAGAUAUGGGUAUAUCUACUUGAUGAAACAUAAGUCUGAAAUAGUUGAAAAGUUCAAAGAAUUUCAGAGUGAAGUGGAAAAAUCAUCUUAACAAGAAAAAUAAAGUUUCUACGAUCUGAUCGUGGAGACGAAUAUUUGAGUUAUGAGUUUGGUCUUCAUUUGAAACAACGUGAAAUAGUUUCGCAACUCACGCCAUCUGGAACACCACAAUGUAAUGGUGUGUCUGAAUGUCGUAAUCGUACUUUAUUAGAUAUGGUGCGAUCUAUGAUGUCUCUUAUCGGUUUACCACUAUCGUUUUGGGGUUAUACAUUAGAGACAACUGCAUUCACAUUUAAUAGGGCACCAUCUAAAUCCGUUGAGACGACACCGUAUGAACUAUGGUUUAGCAGUAAACCUAAGCUAUCGUUUCUUAAAGCUUGGAGUUGCGAUGCUUAUAUGAAAAAGGUUUUCAACCUGAUAAGCUCGAACCCAAAUCGGAGAAGUGUGUCUUCAUAGAAUACCCAAAGGUAACUAUUGGGUACACCUUCUAUCACAGAUCCGAAGGCAAGUUAUUCAUUGCUAAGAUGGAUCCUUUCUAGAGAAGAAGUUUCUCUCGAAAGAAGUGAGUGGGAGGAAAGUAGAACUUGAUGAGGUAAUUGUACCUUCUCCCUUAUUGGAAAGUAGUUCAUCACAGAAAUCAGUUCCAGUGAUUCCUACACCAAUUAGUGAGGAAGUUAACGAUGAUGAUCAUGAAACUUCAGAUCAAGUUGCUACCAAACCUCGUAGGUCUUCCAGAGUAAGAUCCGCACCAGAGUGGUACGGUAAUCAUGUUUUGGAAGUCAUGUUACUAGACCAUGAUGAACCUACGAACUAUGAGGAAGCGAUGAUGAGCCCAGAUUCCGCGAAAUGGCUUGAGGCCAUAAAAUCUGAGAUAGGAUCCAUGUAUGAGAACAAAGUAUGGACUUUGGUUGACUUGCUCGAUGAUCAGCAAGCCAUGUUAAAUAAAUGGAUCUUCAAGAGGAAGACGGACACUGAUAGUAGUGUUACUAUCUACUAAGCUCGACUUGUUGCGAAACGUUUUCGACAAGUUCUAGGUGUUGAAUACAUGAGAUUUUCUCACUCAUAUCGAUGCUUAAGUCUGUCUGAAUCAUGUUAGCAAUUGCCAUAUUUUAUGAAAUCUGGCAAAUGGAUGUCAAAACUGCAUUCCUUAAUGGAUUUAUUAAAGAAGAGUUGUAUAUGAUGCAACCAGAAAGUUUUUGUCAAUCCUAAAGAUGCUAACAAAGUGUGCAAGCUCCAGCAAUCCAUCAAUGGACUGGUGCAAGCAUCUCGGAGUUGGAAUAUAUGCUUUGAUGAGUUGAUCAAAGCAUAUGGUUUUAUAUAGACUUUUGGAAAGGCAUGUAUUUACAAGAAAGUGAGUGGGAGCUCUGUAGCAUUUCUGAUAUUAUAUGUGCAAGACAUAUUGUUGAUUGGAAAUGAUAUAGAAUUUCUGGAUAGCAUUAAAGGAUACUUGAAUAAAAAGUUUUUCAAUGAAAGACCUUAGUGAAGCUGCUUACAUAUUGAGCAUCAAGAUCUAUUGAGAUAGAUCAAGAUGCUUGAUAAGUUUUUCAAUAAGUACAUACCUUGUCAAGAUUUUCAAAUAGUUCAAAAUGGAACAGUCAAAGAAAGAGUUCUUGCCUGUGUUGCAAAGGUGUGAAAUUGAGUAAGACUCAAGACCCGACCACGGCAGAAAAUAGAAAGAGAAUGAAAGUCAUUCCCUAUGCAUCAGUCAUAGGUUCUAUAAAAGUAUGCCAUGCUAUGGACCAAAUCUAUUGUAUACUCUGCCCUGGUUUGGCAAGGGAGUACAAUAGUGAUCUAGGAGUAGAUCACUGGACAUUGGUCAAAAUUAUCCUUAGUAGAAUAAGGAUAUGUUUCUCGAUUAUGGAGGUGAUAAAAGAGUUCGUCGUAAAGAGUUACAUCGAUGCAAGGUUUUACAUAGAUCCAGAUGACUCUAAGUCUCAAUCUGGAUACAUAUUGAAAGUGGGAGCAAUUAGCUAGAGUAGCUCCGUGCAAAGCAUUGUAGACAUAGAAUAUUUGCAAAAUACAUACGACUCUGUAAUAUGACAGACCCGUUGACUAAACUUCUCUCACGAGCAAAACAUGAUCAUACCUUAGUACACUUUCGGUGUUAAUCACAUAGCAAUGUGAACUAGAUUAUUGACUCUAGUAAACCCUUUGGGUGUUGAUCACAUGACGAUGUGAACUAUGGGUAUUAAUCACAUACAGGUGUGAAUAUUGGUGUGAAAUCACAUGAUGAUGUGAACUAGAUUAUUGACUCUAGUGCAAGUGGGAGACUGAAGGAAAUAUGCCCUAGAGGCAAUAAUAAAGUUAUUAUUUAUUUCCUUAUAUCAUGAUAAAUGUUUAUUAUUCAUGCUAGAAUUGUAUUAACCGGAAACAUAAUACAUGUGUGAAUACAUAGACAAACAUAGUGUCACUAGUAUGCCUCUACUUGACUAGCUCAUUAAUCAAAGAUGGUUAUGUUUCCUAACCAUAGACACGUGUUGUCAUUUGAUUAACGGGAUCACAUCAUUAGGAGAAUGAUGUGAUUGACAUGACCCAUUCCGUUAGCCUAGCACUUGAUCGUUUAGUAUAUUGCUAUUGCUUUCUUCAUGACUUAUACAUGUUCCUGUAACUAUGAGAUUAUGCAACUCCCGUUUACCGGAGGAACACUUUGGGUGCUACCAAACGUCACAAUGUAACUGGAUGAUUAUAAAGGAGUACUACAGGUGUCUCCGAAGGUACAUGUUGGGUUGGCGUAUUUCGAGAUUAGGUUUUGUCACUCCGAUUGUCGGAGAGGUAUCUCUGGGCCCUCUCGGUAAUGCACAUCACUAUAAGCCUUGCAAGCAAUGUAGCUAAUGAGUUAGUUAUGGAAUGAUGUAUUAUGUAACGAGUAAAGAGACUUGCCAGUAAUGAGAUUGAACUAGGUAUUGGAUACCGACGAUCAAAUCUCGGGCAAGUAACAUACCGAUGACAAAGGGAACAACGUAUGUUGUUAUGCGGUUUGACCGAUAAAGAUCUUCAUAGAAUAUGUGGGAGCCAAUAUGGGCAUCUAGGUCCCGCUAUUGGUUAUUGACCAGAAACAAGUUCUAGGUCAUGUCUACAUAGUUCUCGAACCCAUAGGGUCCGCACGCUUAACGUUUCGUUGACGAUAUAGUAUUAUAUGAGUUAUGUAUGUUGGUAACCGAAUGUUGUUCGGAGUCACGGAUGAGAUCAUGGACAUGACGAGGAACUCCGGAAUGGUCCGGAGAUAAAGUUUGAUAUAUGGGAUAAUAGUGUUUGAUCUCCGGAAGAGUUCCGGAAUUCACCGGAAGGGGUUCCGGAUGUUUCCCGAAAUGUUUGGGUACGAGAACACGUUAUUUGGGCCAAAGGGGAAAGACCACAAGGUUUUUGGAAAGUGCAAAAGGAAGUUUUGCGGAGUCCAGGGGCCAGACGCCAGGGUCCCUGGCGUCUGGGUCCAGACACCGGGAACCCUGGCGUCUGGCCCUGAAGUCCGAGAAGGACUCUUGCCUUUCGGGUGAAACCGACUUUGUGGAGGCUUUUACUCCAAGUUUCGACCCCAAGGCUCAACAUAUAAAUAGAGGGGCAGGGCUAGCACCAAAGACACAUCAAGAAACACCAAGCCGUGUGCCGGCAACCCCGUCCCCUCUAGUUUAUCCUCCGUCAUAGUUUCCGUAGUGCUUAGGCGAAGCCCUGCGGAGAUUGUUCUUCACCAACACCGUCACCACGCCGUCGUGCUGCCGGAACUCAUCUACUACUUCGCCCGUCUUGCUGGAUCGAGAAGGCGAGGACGUCAUCAAGCUAAACGUGUGCAGAACCCGGAGGUGCCGUGCGUUCGGUACUUGGAUCGGUCGGAUCGUGAAGACGUACAACUACAUCAACCGCGUUGAUAAACGCUUCCGCUUAGCGAUCUUCAAGGGUAUGAAGAUACACUCCUCCUCUGGUUGCUAUGCAUCACCAUGAUCUUGUGUGUGCGUAGGAAAAUUUUGAAAUUACUACGUUCCCCAACACAUUAACCUCAUGGAUAUUCAAAGUGUUCAUACUAGCAACAUUGCAAUCAUGCUCAUCAUUCAUGCAAAUCAUUUUAUUAAAUUCUUCUUCUAACAAUUGAGCACAACUUUCCGAUCCAUCAUUUUCAAGAAAGAUAUUAUAAAGAUGAUCAAUAAUAUGAUGCAACCUUAAUUCCAUUUUUCGUGUAGUUUUCUUUUAUAGACCAAACUAGUGAUAAAACAACAAACUAAAAGAUUCGAUUGCAAGAUCUAAAGAUAUACCUUCAAGCAUUCACCUCCCCAGUAACGGCGCCAGAAAAGAGCUUGAUGUCUACUACGCAACUUUAUUCUUGUAGACACAUGUUGGGCCUCCAGGCGCAGAGUUUUGUAGGACAGUAGCAAUUUUCCCACAAGUGGAUGACCUAAGGUUUAUCAAUCCGUGAGAGGUGUAGGAUGAAGAUGGUCUCUCUCAAACGAUCCUGCAACCAAAUACAAGAAAUCUCUUGUGUCCCCAACACACCCAAUACAAUGGCAAAUUGUAUAGGUGCACUAGUUCGGCGAAGCGAUGGUGAUUAAAGUGUAAUAUGGAUGGUAGAAAUAUAUUUUUAUAAUCUGAAUAAAUAAAAACAGCAAGGUAGAAAAUAGUAAACGGGCAAAAAACGGUGUUGCAAUGCUUAAAAAUGAGGCCUAGGGUGCAUACUUUCACUAGUGCAAUCUCUCAACAAAGCUAACAUAGUUGGAUCAUAUGAUUAUCCCUCAAAAUGCAACAAAGAAUCAUUCCCGAGUUCCUAUUAGCGGAGAACAAAAGAGAGAAAUUGUUUGUAGGGUACGAAACCACCUCAAAGCUAUUCUUUCCGAUCGAUCUAUCCUAGAGUUCGUACUAAAAUAAGAGCAAGCUAUUCUUUCCGAUCGAUCUAAUCAAGAGUUCGUACUAAAAUAACACCAUAUGACACAUAUCAACCAACUCUAAUGUCACCUAGAUACCCCAAUGUCACCGUGAGUACCCAUGACCUAAUUAUACGACAUGUUCAAACAAUUUUAGAUUCAUAAUGCUCAAUCCAACACAAAACUACAAGGGGACCCCAAAGUUUCUAUCAGAGAAAAGAUAAUAAAAACAUGCAUCAACCCCUAUGCAUAGAUUACCCCAAUGUCACCGCGGGAAUCCGCAAGUUGACUGCCAUAACAUAUAUCAAGUGAAUCAAUAUGAUAAUCCAUUGUCACCUCAAUUAUUCAUACGACAAGACAUACAUCAUGUGUUUUCAAAUCUGAACAUUCAAUCCGACAAGACAAAACUUCAAAGGGUAAAGACUCAAUUCAUCACAACAAAAGUAGAGAGGGGAGAAACAUCAUAUGAUCCAUUUAAACUAACAAAGCCCGCGAUACAUCAAGAUCGUGAUAUCUCAAGAUCACGAGAGAGAGAGAGAGAGAGAUUAAACACAUAGCUACUGGUACAAACCCUCAGCCCCGAGGAUGGACUACUCGCUCCUCAUCGCGGUGGCCGCCGGGAUGAUGAAGAUGGCCACCGGUGAUGAUUCCCCCCUCCGGCAGGGUGCCGCAAUGGGGUCUAGAUUGGAUCUUGUGGAUACAGAGGUCUUGCGGUGGCGGAACUUUCGAUCUAGGUUAACCCUGAUGGGUUUCAGAAUAUUUGUGAAUUUAUAGGGUAACGAGGGGUUGCGGGAGGCCACCGAAGUGGGCACAACCCACUUGGGCGUGCCAGUGGGCCCAGGCGCGCCCUGGUGGGUUGUGCCCCCCUCGGGGUACCCCCGAGAUCCUGGUUGUUCUGGUCCAUAAAACAUCUCCAAGGAGUUACGUGGUGUUUGGACUCCGUUUGAUAUUGAUUUCCUGCGAUGUAAAAAACAAGGAAAAAAUAGCAACUGGCACUGGGCAGUAGGUUAGUCCCAAAAAAUGAUAUAAAGUUGCUAUAAAAUGAUUGUAAAACACCCAAGAAUGAUAAUAUAAUGGCAUGAAUACUUCAUAAAUUAUAGAUACAUUGGAGACGUAUCAGUGAUCAUCUGCUUUCUUUAUAUCCUUAUCAAUAUGUCGAGGCGUGUUUCGACAGACAAUGCCAUUAAUAUUAAUGCCAUGUUACAUGCCUAAAAAAGUACAUAAGGGAAAGUCUAGCACAGGGUUGUAAGUGCAUCUAGUGCCCCUUAGUGAUUUUGGUGUAUUGAUGACUUAUAGGUUAAGGGACUGAUGCGUUUGUGAGUGUACAUUGGUCUAUAAGUCUAUGAGGAGUUUGAUAUUUACAAAGAAAGUCGACCCCUAAAAAUGAAGUUCUUCAACUGAAGACUUUGGAUUUCUGAAGACUUUCUGAAGACUUUGAAAUUGAAGAAAUUGGUGUAACCUUGAAGACUUGGUAAUCAUUUGAGGAACAUGAAUCAUGAAGACUUUUGUUUUUAUAGUUUCAUUUUCUCUUUAUUGAGUCAUAGGAAACACCGUACUGUUAAAGGGGGUCGAGGAAAUACUAAGGAAAAAAUUCCAUGUGAUGCUCAACUCAAAUCCUACACCUACCAAUCCCUUCGAGUGAAGCCAUUGGAAAUCUCAUACAGUUCAGUCCUAUUCUUCAGUGACAGAGACGAAGUUCUUCUGCUCUCUGAGGAAUUUGUUCUGACUGAGGAGUUAAGAAUUCGCGAGUGCGGAUUGCCUACACAGUGAGGAACAUGAUAGCCCUGAGGAUUUUGAGAGUCAAAAUUCUGACCGUUGCUGUGCUAUGCGCCAGCUGUCCCAAAAUAUCUACCCACCUAACGGUCAUAUCUGACAAGGGCAUUUAUGUCUUAUCAUGUCGGGGUGCUCCCUAGGCUACAAAAAGCCGCCCCCUACAACCACUAGCUGGUUGGCUGCUCCAAGAGAAACUGACACUUGUCAAUUGAGAGCAUCCCAUCCUCCGAGGACUUUGAGUGAAAAUCAUCAAGUGAGGAAAACCCAAACCCAACACCUACAAACCCAAAGUGAUUGAGCAUCACUGAAGAGAUUGAUCCUGCGUCGAUCUGACGCUUGUUUUCUUUGAAGACUGUGCUUCUUCCAGACGGUUAGGCAUCAAGGUCUACAGCAUCCAAGAGGAAUUGUGGAUCGCUGAGUGACCAAGUUUGUGAAGGUCCGGAAGUCACCUGAAGACUUACCACGAGUGAUUGGGCGAGGUCUGUGUGACCUUAGCUCAAGGAGAAUACGGUGAGGACUGUGUGUGAUAACCCGCAAGUAUACGGGAUAGUUGUAUCCUCUUUCGAUAAGUAAAGAGUGUCGAAUCCAACGAGGAGCUAAAGGUAGAACAAAUACUCUCUCAAGUACUAUCGGCCACUGAUACGACUCUACGCACGCUUGACGUUCGCUUUACCUAGAACAAGUAUGAAACUAGAAGUACUUUGUAGGUGUGAUAGGAUAGGUUUGCAAGAUAAUGAAGAACACGUAAACAUAAACUAGGGGCUGUUUAGAUAAAGAAGAAAUAAAGUAAAUAUAGCGAGUGUGGAAAAGUGGUGGUAGGAGUUGUGGAAUUGUCCCUAAGCAAUUGACUACGUUACUAGACCGAUAAUCACUAUUGCAAUUUUAUUUGAGGGCGAGGCAUAAGCUAACAUACUUUCUCUACUUGGAUCAUAUGCACUUAUGAUUGGAACUCUAGCAAGCAUCCGCAAAUACUAAAGAUUCAUUAAGGUAAAACCCAACCAUAGCAUUAAAGUAUCAAGUCCCCUUUAUCCCAUACGCAACAACCCCCUUACUCUGGUUUGUGUUUCAGUCACUCACGCAACCCACUAUAAGUGAAUCAUGAACGCAUUGCAACACCCUACAACGGGAAUCCCUCACGCUUGUGCGACACAGAGGGCACCAUAGGACAUCACCAAUAAUAAAACAUGCAACUCAAACCAAUCAUAGCAAUUCAUCAAUCACCGAUAGGACAACGAAAAUCUACUCAGACAUCAUAGGAUGGCAACACAUCAUUGGAUAAUAAUAUGAAGCAUAAAGCACCAUGUUCAAGUAGAGGGUACAGCGGGUUGCGGGAGAGUGGACCGCUGGAUAUAGAUGGGGGAAGAUGAUGGAGACGUUGGUGAAGAUGAUGGAGGUGUUGGUGAAGAUCGCGGUGAUGAUGAUGGCCCCCGGCGGCGUUCCGGCGCCACCGGAAGCAAGGGGGAGAGAGCCCCCCUUCUUCUUCUUAUUCUUCCUUGACCUUCUCCCUAGAUGGGAGAAGGGUUUCCCCUCUGGUCCUUGGCUCCCAUGGCGUGGGAGGGGCGAGAGCCCCUCCGAGAUUGGAUCUAUCUCUCUGUUUCUGCGUUCUGCGGUUCUGCCCCUUCACCGUUUCCUUUAUAUCUGGAGAUCCGUAACUCCGAUUGGGGUGAAUCUUUCGCCCAGAUAUUUCUCGUAAAAUUAGCUUUCUUGCGGAAAAAGAAGAGCGUCAACCGCCUUACGGGUGGCCCACGAGAGUCCAGGGCGCGCCCAGGGGGGAGGGCGCCCCCUGUCUCAUGGCCACCCCGGACAGCUUUUCGCGUUGAUUUUUCCUCCCAAAAAUCACAAAUAUUCCAAAAUAAUUCUCCGUCCGUUUCUAUCCCGUUUGGACUCCAUUUGAUAUUGGGUUUCUACGAAACAAAAAACAUGCAACAUACAGGAACUGGCACUGGGCACUGGAUCAAUAUGUUAGUCCCAAAAAUAGUAUAAAAAGUUGCCAAAAGUAUAUAAAAGUUGAAUAAUAUUAGCAUAGAACAAUCAAAAAUUAUAGACACAAUGGAGAUGUAUCAACAUCCCCAAGCUUAAUUCCUGCUCGUCCUCGAGUAGGUAAAUGAUAAAAAAGAUAAUUUUUGAUGUGGAAUGCUACCUAGCAUAAUCUUGAUCGUAUGUCUAAUCAUGGCAUGAAUAUUAAGACACGAGUGAUUCAAAGCAAUAGUCUAUCAUUUGACAUAAAAAUGACAAUACUUCGAGCGUACCAAUAAAGCAAUCAUGUCUUUUCAAAACAACAUGGCCAAAGAAAGUUAUCCCUACAAAAUCAUAUAGUCUGGCUGUUGCUCUAUCUUCAUCACACAAAGUAUUUAAUCAUGCACAACCCCGAUGACAAGCCAAGCAAUUUUUUCAUACUUUCAUAAUCUCAAAAAAUUUCAACUUUCACGCAAUACAUGAGUUGAGCCAUGGAUAUAACACUUUGGGGAAGCCCAUCAUCGGAAUAUACAAGCCAAGUUCUAUAAUGAAAAUUCCCACUAGUAUAUGAAAGUGAAAGCAUAGGAGACUCUCUCUAUGAAGAACAUGGUGCUACUUUGAAGCACAAGUGUGGUAAAAGGAUAGUAGCAUUGCCCCUUCUCUCUUUUUCUCUCAUUUUUUUUCUUUUUUUUUCUUUUUGGUGGGCUUCUUUGGCCUCCUUUUUUAUUUGGGCUUCUUUGGCCUGUUUUAUUUUUCAUAAAGUCUGGAGUCUCAUCCCGACUUGUGGGGGAAUCAUAGUCUCCAUCAUCCUUUCCUCACUGGGAUAAUGCUCUAAUAAUGAUGAUCAUCACACUUUUAUUUACUUACAACUCAAUAUCUAGAACAAAGAUAUGACUCUAUAUGAAUGCCUCCGGCGGUGUACCGGGAUGUGCAAUGAUCUAGCAUAGCAAUGACAUCAAAAAACAGAUAAGCCAUGAAAAUGUCAUGCUAGCUAUCUUACGAUCAUACCAAAACAAUAUGACAAUGAAUGCUCAAGUCAUGUAUAUGAUGAUGAUGGAAGUUGCAUGGCAAUAUAUCUCGGAAUGGCUAUGGAAAUGCCAUGAUAGGUAGGUACGGUGGCUGUUUUGAGGAAGGUAUAUGGUGGGUGUAUGGUACCGGCGAAAGGUGCGCGGCACAAGAGAGGCUAGCAAUGGUGGAAGGGUGAGAGUGCGUAUAAUCCAUGGACUCAACAUUAGUCAUAAAGAACUCAUAUACUUAUUGCAAAAAUCUACAAGCCAUUGAAAACAAAGUACUACACGUAUGCUCUUAGGGGGAUAGAUUGGUAGGAAAACGCUCGUCCCCGACCGCCACUCAUAAGGAAGACAUCAAUAAAUAAAAUUGUGCUCCAACUUCAUCACAAAGCGGUUCACCAUACGUGCAUGCUACGGGAAUCACAAACCUCAACACAAGUGCUUCUACUAAUCCACAGUCACCCACCAGCAUGACUCUAAUAUCACCACCUUUAUAUCGCAAAACUAUUGCAAGGAAUCAAACAUAUCAUAUUCAGCGAUCUACAAGUUUAUGUAGGAUUUUAUGACUAACCAUGUGAUUGACCAAUUCCUGUCAUCUCUCUAAAUAGAUAUAAGUGAAGCAAGAGAGUUUAAUUAUUUAUACAAAAUAUAUGCCCAUGCUCUAACAAAUAUAAGUGAAGCAAAAGAGCAUUGUACAAAUGGUGGUUGUCUAUAUGAAGAGAAACAGGCAAUCCAAACUUCAAAUGAUAUAAGUGAAGCACAUGAAGCAUUCUAUAAAGCAAUACUCAAAAGAUUUAAGUGAGGUGCAAUGAGCAUUAUAUAAAUCAACCAAGGACUAUCUCAUACCAGCAUGGUGCAUAAAAGAAAAAUGAAAACUAAAUGCAAAAGAUGCUCCAAGACUUGCACAUAACGCAUGAACGAAACGAAUACGAAAACAUAUUGAUACUAGUUGAAGAAAGAGGGGAUGCCUUCCGGGGAAUCCCCAAGCUUAGAUGCUUGAGUCUCCUUGAAUAUUUACUUGGGGUGCCUCGGGCAUCCCCAAGCUUAAGCUUUUGCCUCUCUCCCUUUUCCUCAUAUCGAGACCUCCUCGUUUAAACACUUCAUCCACACAAAACUUCAACAGAAAACUCGGUAAGAUCCGUUAGUAUAAUAAAGCAAAUCACCACUCUAAGCAUUGUAGCAAACCAAUUCAUAUCUUGUUUUUGCAUUGUGUCUACUGUAAUAUAACUUUUCCAUGGCUUAAUCCACUAAUAUAAAUUGAUAUAUUCAUCAAAACAAGUAAACUAUGCAUCAAAAACAGAAUCUGUCAAAAACAGAGCAGUCUGUAGUAAUCUGAACAUCCACCAUACUUCUGGUACCCCAAAAAUUCUACCAAAAUUAGGAAAAAUAAAAAAUUUGUAUAGCAAGACAGUGCAAAAAUAAUCAUAACCAAUUGACGUUCCAGUUAAAAUGUAAAAUCGCGCACUACAUCCAAAGUUUCUAUCCUGCACCGUACAAACCAACAAGCUUUGUAAACAUCCUAAAGGCAAACCUUGGCAUAUUAUUUUUAUAAUACAAUAGAGUUAUACAAGGGGAUAAUUAUUUUUGAUGAAAAUUUUCUGUAAUCAAGAUUCACAAAGUUUCCCUGAGCAUGAACAAAGUUCAAGGAGCUCUCCCACUUCAACAAUGCUUGUCUUUCUCACUUUCACUUUCCUUUUUGAAGCGUUUUUAGGUUCCCAUCUUUAUUUUUUUGUUUUUAAACCAUAUGAAAGCACUCAACAGAAAUAAACGACUCUCUAAAACUUCCGGGUUGUCUCCCUGGCAGCGCUUUCUUUAAAGCCAUUAAGCUAGGCAUACAGUGCUCAAGUAAUGGAUCCACCCGGAUCCCAAGGUAUAUCAAAGCCAAUUUUAAUUAACAAUGAUUUGUAAUUUAGUAGUGAGCACAAAGUAACAUAUAUCAUGCAACAAUGAAGUCUAACUCUUUUCCUAUGCAUCGGCAUGUCAUAAAAGAACAAUUCAUGGACACCAAGUAAAGGCCAAUGCAUAGUAUAAGUAGUUUCUUGCAAUUCUAUCAUAUUGGAAAUGUAAAGAGGCGGAGAUGUAGUUCCUCUCUCAUAAUAAUUGCAAGUAGGAGUAGCAAGCACAUGCAUAUUAUAUCUAUCAAAAUUAUCAUGUGCAACGGUAAAAGGCAACCCAUCAAUAUAAUCCUUACUAAGCACAAACUUCUCCGAUAUAGUGUAGUCGGGAGAAUGCAAAAAGAUAAUAGGACUAUCAUGCGUGGGUGCAAUAGCAACAAUUUCAUGUUUAACAUAAGGAACUAUAGCAAGUUCAUCUCCAUAAGCAUAAUUCAUAUUGGCAUCUCGGCCACAAGCAUAGCAAGCAUCAUCAAAAAGGGAUAUUUCAAACAAAUUCAAGGGAUCAUAGCAAUCAUCAUAGCAAUCAUCCUUCGGUAAGCACGAAGGGGAAUUAAAUAAUGUAUGAGUUGGAGGGUUACUCUCAUUAGAAGGUGGCACAUGUAGCUAAUCCACUCUUCCUCCUUUUGUUCUUCGCUCUCCUUAUCAUCUUUUUCAUCCAAUGAGCUCACUGUUUCAUCAAUUUCUUCUUCCAUAGCUUCCUGCAAAAUAUUAGUCUCUUCUUGGAUAGCGGAGAAGUCCUCAAUAUAUGGUUUAACAUAGGCAUUAGAAGCAUAAUUAUCAUAACAAUAUUGAAAUAUGGCAAAAAAAUUAGAUUUGUAAAGAGUAGCAUCAUACUUCUCAAUCAAAGAGGCAAUCUCAUAAGCACCUUUAAAAGCAACAAAUUCUUCAACUUGUUGAACAUCAUAGUAAUUGUAAACACCCCUAGCAUACUAAGAUAUGAUUCCAUUAUCACUAAACAAGCAUUGAUAGGGUAGGUGUUUCUUAGGGUCUUCAGAACAACAAGUAAACUCAUAUAUUUCACAUAAAUUCCAAGCAUAACAUUGCAAACGUUGAAUUUGAUCCUAUAAUAGUUUCCGUUUUUCAGAUAUACGGUGUCGCACAAGACAAGCAUGCUCAUCUAAAGAUUUGCCCUCAACUAAACUAGUUGGGGUUUCAGCACGAGCACAAAGGGAUCGAAGAUGAUCCAAGUAAAAAGCUUCAGGAGUGUGAUAGAUUUUGAGUGGUUCUUCAACCACUGGUUUAGUAGGUACAACUAAUUUUUUGGUAUUUUGCAUUUCCUACCCAUUACUAAAGAUAGAAAACAACUAAGAACAGCAAAUAAAAUAAAAAUUGCUUAGUGAUAAAGCAAACAAGCACACACUAGAAAAUUCACCCCACGCUAUGACUCCCCGACAACGGCGCCAGAAAAAGGUCUUGAUAACCCGCAAGUAUACGGGAUAGUUGUAGCCUCUUUUGAUAAGUAAGAGUGUCGAACCCAACGAGGAGCUAAAGGUAGAAUAAAUACUCUCUCAAGUCCUAUCAGCCACUGAUACGACUCUACGCACGCUUGACGUUCGCUUUACCUAGAACAAGUAUGAAACUAGAAGUACUUUGUAGGUGUGAUAGGAUAGGUUUGCAAGAUAAUAAAGAACACAUAAACAUAAACUAGGGGCUGUUUAGAUAAAGAAGCAAUAAAGUAAAUAUAGCGAGUGUGGAAAAGUGGUGGUAGGAGUUGUGGAAUUGUCCCUAAGCAAUUGACUACGUUACUAGACCGGUAAUCACUAUUGCAAUUCUAUUUGAGGGAGAGGCAUAAGCUAACAUACUUUCUCUACUGGAUCAUAUGCACUUAUGAUUGGAACUCUAGCAAGAAUCCGCAAAUACUAAAGAUUCAUUAAGGUAAAACCCAACCAUAGCAUUAAAGUAUCAAGUCCCCUUUAUCCCAUACGCAACAAUCCCCUUAUUCAGGUUUGUGUUUCAGUCACUCAUGCAACCCACUAUAAGCGAAUCAUGAACACAUUGCAACACCCUACAACGGGAAUCCCUCACGCUUGCGCGACACAGAGGGCACCAUAGGACAGCACCAAUAAUAAAACAUGCAACUCAAACCAAUCAUAGCAAUUCAUCAAUCACCGAUAGGACAAUGAAAAUCUACUCAGACAUCAUAGGAUGGCAACACAUCAUUGGAUAAUAGUAUGAAGCAUAAAGCACCAUGUUCAAGUAGAGGGUACAGCGGGUUGCGGGAGAGUGGACCGCUGGAUAUAGAUGGGGGAAGGUGAUGGAGACGUUGGUGAAGAUGAUGGAGGUGUUGGUGAAUAUCGCGGUGAUGAUGAUGGCCCCCGGCGGCGUUCCGGCACCACCAGAAGCAAGGGGGAGAGAGCCCCCCUUCUUCUUCUUCUUCCUUGACCUCCACCCUAGAUGGGAGAAGGGUUUCCCCUCUGGUCCUUGGCUCCCAUGGCAUGGUAGGGGCGAGAGCCCCUCCAAGAUUGGAUCUAUCUCUCUGUUUCUGCGUUCUGCGGUUCUGCCCCUUCACCGUUUCCUUUAUAUCUGGAGAUCCGUAACUCCGAUUGGGGUGAAUCUUUCGCCCAGAUUUUUCUCGUAAAAUUAUCUUUCUUGCGGCAAAAGAAGAGCGUCAAGCGCCUUACGGGUGGCCCACGAGAGUCCAGGGUGCACCCCCCUGUCUCGUGGCCACCCCGGACACCUUUUCGCGUUGAUUCUUCCUCCCAAAAAUCACAAAUAUUCCAAAAUAAUUCUCCGUCCAUUUUUAUCCCGUUUGGAAUCCAUUUGAUAUUGGGUUUCUGCGAAACAAAAAACAUGCAACAGACAUGAACUGGCACUGGGCACUGGAUCAAUAUGUUAGUCCCAAAAAUAGUAUAAAAAGUUGCCAAAAGUAUAUAAAAGUUGAAUAAUAUUGGCAUGGAACAAUCAAAAAUUAUAGAUACGACGGAGACGUAUCAGUGUGUCCGGGACUGGGUAUCCUCGAAUUUAAAUACUCAGCCGCUCCAACCAGAUGUACAACUGAGACAGCAGUCGGAACUGGUCUACCAAAUUAUUGUCUUCACCAAGCUUACUGGUUCUAUUUCCUCAACUCUUUCAUUUCCUCAUGUCUGUUGGUGUGUGCUUGUUCAUAUCUGUUUGAAGACUUUGACUGAAGACUUCCUCAAUUUCCUCAGUUCAAUUUCUUCAGUCUAUCCGUCUUCUUUCUUGUGUUAUCCUUUGUUUACGCUUUCUGUACUCUGUGCUUGUCUUCAUUUCAUUAUGAUGACUAUGCUUGUGUUCUGUUAUAUCUACAUUUGAGUACUUAUUCCGCUGUUAGUAGUUCUUCGUUUAGGAAUUUCCUCACCAGCAAAUUCCUCAGUGAAGAAUUCAUAAAAGUCACCUAUUCACCCCCUCUAGUCGAUAUACGCACUUUCAAUUGGUAUCAGAGCAAGGUACUCCCUUGUUCUGUGUGAUUUUGGUUUAACCGCCUGGAGUUUUAGUUAUGUCGACCGCAGGUAUGAUCAAGGUCUCCGCUGGGUGUCCUACCUUCGAUGGAACGGACUACCCCUAUUGGAAGAAUAAGAUGCGCAUGCAUCUUGAAGCAAUUGAUAACAAUCUCUGGUGUGUUGUGGAAAAUGGUGUUCCCUCAGUCACACCUUCUCUGAACGCUACUGAUGUGAAGAGAUUCAAGCAACUCGAUUCUCAAGCGAAGAAUAUCAUAUGUGGCCACCUGAGCAAAGGACGGUAUGGAAGAGUGAGUGCUUUGGAAACUGCUAAGCUUAUCUAGGAUAGGCUGUCCAAGGUGAAUGAAGGAGUCUCAACUCAACGUGACUCUCGUGUUGACGUUCUUCGCAAUCUCUUCAACCGCUUCAAAAGACUCGACAAUGAAAAUGUCCAGCAAACCUUCGAUCGCCUCACUGACAUCUCAAAUGAGCUUCAAGCGCUUGGCGCCACUGACAUCACCGACCAUGAGGUGGUGAAGAAAUUGCUGAGAUUGCUCGAUUCUUCAUUUGAUACUCUGGCACUGAUGAUCCAAGAACGUGCUAAUUACAAGUCACUUGAUCCUGCUGAUAUCCUCGAGAGGCUAAAUACUCAUGAGUUCCAGCUUGCUGAGAAGAGAGAUCUCUAUGGUUCGAGCUAUGACAGAUCACGUGCUCUGAAGGCCAAGACAGUCUCUGAGUCUGAAGAUGAGGACUCUGCUAGCAGCCUUGGUGACCUUGAAGAACCGAGCCAGGAACUAGCACUGCUCGUGAAGAAAUUUCAAAAGUUCUCAAGACGUGGUCGCUUUGGAAAAUCCUCAAGGAGCAAUGAUUCCUCAUCCAGUGACAACAAAAAGAGGCUAUGCCACAAAUGCAAGAAACCUGGUCACUACAUCCAAGAUUGUCCUUAGUGGGAUAAGGAAUCAAAGAAGAAGAAAUACAAGGAUUACAGUUCUGAUGACGCAAAGAAGAAGAAGAAAUCCUCAAAGUCUUCAUCAUCAAAAUCCUCGAAGUCUUCAUCUCACUAGAAGAGAAGCUCCAAGAAGGCUCGGGCAUUCAUUGGCAAGGAAAUGGACUCUGAGGCUGAAUCUGAGGAACAUGAGGACAAGGGGGCAUCUAAGGAGUCCGAGUCUGGUGUGGCGAGCCUAGCUCUCGCUACUACAUUCGUCAGCAAGUCUAUCUUCAACUCUGAAGAAAAUGUCUUCACCAACAAGGCUGAUGAAGGCAAUGAUGACUACGCUCCCACCUAUUGCUUCAUGGCACAGGGUGCCAAGGUAACUAAAUACGCCUCCUCUGAAUCUAGUGAGGAUGAAUCUGGUGAAAACCUCAAGCCCAGAUACUCUAAACUUGCUAAGAUUGCUGUGAAACAACUGAAGGCUUUUGAAAAGGUUCAAAACAUGCUAGAUAAAAGUGAUGAUAUGUUGGGUGAAGAAUGGAUCGCACUAAAACCUUGACUGAAAAUCUUCAGAGACUUCAGUCCAAGUUUGACAACCUUCAAGGUCAUCAUAACACUCUCUUAUCUGAUCACGAGAAGCUUUCUUAUGAAUUUCUUCAAAGAAAGCAAGAUCUAGAAAAGCUAAGAGUGGAUUAUGAAGAUCUUCAAAAGGAGUGCGAUUCAUUACUUGCUCAACAAAUCAGCGCUCCUCAGGAAGAAUUUGUUCCUCCAUGUCUAAAAUGCAUUGAACGUGAAACUGCUAAUUCUUCACCUGAAUGUUCAAAUGCUUCUAAUGCUACAAAUUCUUCAUCUGUCUCUGCUAUCAUUAAUUCCUCAUCUGAGGACAAUGCAAGUAUCACUGAUGAUGCAGGGCUGAAGGAAUUGUACAUGACAGGCAUGUACAAAAGCCUCAAAGGGCAUCAGACUCUUUGUGAUGUGCUCAAAAAGCAGAUCCUUAACAGAAACCCUAGGAAAGAGGGUAUUGCCUUUGAGAGGAAACUCAAUGCUGAUGGAACAUAUUGGAAGCUUGAGCGGUACCCCAAAACCUCAUGGGUUGCUGCAAAGGGACCUCCAGUUGAUCCAUCCAACUUAUCUGGUUUUACAUGUUAAUCUCCUCAUUCUUCUGAUGAGUCAUUUGACUCCAACUAUAAACUGUUCAAAAAUCAGAAUGGUGAAGUAUUUGCUAGAUAUGUUGGCACUAACUGCAGGAAUGGUUCCCCUAUGAAGAAAAUCUGGGUUCCCAAAAGUUGCCUUGAAAGUCUUCAGGUGAAUGUCCUCAUGACACCACCAGUGAAGAAUAGGAACUCCAGAUCAAAUUCUUCAUAUGAACCAAACUCUUCAUAUGGAUCCAAGUCCUCAUACGGACCAAAUUCCUCAAAAGGAUCAAAGUCCUCAUAUGAUCAUCAUCGUGCUAACCUUUCUGUUUCGCAGGGUUGAGCUAAAGGCUAUGAAUAUGAGCAUUAUUCUUCAAAUCAUUAUGUUCAGAAGUCCUCAAAGAAUUACUCUGCUUAUUCAUAUGCUUACCCUAACCCCUCUUAUGUGAAACGAAGUGGAUUGGCUUCUGUGCCACCUUUCUCAUAUGGUUCUCGUAGAGUGAUGAAUUCUUUGCCACCCCUUCAGAUGUGGGUGGUGAAGAAAAAGAACUAAUCUCUUAUGCAAGGUCAGGUCUCCAUACGUGCUCAAAACAUCUGAAGAAUUUGCUGGAGACCUGAACAGUGCCUGAUAGGACGCAGGCUAAUCAUGAUGAAAUGAACUUUCAUUUCACACGUCCUCAUACUAUUUAUCUGUUCUAUUGCUCGAAGAAAUUGAACUGAUGAUAUUGAUGUCAUAUUCUUCACUGAUGAAGCACAUGCCAUUUCCUCGGACGAUCUUUGGUCUGUUGGUCCUUGAAGAAACAGAACUGCAUAUCACUCUCCACUGUAGAAGCUGAGUACAUUGCUGCCGGAUCAUGCUGUGCUCAACUACUAUGGAUGAAGCAAACACUCAAGGACUAUGGCGUCAACAUGAAGAAUGUGCCUCUCUACUGCGAUAAUGAGAGUGCUAUCAAGAUUGCUCAUAACCCAGUUCAGCACUCGAAUACUAAGCACAUCCAGAUUCGUCAUCAUUUUCUUCGUGAUCAUGUGUUGAAGGGCGACAUCUCCAUCGACCACGUUAGCACUGAAGAUCAGCUGGCCGAUAUCUUCACUAAGCCCUUGGAUGAGAAGAGAUUUAGCAAGUUGUAGUGUGAGCUAAAUAUCCUAACACUUAUGAUGACUUGAUGACUUAGAUGUGCAACACAUGAAGUAAUGUUUUUCUUCAAUCAAUGAAGACUAACCCUCUAAGUGUGAAGAAAUUAAUGAAGAAAUUGAUUCUUAGAGCCCUACGACAAUUGUACGCGGUGUCUGAAAUCAGCUUUCUUAUACGGUGGGUCACGCCACCACCCAAAGUUGGAAAUCUUCAAAUUUGAGUUUUUCUUUGUUUUUGAAAUUCCUCAGUUUUUCAAAUUCUUCAACUUUGCAUUGUCUUCACUCUUUCCGGUGUUGUUCUUCAUUUGAAUACAUACAUAUGAGUUUUAUGUCCUCUACAACAUUCACUUAUUGCUAAUUCUUCAAGCUGAUUUCUUCUGCUAAGUGAAUGUGAUCGGACCCUUCCCCCUCUAUGCUAAACUCAACCCAGUCUAUUCACAAAUUCUUCAUGUGCGUUCUAUUUGAAACUCGUUCAAAGUCUUCACUGUGUCCUUGACUGCUGAAGAAAUUGCGAACAAAAACUUUAACUUAUAUGUUCUGAAUUUUCGGCUUUGCCGCUCAAACCGUUCCACAUACCACUACAAUACUUAUCUAUUCACCCAUGAUCCUACACGAUCGUCACCUCUCAGUACGUGGGUGACACAUGUCAAGCGAAUGAGAAGGGCCAGGGGCACAUUCGUCCGAUUUCCUUGGGCGUACAAUUUUCACUCUCUCUAUAAAUACCACUGCCUCUUCCUCACUUCACUUUUACCUUGCUCGCUCUCACUCCCGCUCGAGCUCCCCAAACCCUAGCGCCGCCGCUACUUCAUCGUUGCCGGUGAGGAAGAGCUUCACUGCCUCGACCUCGUCACCGUCGUACUCACGCCGGUUGUGGAUUUCUUCACUCCGCCGCCGCCGUAGCCAUCUUCCUCUGCCGAGUUAGGGCGUGGAAGAUCUGAACUGACGAACUUCACAUCUACUCUUCCCAGUUCGUCGUGUUCUUCACUUCGGGUAAUUAAAAGUUACUUUUACUGCCCUCUUUGAUUCUUAUGUUUUCGUGAAAAUCUUCAAAGGUGUUUAUUCUUCAAAUCUUCACACACAUGAACACCUCACAUGUCAUCUGCUCUUGAUUCGUUUCUCUAAGCAAUGAUUUUCUUCAAGAUUCCUCAAUUGUGUGGAUUUUCAAUCUAUACAACUCUAGAACCUAAGACAAAGAACGCUUAGUGAAAUUCCUCAAGACUCAUCUGGUCAAAUUCCUCAAACCUAUUUUUUUUAAACCUUCUGAGAACGCAUAUGACCUCUCCAAAUUCCUCGCAACUAUACUCUGUUCACAGGUACAAAUGUCCACUGCUGAAUCACUAGGUUCUCAUCAACUUAACUCAUUUGCAGCGUUCCUCGAAGAAAAGUUGCACACCUCUUCAGAAACUUCAGUUGUUCAUAUUCCUCAGCUGAAGAAAAUGGCUGAUAAGAAGCCACAAAAGGGAGGAAAGAGGCCUGAGGUCAAUACUGCGUUUGAAACCCCUGAGGACAUUUAUGCUGGAUACUGCACUCCUGAUGAGGCCAAGUUUGCCAAGGAGGACAAGAAUCAGCGCAAGGUGCGCAUACAACGGAUAGAGAGGAGAUGGGCAUGGGAAUGGAGGGAGUACAGGUAUGUUACUCCCAAGUAUAUGAAGAAAUUCACGCUCAACCCUCCAUGCUCAAGACCUCCAUUAGCACCAGGCUAAGUGGCAGAUCCCACCAGCCUCAAGCGCGGUGAGGACUAUGCUGAUGAAUGGGCAAAGCGCCAGGCCAAACUGGCCAAGCAAGCAAAGGAAGCAGUGAAGAAAUUCAAUGCAGACUCUGCUGCUGCUACUGCCGCUGCUAAGGCCUCUGCUAGCCAGCCGAAGAAGGCGAUGCACAAGAAGCCUGCUCAUAAGUCAAGCGCUUCUCCUUCAAUGCCCUCACGGCCAAGCUCCUCAGCAAUGCCCUCAAGGCCAGAUUCUUCAAAGCCCUCACGGCCAAUCCCUCAGACUGCUCCUUCAAAGUCCUCAGCUCCUCCGACAAAGUCUUCAGCUGAUCCGACCAAAUCCUCUACACCUAUGCAUCUCGCCAUGUGCCAAAGGACAACAGGCUUCUCAAUUGCCUCAGGAGCAUCUGCAAGCUCCUCAGCCGCACGAAAUUCCUCUGCUGGCCCCUCUCUGCUGAAGAAAAAGGCCACUGCUAGACGAGGCCUUCGACCAAGUCCUCACAAGAAGCGGGUCGCCUUCCAAGUUCCCUCUGAUGACGAUGAGGCUGAUGAUGAAGAACUCACCGAAAUCAUCAGAGACGGGCAAGCCAGGGCCGCUAGAGCCAAAGGCAGCAAUGUGCCACUGAUGUUGGAUCCAAAGUCGAUCCUCGAUUACAUUAACCUAUGGCACAAGGACCCUAACACGCCUUUGCUGGAGAUGAACCUCACUCCUGGUCAAAGUCAUGUUCUGACUGCCUUCAUUGAGGAAGAAAAGUGGAAAUUUGAACAAGGCAGAAGUCUGAAGAAAGAGCAGUACAAGAAACAGCGCUACCUCAAGGACAAUGUCCUCACUCUUACCCCUGAUCAGCUCAUUGCCUUGCAAGCUGAAAUCAAGCAAUUGAGUGAUGAACUCGAUCGCCACUAUGCUGAUUAGAAGGGCGCCAAGGUUCGGUUCGUCAAUCUGAUGAAGAAAUUCAGUUCUAGUGCUGCUACUCCUAUGCACGUUGAAGUUCCUCAGGCUAAAGCAUCUGCUCAGCCUACUGAAGAACAUGCCAGCACUGCUGAUGACAAUCAGGCUGCUCAAGAAAAUUAGAGUACCAGGGCUGAUGACUCCAUUUCAGCCGCUGAAGAUAUUGCCAGGGCAUUCACUAGUGGUGCGCCUGAAGAAAGUGAAGAAGUCAGGGCAACUACAUCAGUUGCGCCUGAAGAAAAUGAUCCAAAGUCCUCUGCACCUCCUGCGCCUACACCAACUCUGAUCCUUCCAUCUGCAUCAGAUGCGAAGAAGACUAAGGCUGCAGAGCAUGCAACUGUGAAGAAAAGGAAGGCAUCAACUUCAUCAAAUUCUUCAGCUCCGAAAAAGAUGAAGCCUCUGACUAGUUCAAUUGACAACCCAAUUGAUGUCGUUCCAGUCUCUUUCAUGCCAUCAAAGGACCUUGUUCCUUUUGGUGAAGAUUGUGUGAUUCCCAAUGAAUCUGAUGAAGAAACUCCUUCUGCUUCUUCGACAGAGCAGUUGGACGAAGAAAUUGAAGUGGAUGCAAUCCCUUCAACCCUAAUCAUUUCCUCACCUAUGCCUCAGUUCCCUGCUGAAGAGGCAGGUGUUGAAGAAAUGGAAGAUGAGGAUGUGGACAUCGGUUGUACCACUCCUGUGCUCAAUGAUGACUUUUGGGAAAGUCAGCACCCCAACUCUCCAAUGUUCACUUCACUCCAAGUAAUUCCUCAGUCCCCAGCUGCUACUGAAGUGCAAAUGGGAUCUAAAGAACCUCAUGCAACCCCAAGUGUUCAUGAAGAAAUUCCAGCCACUAGUGCUGAAGAAAUUGUCAAUGAAGAAUUGAAGACCCAGGCUGAAGCUGCAGACGAGCCUGAAAUUCCUCUGCCUGAGGAACCUGAGAUUGCGAUUCCUGAGGUGAUGAUGCAAUUGGCUGACACUCCUCAGCCCAAGCCAAAGGAUCCCUUCUCAAAGAAUCAAAAAUUCAAGGCUGAUGAUUUCUUCGGCGAGCAUGUGUUCUUCACUAAAUUCAACCCAUAUGACAAUGCUCAUCUUAGAAGGAAGCAUUUCUGGACUGCCAGCCAGGCCAACUUCUAUUCCUCAUUGCUUUUCAACAAGGACAAAGUCUUCGACCACGAGCACAUUCCUCACGUGGACAUGGAAUCAAUGCCUUGCUUCUCUCAAGUCCUCAGUAUGCUUCAUGAUGCAGGCUUGCUCAACUUUUGUUCAGACAUAGUUGAUUGGAAUGAAGAGCUCAUUCUUCAGUUCUACGCAAUGCUGCAUAUCACAUGUGAUGCUGCUGACGUCAACUCUUGGGUGUUGGACUGGAUGACUGAAAACACUCAUUAUAAGGCACCAGCCUCUGAAUUGCUUCGUGCCCUGCCAAUCAGUUCUCCACCUGACGGUGCUCGUUGUCUGUAUGAUGAGCCUGAACUCACUGCUCACUAUAUGCAAGUGCUCAUGAAGCCUCUGAAGCCUGGUCAAGCCCCAAGGACCAAAUUCCUCGUGAAGGAAUUGCUCUAUGUGCUAAGAACCAUCUAUCGCAUUCUGACGAAGACCGUGAGUCCUAUCAAAGGCCAUGACUCAUUCGAUGAAGAAAUUAUUGGGACGAUGAAGAAUAUGCUAUUCAACAUAAUGCAUGGCAUCCCCAUAAACUAUCAUGAUUUCUUCAUGAGGACCCUGGCGAAUGUUGCACUUUCACCAUUUGAGCUGAAGCCUUACGCACCAUGGAUCAUGAGAUUCCUCAGAACAAGGUCUUCACUCAACUACAAGGCUGACUUUCAGAAUCACCUCAGCUACUUGCCCCCGAUUGAAGUCCUCAAGUGGACAUUUUCCUCAACUGAUGAGAAGGGCAAGUCCCCAACCAUUAUCGAUGAAGGCAUUCGUCUAUUGGAUGGUCAGUUCCGCAAAGCUGCAUCUUAUUCCACCAAUGAUGACUCUGCCACACAUGAUUCUGCUGCCAAUGCUCCCAAGUCAAGUCCUCAAGCUACUGCUCCUCGUGUGAUGACUGACCGUGAACUGCUGCUAAGUCUUCACCAGAAGGUGGAUCGAAACCACAAAUGGGUUAAGCGUCAGUUUGGCUCAAUUCUUCACAACAUGACUUCUACACAUAAUGCAGUGAAGAAAAACCAUUACUACCUCCAUGAAGUUUUUGAUCGCACCUGGGCUAUUCUGUCACAUCUAUAUGGUGAAGAAGAUCUGAAGCAAAUGGGCUUCAAGGAAGAUUUUGACUGGUCUGCUCCUCCACCGAAGAAAUACAAGAAGGCCAAGGUUCCUUCCUUGGUGGCCAGUUCAUAUUCUUCAUCACGCGCCACAGACGAAUAUGAAUACUUGGACGACACUGCAGCAGGCCCUACAACGACUCAAGACACUGACAACGCUGGCGCUCCUCCAUCAUCAUGAUAUUCUUCAGGGCCGUUAGUCCUCAUUUUCAACCCUUUUGGUCAUUCGAUGACAAAGGGGGAGAUAUUUGAGUUAGUCUUCAAGCGGGUCUAUCUUAUAUGGGCGUUUUUUGCUAAGUUACAACUCUCGUUCUUCUGAUGACUUUGCUAGAUCGAGUUGUAAUCUUAAACUCUAUGGUGGCCUGAUACUUUUGUUGUGUUCUUCUGCAUGCUUAUUCCUCAUUAAUGUUAAUGCACGCAUGCUGAAUUAUAUCAGUCACCAUAUUUCAUCAUGCAUUUCAAAUUCUUCAUAUUAUAUGUCAAAUGCAUGUAUGAAUUACAGGAUAUAGGGGGAGAUCUCCAAUGAUUAUACUCUUCAAGUGUGCAUUGCUUCAAAAGCAAAUUCCUCACUAUGCACAUCUUCAGGGGGAGUUCUUCUAUAUCUUGCAAUCAAAUUACUUAAUAUUAGUAUUUACACUUCAUAUGUUUAUCCCCGUUGAAUACUUAACCUAUAUUGUCAUCAAUCACCAAAAAGGGGGAGAUUGUAAGUGCAUCUAGUGCCCCUUAGUGAUUUUGGUGUAUUGAAGGCUUAUAGGUUAAGGGACUGAUGCGUUUGUGAGCGUACAUAGGUCUAUAAGUCUAUGAGGAGUUUGAUAUUUACAGAGAAAGUCGACCCCUAAAAAUGAAGUUCUUCAACUGAAGACUUUGGAUUUCUGAGGACUUUCUGAAGACUUUGAAAGUGAAGAAAUUGGUGUAACCUUGAAGAGUUGGCAAUAAUUCGAGUGUAGCGACCCGACCUCAGAUGGUCAAGUCUCUGUGCUUCUGUGUCAUCCCUGGAUCGGUAAUGCUGACACACACAGUACUCGAAGGAUUUAUAACAGAGUAGCAAUCACACACUUAUUACAUCGAAUGUCUCAAAAGAGAACUAUUACAAUAAUAUGGCUUAAGGCCAUCUAAUGCGAUAACAGCGGAAGGCUUGGAAGAUAAAGUGAGUCCAUCAACUCCAACGGCAUAGCUGAGCUGCACGGCAACGACCUACGAACCUUACUCCUCGUCUGAAAAGUCUGCAACAUAAUACGUUGCAGCCCGAGAACGGGUCAGCACAUGGAAUAUGCGGGCAGUGUAACACAAAAGAGCAAUAACAGAAUAAUGCUACCACUACAUGCAUAUUAGGCUGGUGGAAAAGCUCUAUGGUUACAAUUUUGCGAAAAGCCAUUUUUUCCCUACAACAAAGGAAUAUAAUUUAAUUUAACUAUCAUGGUGGUUGAAACAUCAUUUGAGAAGGUAACCCCAACUCAAGAUCCCAAUUAAAAUAGUUAACAUCCCAAGCAAUAUUAAUUAAGAGUGUUGAGAUACAUGCGAAUACUCAAGUACUAGAUACUCAGAAUUGUCCAUAACCGGGGACACGGCUAACCAUGAUUAGAUUGUACACUCUGCAGAGGUUUGCGCUCUUCAACUUCCUCCACGUUAACGUGGUUCACUUGUCCUUUGUUGAAUGGAUUGGGCUUCUUCCCUGCGCUCCCAUUUCCAUUGCCAUUCUUUCCUUCAGAGCAGUCAUUGGCAUAAUGCCCUGUCUUCCCGCACUUGUAGCAAACAACUUGGCUUAAGUCCCUCUUUGCGGGUGUAGAUGGGUUAGAGCGAUUCUGAUUAUUGUUGGCUCCAUUCCCAUUCCCGUUCUUCGCACCAUUAUGGUUAUGCGAUCCUCCUCCAGCAUGGUUAUGACUUCCAUGGUUAUGAACAAGUCCUCCCGAGUUCGGGGUCAAGCGGGGCUUCUGGUAAGCUCCUGAGUUGUAUUUCCCUUGUCCAUAUUUCCUCUUACGGCUCUCAAUUUGCUGCUGCUUUCCUUCAAUCAUUAGGGCCUUAUCUACCAACUCCUGGUAGUUGUUGAAGGUUGCCACCAUCAACUGCAUACUCAUCUCAUCAUUCAGCCCUUCCAUAAACUUCUCCUGCUUCGCGGCAUCUAUGGCCACAUCAUCAGGGGCAUAACGUGAUAACUUGCUAAACUCAUCCACGUACUGGCCCAUAGUACGGUUCCCCUUGCGUAGAUUGCGGAACUCACGCUUCUUCAUCUGCAUAGCUCCAGUCGAGACAUGGGCCCUGCGAAAAGCCUGCUGAAACUGAGCCUAUGUGACAGUGUCGAUAGGAUAGGUGGCUGUGAAAUUCUCCCACCAAGCUGUUGCAGGUCCAUCCAGUUGGUGUGCGGCAAAACGCACCUUCUCAGCAUCUGUGCAUCCUGCGGUGGUUAACUCCCUUCCAAUACGAUGUAACCAAUCAUCUGUAACUAUUGGCUCAAUGCUACUAGAGAACACCGGCGGCUGUAACCUUAAGAAACGGGCGAGGUUAUCCACUGGCGGCGGGUUGUUGUUGUUGGCAUUGUUGUUAUUGGCAUUGCCCUGGUUCUGAACUAGCAAUUGCAUCAAGGCAUUCUGCUACUGGAUCAACUGGGUGAUCUCCGGAGGGAAAACAAAAUCGGGGUCUCUUCUCGGAGGCAUCUGAUGGGUUUAGAUGGAAGAGAUUAGAAUAGAAAAGGUCUAGGGGAGAAACACUACCCAUAUGCAUAUGAGGCAAACACAAGCAUUCAUUCAAUCAAUCAAGCAAGGGCAUACAAAACGGUCUAGAACUAUCGCAAAAGUGCUCACUACUACUAGUUACAUGGGGGAAUACUAUUAUCAUAUGGUGGUCAUCUAGAAGUUUUGAUCGGUGGAAGACUCCAUAAUGUCUGCUCCAGCUUCAUCUUCAUAGUCAUCAUCACUUGAAUCUGAAUCGGUGUCGUCGAUGAUGAUGUAGUUGUCUGGACGAAUGAGGUCUUCUCUUGGAACUGGUCCUCCCAUGAAAAUUCCGAUCUUCUCGACUAGGUCGUCAUUCUUCUCCAAUAGGAUCUUGAUUUCCUCCUCAUAUCCAUCGCGUGUGGACUUAAGUUCUUCCUCCAGCUCGAUGAACCUAGUUUUCUCCUUCUUCAACUCGAUCAUGUCUGUGCACAUCUAGUUUUCCUGAUAUCGAAUGUGCUGGUUUUGCUCCUGGAUAAAGGAUGCGACAGAUCUAUCCUUCCUGGUGCUGAUCAUCUCCCAUUGUUCAUCUCGAUGCCCACAUAUUUGAUAGGUGGUAUCCUCAAGUUCCUUGUUGUAGAUUUCUCCAAUGCGUCCCAUGGUGAUAUGAGCUGCCAUACUCUUGCCAAGGCUCCAAGUGGGGGCUUCGAAAGAAAACUCUAUGGGUUUAGAAUUUGGCGAGAACGUCCUUCCUGGAACUCGUACUUGAAUCAUCUAGCGCUCUUCUUCUGGUAGAGUGGCGUUGUACGUCCCAGUGAAGCUUGGUAUUCCAAUAUUCAAGUACCUAGUGACUUCCUUCAAGUGGCGCCCAAAAGGUGUGUCUUCAUCCGGUUGUGCAAACUUGUUCUUCUUAUCCUUCAUCCUAAAGAGUGGAAAAAGAAGAGGAGCCAAAAAUGAGAGUAGAAGUGUGACCUAUGGUUUAUCUUAGUGGUCGUGUCCUACACUCAGCGUGUGCUCUGAUACCAUCUUAUAGCGACCCGACCUCAGAUGGUCAAGUCUCUGUGCUUCCGUGUCAUCCCUGGAUCAGUAAUGCUGACACACACAGUACUCGAAGGAUUUAUAACAGAGUAGCAAUCACACACUUAUUACAUCGAAUGUCUCAAAAGAGAACUGUUACAAUAAUAUGGCUUAAGGCCAUCUAAUGCGAUAACAGCGGAAGGCUUGGAAGAUAAAGUGAGUCCAUCAACUCCAACGGCAUAGCUGAGCUGCACGGCAACGACCUAUAAACCUUACUCCUCGUUUGAAAAGUCUGCAACAUAAUACGUUGCAGCCCGAGAAUGGGUCAGCACAUGGAAUAUGCUGGCAAUGUAACACAAAAGAGCAAUAACAGAAUAAUGCUACCACCACAUGCAUAUUUGGCUGGUGCAAAAGCUCUAUGGUUACAAUUUUGCGAAAAGCCAAUUUUUCCCUACAACAAAGGAAUAUAAUUUUAAUUUAACUAUCAUGGUGGUUGAAACAUCAUUUGAGAAGGUAACCCCAACUCAAUGAUCCCAAUUAAAAUAGUUAACAUCCCAAGCAAUAUUAAUUAAGAGUGUUGAGAUACAUGCGAAUACUCAAGUACUAGAUACUCAGAAUUGUCCAUAACCGGGGACACAGCUAACCAUGAUUAGAUUGUACACUCUGCAGAGGUUUGCGCACUUUUCCCCGCAAGACUCGAUCACCUCCGUUUGUUUCCUCAUACUACAUGGUGUUUCAGAAACGGAUGACCGAGACACAGUCUUUCAAAAACAUUAACUCUCUACUCCGGGCAGACCAUACCAAACCUACAAAACCCACUACCUGCUGAUCCACCUCUUCAAGAGCUUCACGUAACUUACUCAACUAUGCUAGAGCCCAUAAUAGCUUGCGGCUGCACACGGAAAUUUCUAGCAUGAAUAGACUCAGUUCCCUUUGAGCCUGGGUGGCGGUCCAUAGGAGAAUCACACGGUAACCCCGGGAUUUGCAAAAAUAAAGCAGGCAAUCACUGGAUACCCCAGGUGCCUCAAUCCACCCAGAUGUGUAUUAAAGUUGCCACCUUAAGUAAACCAUUAAUUAACAAUCUCACAUCUGUCAUGGAAAUCACUCAAACCCAAUCCACGUCUAUGAGCAUAGCAUGGCAACAUAAGCAUAACGUAGAAGUAACUCCCAAGGGUUUGAUAAUAAACAGGGCAAUAGGUUCUACCUCAGCAACUACCUCCCAAUACCCACAUGUUAAAGGCAUCCUAAUCAUGCAAUGUUUGAGGAUUGAAACUAAUGCAUAAAAACUGGGUAUGUAAAGAGUAUGAUCAAUGUGUUACUUGCCUUGCUGACGAUCCGUGUAUCCUAGAGACUCGUAGUAACACGCUUCGCACUUCGGGAAUUCUAUCACAAGCAAACAAUAACAUACAUAAGCAACAAUCAAAGAUGCACAAGUAGAACUCCAAAUAAAAUAGUUUUACCGGAGAGUUCAACUUAAGAACUCCGGUUUGCAAAAAGAAUCAAAUCAAACGGAGCAACGAAACUCAAACGGCCAAAGAAACAAGAUCCGUUAACUAAUCUGAACUAGGGUCAAAUUUUACAGAGAUAAAAACUUGUUUGGGUUGAUUAUUCGGAAGGAGAGUCUCGAGAUGAAACUCCAGGCGCUUGAAUCGCCUAAUUCCGAUAAACGAGCGAAAAGAUAAACAUGUUUGAACAUCGGAUCAGAAAUCGCGAUCAGAAUAAUCGCGGAAUAAAUCCGAUAAAAAGAAAAACGGCAAACUGCUAAACGAACGAACGUUCAUUAACAGAAACUAAACAGUGAACGCAUUCGUUAGAACGAACGGACAAACAAACGUUCGCUAAGUAAAUAAACCAAAGAAAUAAAACCGAUCUAUAUAAAAAAUCGAUCUAGGUUUUUCAAAAAAACCGAAGGGUUUUCUAAAAAACCGGCGGCGGGGCGGGUACCUCCGACGAGGUCGUCCGGCGAGGCGGGCGGCUCCGGCGGGGCUCGGCGAGGGGCGGCGGGGCUUUGGGGAGGGCGCGGGGUGGCGGUGUGAGGCGGCGGCGGCGCUAGGGCGGCGGCGGCGACUCGGCNNNNNNNNNNNNNNNNNNNNNNNNNNNNNNNNNNNNNNNNNNNNNNNNNNNNNNNNNNNNNNNNNNNNNNNNNNNNNNNNNNNNNNNNNNNNNNNNNNNNNNNNNNNNNNNNNNNNNNNNNNNNNNNNNNNNNNNNNNNNNNNNNNNNNNNNNNNNNNNNNNNNNNNNNNNNNNNNNNNNNNNNNNNNNNNNNNNNNNNNNNNNNNNNNNNNNNNNNNNNNNNNNNNNNNNNNNNNNNNNNNNNNNNNNNNNNNNNNNNNNNNNNNNNNNNNNNNNNNNNNNNNNNNNNNNNGCUCCGGGCUCCGGGAGGCGGCGGCGGCUCGGGUGGUGGCGGGGGUGGUGGCGAGGUGGCGGGGCGGCGGUAUUUAAGGAGGGGGGCUGCUCCGGCUUGGGGAAGGGGGCGCCCGGGGUGGAGUCCGGCUCGGACUCCCCUCGGCGUCCGUGCGGCGCACGACGGCGCGCGCGGGGAGGCGGCGGCGGUGGUGGCUGGGCCGGCCUGCUCGGCUGGGCCUUUGGCCCAGUCGGGCGCGAGGGUUUUUUUAAAACAUUCCGCCGAAAGAAAAAUUCCUAGAAAAAUAAAUAAAAAUCUAAAAAUUCCAAAACAAGUUUUCUCCGUCUAAAUAAAAUAUUUAGAACAGGAUGAACUUUUCUUGGCCCCUAAAAUGCAAUUUUUAAAACGUGCAAAUUUUUCUAGGGCAAAUAAAAUCCAAAAAUGAUUUUAACAUUUUUCCUCCGAUAUUUCAGUUGUUUUGGAGAAGUCAUAUUAUCUCCCCUCAUUUAUUAUUUUAAAAUGAAAUAUUUUCCAGAGAGAAAAUAAUUAAAAUCAAAAUCCUCGUCUUCUCUAUUUGAUAAAAAUUUUAAAUAUGAAAAUUGGAAAAUCCCCAACUCUCUCCGAGGGUCCUUGAGUUGCUUAGGAUUUCAAGGAUUGCAACCGGAAAAACCAUAAAAUAUGAUAUGCAUGAAUGACCUAUGUAUAACAUGCCAAAUUGGAAAUUUGGGAUGUUACAAACCUACCCCCCUUAAGAUGAAUCUCGCCCUCGAGAUUCGGGUUGGCUAGAAGAUAGGUGCGGAUGGUCCUUGCGAAUAUCCUCUUCUCGCUCCCAGGUGGCUUCCUCCUCAGUAUGAUGACUCCACUGAACUUUGCAGAACUUGAUCACCUUGUUGCGAGUGACUCGACUAUCAAACUCAAGAAUCUUUACUGGCUUCUCCUCAUAGGUCAGGUUAUUAUCCAGCUGAAUCGCUUCCAAAGGUACUGUAUCCUGCAAAGGUAUAUCGGCUAUCUCAGCGUGGCACUUCUUCAGCUGAGAUACGUGAAACACAUCGUGAACUCCUGACAAUCCUUUAGGUAACUCCAGCUUGUAAGCAACUUCUCCCAUCCGUACCAAAAUACAAUAUGGUCCUACAAACCUCGGGGCUAACUUUCCCUUAACUCCAAAACGUUUUACUCCCCUCAAGGGUGAUACUCGUAGAUAAGCUCUGUCUCCAAUCCCAUAGGUUACUUCCUUGCGUUUUGAAUCUGCAUAACUCUUCUGUCUGGAAUGAGCAAUCUUUAGUCUAUCUCUGACCAGUUUAACUUUCUCCUCUGAUUCCUUGAUCAAAUCUGGUCCAAACAACUGACGAUCUCCUACCUCAUCCCACAUUAAGGGCAUUCUACAUCUGCAUCCAUACAGAGCUUCGAACGGUGCCAUCUUCAAACUGGCCUGAUAGCUGCUGUUAUAAGAGAACUCUGCGUACGGUAAAUUGUCAUCCCAACUAGAUCCAUAAUCUAGCGUACAGGCUCUUAACAUGUCUUCCAGAAUCUGGUUGACUCUUUCUGUCUAUCCAUCGGUCUGAGGGUGAAAAGCGGUGCUGAAUUCCAAACGGGUACCCAAAGUCUGGUGUAGCUGAUGCCAAAACUUUGAAGUAAACUGGGUUCCUCUAUCUGAUAUGAUGCUCCUCGGAACUCCAUGUAAACAUAUGAUCCUGGUCAUAUAUAUCUUGGCCAACUUUGCACUUGUAUACGUUCUUUUCACCGGAAUGAAGUGAGCUACUUUAGUCAAUCGAUCCACAACUACCCACAUAGAAUCAUAUCCUGCAUUGGUUUUGGGUAAUCCGGUAAUAAAGUCCAUACCAAGUUUGUCCCACUUCCAUUCCGGUAUUGGCAUAGGCUGUAACAGUCCUGCUGGCUUCUGAUGCUCUACCUUCACUCUCUGACAUACACCACAUACGGCUACAUACUCGGCAAUAUCCUUCUUCAUUCCAGUCCACCAGAAACGUUCCUUCAAGUCCAGAUACAUCUUGGUGUUUCCGGGGUGAAUCGAGUAUGGUGAGUCAUGGGCCUCUUGAAGUAUCAAAUUCCUGAUCUCCGAAUUGUUGGGCACAUAAAUCCGAUCCUCAAACCACAAGGUAUCGUGCUCAUCCUCGCGAAAACCUUUGGCUUUACCUUCGCCCAUCCUCUCUCUUAUCUCAGCAAUCUCAUUGUCCUCCUUCUGAGCUUCUCGAAUCUUGUCCAACAAUGUCGACUGAACCUCCAUUGCUGCAAGAAAGCCUUUCGGUACAAUCUCCAACCAAAGUUCCAUGAUUUCUGCAGCUAACUCCUUUGGCAUUCCCUUGCUCACAAGAACAUUAGCAUAACUCUUCUGGCUCAAUGCGUUUGCUACGACAUUGGCUUUUCCCGUAUGAUAAUGUAGCUUCAUAUCGUAAUCCUUUAUAAGUUCCAACCAUCUCCUCAGCCUGAGGUUCAACUCCUUCUGUGUGAAAAUGUACUUCAAGCUCUUAUGAUCCGUGUACACAUCACACCAGUUUCCAAUAAGAUAAUGUCUCCAGGUCUUUAGCGCAUGCACUACGGCUGCUAACUCCAAAUCAUGCGUGGCAUAGUUCAACUCAUGUGGCUUCAGUUGUCGUGAGGCAUACGAAACAACUUUUCCUUCCUGCAUAAGCACACAUCCAAGUCCCAUGCGAGAGGCGUCACAAUACACUUGAAACUCCUUAUGUAUAUCUGGCAAGGUUAGUACUGGGUCCGUAGUCAAUCGCUUCUUCAGCUCUUGAAAACUUGUCUCGCACUCCUCCGUCCAUUUGAACUUAGUAUCCUUCUUUAACAAUUCAGUCAUUGGUUUAGCAAUCUUGGAAAAAUUCUCAAUGAAUCUCCGAUAAUAUCCUGCCAGUCCAAGGAAACUGCGGAUCUCGCCAACUGAAGUGGGUGCCAACCAUUCAGUGACUGACUGAACCUUACUAGGAUCCACUGCUAUACCCUUUCCGGAUAUAACAUGCCCAAGAAAUCCAACUUCUUGCAACCAAAACUCGCACUUGCUGAAUUUGGCGUAUAACUGGUGUUCCCUGAGUUUCUCGAGAACCAAACGCAAGUGUUCUGCGUGCUCCUCUUCGUUCUUCGAGUAUAUCAUAAUAUCAUCAAUGAAUACCACAAUGAACUUGUCCAAAUACUCCAUGAACACCUUGUUCAUCAUACUCAUGAAAUAAGCAGGGGCGUUAGUCAGUCCAAAUGACAUGACCGUAUACUCAUAUAAUCCAUACCGCGUGGUAAAUGUUGUCUUGGGUAUAUCCUUCUCUCGGAUCUUCAACUGAUGGUAUCCCGAUCGUAGAUCAAUCUUUGAAAACACCCUAGCUCCUUGUAACUGAUCAAACAGAUCAUUAAUCAUCGGUAAGGGAUACUUGUUCUUUAUCGUUACUUCAUUAAGAGCUCGGUAAUCAACAACCAUCCUCAGGGAUUUAUCCUUCUUCUCCACCAAAAGUACUGGGGCUCCCCAAGGUGAUGAGCUUCUACGAAUGUAGCCUUUCUCCAACAACUCUUUGAUCUGCUUCUUAAUUUCCUCCAAAUCAUUUGCGGGCAUCCGAUAGGGUCUCUUGGAUAUCGGUCAUGUACCUGGCAAUAGCUCUAUCAAGAACUCGAUAUCUCUAUCCGGUGGCAUGCCUGGUAAUUCUUCGGGAAAAACAUCCGGAAAAUCCUUUACUACAGGCACUUCCUCCUGUACAACUCCCGUGAGGGUGUUUACUUGUCUCCCCUUAGGCGCAUGCCUAGAUAUGUACUUAAUCCUUUUUCCCUCUGGGGUGGUGAGAUAAAUUGACUUACUAGCACAGUCAAUACUUCCUCCAUACUUCGACAUCCAGUCCAUACCUAAUAUCACAUCCAAUCCUUGUGACUCCAAGAUAAUUAGGUCAGACGGAAAUACAUGGGUGCCAAUGAUUAGGGGUAUCUGGGUGCACCAUCUGCUAGCCAUGUACUCUGCUCCCGGUGAGCUUACUAAAAGGGGUGUCCUAAGGGUUUGGGUUGGUAACUUAAACUUUUCCACAAAUCCCCUUGAUAUGUAUGAAUGCGAUGCACCAGUAUCGAAAAGAACAAUUGUGGUAAAUGACUGAACCAAAACUUUACCUAUUACCGCGUCUGGCUGCUCUUCAACUUCCUCCACGUUAACGUGGUUCACUUGUCCUUUGUUGAAUGGAUUGGGCUUCUUCCCUGUGCUCCCAUUUCCAUUGCCAUUCUUUCCUUCAGAGCAGUCAUUGGCAUAAUGCCCUGUCUUCCCACACUUGUAGCAAACAACUUGGCUUAAGUCCCUCUUUGCGGGUGUAGAUGGGUUAGAGCGAUUCUGAUUAUUGUUGGCUCCAUUCCCAUUCCCGUUCUUCGCGCCAUUAUGGUUAUGCAAUCCUCCUCUAGCAUGGUUAUGACUUCCAUGGUUAUGAACAAGUCCUCCCGAGUUCGGGGUCAAGCGGGGCUUCUGGUAAGCUCCUGAGUUGUAUUUCCCUUGUCCAUAUUUCCUCUUACGGCUCUCAAUUUACUGCUGCUUCCUUCAAUCAUUAGGGCCUAAUCUACCAACUCCUGGUAGUUAUUGAAGGUUGCCACCAUCAACUGCAUACUCAUCUCAUCAUUCAGCCCUUCCAUAAACUUCUCCUGCUUCGCGGCAUCUGUGGCCACAUCAUCAGGGGCAUAACGUGAUAACUUGCUAAACUCAUCCACGUACUGGCCCACAGUAUGGUUCCCCUGGCGUAGAUUGCGGAACUCACGCUUCUUCAUCUGCAUAGCUCCAGUCGAGACUUGGGCCGUGCGAAAAGCCUGCUGAAACUGAUCCCAUGUGACAGUGUCGAUAGGAUAGGUGGCUGUGAAAUUCUCCCACCAAGCUGCUGCAGGUCCAUCCAGUUGGUGUGCGGCAAAACGCACCUUCUCAGCAUCUAUGCAUCCUGCGGUGGUUAACUCCCUUCCAAUACGACGUAACCAAUCAUCUGCAACUAUUGGCUCGAUGCUACUGGAGAACACCGGCGGCUGUAACCUUAAGAAACGGGCGAGGUUAUCCACUGGCGGCGGGUUGUUGUUGUUGGCAUUGUUGUUAUUGGCAUUGCCCUGGUUCUGAACUAGCAAUUGCAUCAAGGCAUUCUGCUGCUAGAUCAACUGGGUGAUCUCCGGAGGGAAAAAAUCGGGGUCUCUUCUCGGAGGCAUCUGAUGGGUUUAGAUGGAAGAGAUUAGAAUAGAAAAGGUCUAGGGAGAAACACUACCCAUAUGCAUAUGAGGCAAACACAAGCAUUCAUUCAAUCAAUCAAGCAAGGGCAUACAAAACGGUCUAGAACUAUCGCAAAAGUGCUCACUACUACUAGUUACAUGGGGCAAUACUAUUAUCAUAUGGUGGUCAUCUAGAAGUUUUGAUCGAUGGAAGACUCCAUAAUGUCUGCUCCAGCUUCAUCUUCAUAGUCAUCAUCACUUGAAUCUGAAUCGGUGUCGUCGAUGAUGAUGUAGUUGUCUGGACGAAUGAGGUCUUCUCUUGGAACUGGUCCUCCCAUGAAAAUUCCAAUCUUCUCGACUAGGUCGUCAUUCUUCUCCAAUAGGAUCUUGAUUUCCUCCUCAUAUCCAUCGCGUGUGGACUUAAGUUCUUCCUCUAGCUCGAUGAUCCUAGUUUUCGCGUUCUUCAACUCAAUCAUGUAUGCGCACAUCUGGUUUUCCUGACGUCGAAUGUGCUGGUUUUGCUCCUGGAUAAAGGCUGCGACAGAUCUAUCCUUCCUGGUGCUGAUCAUCUCCCAUUGUUCAUCUCGGCGCCCACAUAUUUGAUAGGUGGUAUCCUCAAGUUCCUUGUUGUAGAUUUCUCCAAUGCGUCCCAUGGUGAUAUGAGCUGCUAUACUCUUGCCAAGGCUCCAAGUGGGGGCUUCGAAAGAAAACUCUAUGGGUUUAGAAUUUGGCGAGAACGUCCUUCCUGGAACUUGUACUUGAAUCAUCCAGCGCUCUUCUUCUGGUAGAGUGGCGUUGUACGUCCCGGUGAAGCUUGGUAUUCCAAUAUUCAAGUACCUAGUGACUUCCUUCAAGUGGCGCCCAAAAGGUGUGACUUCAUCCGGUUGUGCAAACUUGUUCUUCUUAUCCUUCAUCCUAAAGAGUGGAAAAAGAAGAGGAGUCAGAAAUGAGAGGAGAAGUGUGACCUAUGGUUUAUCUUAGUGGUCGUGUCCUACACUCAGCGUGUGCUCUGAUACCAUCUUGUAGCGACCCGACCUCAGAUGGUCAAGUCUCUAUGCUUCCGUGUCAUCCCUGGAUCGGUAAUGCUGACACACACAGUACUCGAAGGAUUUAUAACAGAGUAGCAAUAACACACUUAUUACAUCGAAUGUCUCAAAAGAGAACUAUUACAAUAAUAUGGCUUAAGGCCAUCUAAUGCGAUAACAGCGGAAGGCUUGGAAGAUAAAGUGAGUCCAUCAACUCCAACGGCAUAGCUGAGCUGCACGGCAACGACCUACGAACCUUACUCCUCGUCUGAAAAGUCUGCAACAUAAUAUGUUGCAGCCCGAGAACGGGUCAGCACAUGGAAUAUGCUGGCAAUGUAACACAAAAGAGCAAUAACAGAAUAAUGCUACCACCACAUGCAUAUUUGGCUGGUGGAAAAGCUCUAUGGUUACAAUUUUGCGAAAAGCCAAUUUUUCCCUACAACAAAGGAAUAUAAUUUUAAUUUAACUAUCAUGGUGGUUGAAACAUCAUUCGAGAAGGUAACCCCAACUCAAUGAUCCCAAUUAAAAUAGUUAACAUCCCAAGCAAUAUUAAUUAAGAGUGUUGAGAUACAUGCGAAUACUCAAGUACUAGAUACUCAGAAUUGUCCAUAACCGGGGACACGGCUAACCAUGAUUAGAUUGUACACUCUGCAGAGGUUUGCGCACUUUUCCCCGCAAGACUCGAUCGCUUCCGUUUGUUUCCUCGUACUACAUGGUGUUUGAGAAACGGAUGACCGAGACACAGUCUUUCAAAAACAUUAACUCUCUACUCCGGGCAGACCAUACCAAACCUACAAAACCCACUACCUGCUGAUCCACCUCUUCAAGAGCUUCACGUAACUUACUCAACUAUGCUAGAGCCCAUAAUAGCUUGCGGCUGCACACGGAAAUUUCUAGCAUGAAUAGACUCAGUUCCCUUUGAGCCUGGGUGGCGGUCCAUAGGAGAAUCACACGGUAACCCCGGGAUUUGCAAAAAUAAAACAAGCAAUCACUGGAUACCCCAGGUGCCUCAAUCCACCCAGAUGUGUAUUAAAGUUGCCACCUUAAGUAAACCAUUAAUUAAAAAUCUCACAUCUGUCAUGGAAAUCACUCAAACCCAAUCCACGUCUACGAGCAUAGCAUGGCAAUAUAAGCAUAACGUAGAAGUAACUCCCAAGGGUUUGAUAAUAAACAGGGCAAUAGGUUCUACCUCAGCAACUACCUCCCAAUACCCACAUGUUAAAGGCAUCCUAAUCAUGCAAUGUUUGAGGAUUGAAACUAAUGCAUAAAAACUGGGUAUGUAAAGAGUAUGAUCAAUGUGUUACUUGCCUUGCUGACGAUCCGUGUAUCCUAGAGACUCGUAGUAACACGCUUCGCACUCUGGGAAGUCUAUCACAAGAAAACAAUAACAUACAUAAGCAACAAUCAAAGAUGCAUAAGUAGAACUCCAAAUAAAAUAGUUUGACCGGAGAGUUCAACUUAAGAACUCCGGUUUGCAAAAAGAAUCAAAUCAAACGGAGCAACGAAACUCAAACGGCAAAAGAAACAAGAUCCGUUAACUAAUCUGAACUAGGGUGAAAUUUUACAGAGAUAAAAACUUGUUUGGGUUGAUUAUUCGGAAGGAGAGUCUCGAGAUGAAACUCCAGGCGCUUGAAUCGCCUAAUUCCGAUAAACGAGCGAAAAGAUAAACAUGUUUGAACAUCGGAUCAGAAAUCGCGAUCAGAAUAAUCGCGGAAUAAAUCCGAUAAAAAGAAAAACGGCGAACUGCUAAACAAACGAACGUUCGUUAACAGAAACUAAACAGUGAACGCGUUCGUUAGAACGAACGGACGAACAAACGUUCGCUAAGUAAAUAAACCGAAGAAAUAAAACCGAUCUAUAUAAAAAAAAUCGAUCUAGGGUUUUCAAAAAAACCCGAAGGGUUUUCUAAAAAAACGGCGGCGGGGCGGGUACCUCCGACGAGGUCGUCCGGCGAGGCGGGCGGCUCCGACGGGGCUCGGCGAGGGGCGGCGGGGCUUUGGGGAGGGCGCGGGGUGGCGGUGUUAGGCGGCAGCGGUGCUAGGGCGGCGGCGNNNNNNNNNNNNNNNNNNNNNNNNNNNNNNNNNNNNNNNNNNNNNNNNNNNNNNNNNNNNNNNNNNNNNNNNNNNNNNNNNNNNNNNNNNNNNNNNNNNNNNNNNNNNNNNNNNNNNNNNNNNNNNNNNNNNNNNNNNNNNNNNNNNNNNNNNNNNNNNNNNNNNNNNNNNNNNNNNNNNNNNNNNNNNNNNNNNNNNNNNNNNNNNNNNNNNNNNNNNNNNNNNNNNNNNNNNNNNNNNNNNNNNNNNNNNNNNNNNNNNNNNNNNNNNNNNNNNNNNNNNNNNNNNNNNNNNNNNNNNNNNNNNNNNNNNNNNNNNNNNNNNNNNNNNNNNNNNNNNNNNNNNNNNNNNNNNNNNNNNNNNNNNNNNNNNNNNNNNNNNNNNNNNNNNNNNNNNNNNNNNNNNNNNNNNNNNNNNNNNNNNNNNNNNACUCGGCGGCGGCGACUCGGGGCUCGGCUCCGGGCUCCGGGAGGCGGCGGUGGCUCGGGUGGUGGCGGGGGUGGUGGCGAGGUGGUGGGGCGACGGUAUUUAAGGAGGGGGGCUGCUCCGGCUUGGGGAAGGGGGCGCCCGGGGUGGAGUCCGGCUUGGACUCCCCUCGGCGUCCGUGCGGCGCACGGCGGCGCGCGCGGGGAGGCGGCGGCGGUGGCGGCUGGGCCGACCUGCUCGGCUGGGCCUUUGGCCCAGUCGGGCGCGAGGGUUUUUUUUAAAACAUUCCGCCGAAAGAAAAAUUCCUAGAAAAAUAAAUAAAAAUCUAAAAAUUCCAAAACAAGUUUUCUCCGUCUAAAUAAAAUAUUUAGAACAGGAUGAACUUUUCUUGGCCCCUAAAAUGCAAUUUUUAAAACGUGCAAAUUUUUCUUGGGCAAAUAAAAUCAUGAAUAAACUCAAAUAAAAUCCAAAAAUGAUUUUAACAUUUUUCCUCCGAUAUUUCAGUUGUUUUGGAGAAGUCAUAUUAUCUCCCCUCAUUUAUUAUUUUAAAAUGAAAUAUUUUCCAGAGAGAAAAUAAUUAAAAUCAAAAUCCUCGUCUUCUCUAUUUGAUAAAAUUUUCAAAUAUGAAAAUUGGAAAAUCCCCAACUCUCUCCGAGGGUUCUUGAGUUGCUUAGGAUUUCGAGGAUUGCAACCGGAAAAACCAUAAAAUAUGAUAUGCAUGAAUGACCUAUGUAUAACAUGCCAAAUUGGAAAUUUGGGAUGUUACAUCGAGGAACAUGAAGCGUGAAGACUUUUGUUUUUAUAGUUUCAUUUUCUCUUUCUUGAGUCAUAGGAAACACCGUACUGUUAAAGGGGGUCAAGAAAAUACUAAGGAAAAAUUUCCAAGUGAUGCUCAACUCAAAUCCUACACCUACCAAUCCCUUCGAGUGAAGCCAUUGGAAAUCUCAUACAGUUCAAUCCUAUUCUUCAGUGAUAGAGACGAAGUUCUUCUGGUCUCUGAGGAACUUGUUCUGAUUGAGGAGUUAGGAAUUCGCGAGUGCGGAUUGCCUACACAGUGAGGAACAUGAUAGCCCUGAGGAUUUUGAGAGUCAAAAUUCCGACCGUUGUUGUGCUAUGCGCCAGCUGUCCCAAAAUAUCUACCCACAUAACGGUCAUAUCUGACAAGGGCAUUUAUGUCUUAUCAUGUCGGGCUGCUCCCUAGGCUAUAAAUAGCCGCCCCCUACAACCACUAGCUGGUUGGUUGCUCCGAGAGAAACUGACACUUGUCAAUUGAGAGCAUCCCAUCCUCCGAGGACUUUGAGCGAAAAUCAUCAAGUGAGGAAAACCCAAACCCAACACCUACAAACCCAAAGUGAUUGAGCAUCACUGAAGAGAUUGAUCCUGCGUGGAUCCGACGGUUGUUUCCUUUGAAGACUGUGCUUUUUCCAGACGGUUAGGCGUCAAGGUCUAGAGCAUCCAAGAGGAAUUGUGGAUCGCCGAGUGACCAAGUUUGUGAAGGUCCGGAAGUCACCUGAAGACUUACCACGAGUGAUUGGGCGAGGUCUGUGUGACCUUAGCUCAAGGAGAAUACGGUGAGGAUUGUGUGUCCUCGAGUUUAAAUACUCAGCCGCUCCAACCAGAUGUACAACUAAGACAGCAGUUGGAACUGGUCUACCAAGUCAUUGUCUUCACCAAGCUUACCGGUUCUAUUUCCUCAACUCCUUCAUUUCAUCAUGUCUAUUGUUGUGUGCUUGUUCAUAUCUGUUUGAAGACUUUGACUGAAGACUUCCUCAAUUUCCUCAGUUCAAUUUCUUCAAUCUGUUCGUCUUCUUUCUUGUGUUAUCCUGUGUUUACGCUUUCUGUACUCUGUGCUUGUCUUCAUUUCAUUAUGAUGACUAUGCUUGUGUUCUGUUAUGUCUACAUUUGAGUACUUAUUCCGCUGCUAGUAGUUCUUCAUUUAGGAAUUUCCUCACCAGCAAAUUCCUCAGUGAAUAAUUCAUAAAAACUGCCUAUUCACCCCCCCCCUCUAGUCGAUAUAACGCACUUUGAAGGGCCUAAAAGUAAUGGUUCGAAGGCUCCAGUGAUGCCCUGCUGCACGUCUGCGCCAUUUCUCCUUAGUAACAAAUCCUUUGAUAGGAGUAUUUGAUGGUUGGACGUAAAGGUGGGAAACGCUAGCCUUGAAAGGAUCAAUGAUGCAACCAUAGAACAAAUAGGGAUUUUUAAUGAACCUGCAGCGAAAAAUAUGUAUGCGGUACGAAUAGGGUCAAGCUGUACUAUGGACUUUUUCCCUAGUAUGCCUCCGGCACUGCCCAAGUUAUUUUGAGUGCGUAGUUAUGUACGCGUGGUACAUAAGCCGCAACUUUAUGGGACAGUCGGCGGAGGCCGAACUGCUAAUCAAGGUCCGCAUCCGUCGAGUUAUUGCAGUGACGCGCGAACCGGACUCAUUUAGAGAUGUUGUUGGCUUUAAUGUCUGAAGAAUUAUUUGGCUUGAUAAGGCCGCCAUACACCUCGGCUGCAAGGGCCACAGUGUGCUCUUUAGUAUGGAGGGAGCGCUCCAUAUUUCCAUUGACUAUGGUAAUGCCAUGUGGUCCGGGCAUCUUAAGCUUCAAAUAAGCAUAAUGCGAAACUGCAUUAAAGCGGGAGAAAGCAGUUCGUCCGAGCAGUGCGUGAUAACCACAGCGGAAGGGGACGAUGUCGAAGAUUAAUUCUUCACUACAAAAGUUGUCUGGGGAGCCGAAUACUACCUCCAGUGUCAGUGAGACCGUACAACGAGCCUCCACCCCGGGUAUCACACCUUUAAAGGUAGUGUUACUGGGCUUGAUUCUUGAUGGGUCAAUGCCCAUUUUGCGGAUAGUGUCUUGAUAAAUCAAGUUGAGACUGCUGCCGCCGUCCAUAAGGACUCGUGUGAGGUGGUAUCCGUCAAUGAUUGGAUCAAGUACCAGGGCGGCCGAACCGCCAUGACCGAUACUGGUUGGGUGAUCCCUGCGAUCAAAAGUGAUCAGACAGGCUGACCAUGGGUUGAAUUUUGGGGUGACAGGCUCUACGGCGUAGACAUCCCUUAGUGCACACUUGCGCUCCCUUUUGGGAAUGUGAGUGACAUAGAUCAUGUUCACUGUUUUCACCUCGGGGGGAAACUACUUUUGGCCCCCGGUGUUCGGCUGAUGGGGCACAUCAUCGUCCUCACUUGGAGGUCCUUUUCCCUUGUGUUCGGUAUUUAUCAUACCGGCCUGUUUAAAAACCCAACAGUUCCUAUUGGUAUGGUUAGCAGGCUUAUCGGGUGUGCCAUGAAUCUAACAGGGCCUCUCAAGGAUUUUGUCCAAACUGGAUGGACCGUCCCUGUUGGCUUUGAAAGAUUUCUUCCGCUGACCGGAUUUAGAACCACUGAAUCCGGCAUUGACGGUCCUAUCAUCUGCGUUGUCAUUGUUGCUCUGGUGAUUGUUUUUAUUGCGGCGUGGUUUACCAUUGCCAUCCCUGGCCUCAAAAGUGCCGAGGUCGCCCGAGCUGUUGCUUCUACGAGCCAACCAGCUAUCUUCACCCGCACAGAAACGGGUCAUAAGUGCAGUUAAGGCUGUCAUGGUCUUCGGCUUCUCCUGCCCGAGGUGUCGGGCGAGCCAUUUGUCCCGGACGUUGUGUUUGAAUGCUGCUAAGGCUUCGGCGUCCGAACAAUCCAUGAUUUGAUUCUUCUUAAUUAGGAACCGAUUCCAAAGCUUGCGAGCCGAUUCACCUGGUUGUUGGAUUAUGUGACUCAAGUCAUCUGCAUCCGGUGGCCAGACAUAAGUGCCCUGAAAGUUGGCCCGAAAAGCAUCUUCCAAAUCUUGCCAGGUUCCAAUGGAGUUCUCUGGGAGGCUGUUUAGCCAGUGUCAUGGUGGUCCUUUCAGCUUUAGAGGAAGAUAUUUAAUGGCAUGGAGGUUAUCUCCAUGAGCCAUGUGAAUAUGGAGAAGAAAAUCUUCAAUCCAGACGGCCGGAUCCGUCGUUCCAUCGUACUGCAUGAUUUUCACAGGUUUAAACCCUUCCGGAAACUGUGUUGCAUUACCUCAUCGAUGAAACACAUAGGGUGUGAGGCACCCCUGUAUCAUGCGACAUCACGGCGGAGAUUGGAUGACAUCUAAGUUUGAUGCUGAUCCUGAAUAUUGUAAUGUUCAUCACACCGGACUUCAUAGCCGUUAUCUCAUGCCGGGCAAUGGCUUCUUGAUCCAUAGAUCGGUCUGGUCUGACCGGCUUUAUUGGCCAGGUCCCGUUGCAAGUCAUAUAUGUAGCCCGCAACUCCUGUCUCCUUGCCUCUCUGGUGAGGGGGUGCGGGCUGGUGUUCGGCUUGAUAAGCCGCUUUAUCCCGUCCACGUGGUGGUCGGUCUGGUUGAUCUUCCUGAUUGUAUUUCGAUGGUAUUGGCUCAAGAGCUUUGUCGUCGAAUUGUGGCAGCAGCCUGCGCUUGGGGUAACUUUUGGUAGGUCGCUCAUGGCCAUACUCCUUGGCGGCUAGGACCUUGGUCCACCUUUCAUUGAGCGUAUCGUGUUCAGCUUUGAGCUACUGCUGUUUAUUUUUCAGGCUCCGUGUUGUGGCAAUGAGCUGUCGCUUGAAGCGUUCUUGCUCGAGGGGUUCCUCUAGGACGAUAAAAUCUUCGCCACCGAGGCUAACAUCCUCUUCGGAGACUGGCAUAUAAUUGUUGUCUUCGGAAUCUCAUGAUCAGCAUAUUUGGGGACAUACUGACCCUCCUCCCUCUCAUCUUCUUCGGAUGUGGGCUCGACAGGGUGUUCGGGAUCUUCGGCACUAUCCAGGAUUUCAUUAUCUCCGGUGCCAAUAUUACUAUCCUUCACCCGACGUGAUCGUGAGCGGCGCCACUGACGUCGGCACUUUGGUGGUUUAUCGACGGGCUUGUCCUCAUCGGGAUUCAGAUUAUCCUUGUUGUCCUUUUUAUCAGGAGUGUCCACCACGUAUACUUCAUAGGUUGAAGUGGUCGUCCAGCGCCCUAUGAUGGGUGGGACUCGGCCUGAUUCGGCGUCGGCAUCAUCAUCCAUACUUUGAUGUCUUCGGACGCGUAGUCAAGCAUGUCGGUUAAAUCCUCGACAGUGGCUAUUAAGUGGGUGGUGGGCGGGUCGUAAAAUUCCCCACUCUCAGCCCAAGCCCAUGCUGGGUGCAGUUUGGAGGCAAGGCUUCCGUAACGGUGAGAGAUCGCAUUAAGCCCAGUGCUUUGUCUAAGGGUGAAGGCCGGGCAUGAGUCUGCGGAUCUACAGGGCUGAGUUUGGCGACAGACACCUGAUCGAGCCCGAUCGACGCAGACUUCGACAGUUCGGAGUUGUCGUCCAGAGGCGAGUCCAAAAUCACAUCUGGGUCUCCGAUCGAAAGUUCCAUGAUGGAAAAGGGUCUGGCGGGGUUGAUCCUCCCGUCUUCGGAUGAUACGGCCUGCUCCGGAUCUAAGGCCAAGGCGGGCGUGAGUGUUGACCCCUAAACGGGAUCUAAGAGCGAAUCUGAAGAGCUUCCUUCACGGGGGAAAGGAGCGGCAACCGAGGCCGCGAACCCCUCGUAGAACAGAUCUCCUCGGAUAUCGGUGAUGUAAUUCAGGUUUCCGAACCAGAUCUGGUGUCCGGGGCAUAACUGUCGACCUGCUCAAGGUGGCUAGUCGAGUUGGCACGAAGCACGAAGCCUCCAAACACAAAGACUUGUCUAGGAAGAAAGGUUUUCCUAGACGCAGCGUCAUCGUUGAUGAAGAGGCGAGCCAUCAAUCCUUCUGUCGGCGAUACAGCGGAGCUCUCAAUGAAAGCACCAAUGUCGGUGUCAAAAUGGGCAAAUCUCGUGUAGGGGGGCCCAAGCUGUAUGUUUGAGGAUCGAUGGUAACAAUGAUCAAAGGGACACAGUGUUUACCCAGGUUCGGGCCCUCUUAAUGGAGGUAAAACCCUACUCCUGCUUGGUUAUAUUCGAUGGUAUAGGGGUUACAAGAGUUGAUCUACCUCGAGAUCGUAAUGGCUAAACCCUAGCUUGGCUAGCCUAUCAAUGUUAUGAUCCUGCCUUUGGUCUAAACCCUCCGAUUUAUAUAGAGACCAGAGGGGCUUAGGGUUGUACAAAGUCGGUUUAACAGAAAGGAAAUAGUAUAUCCGGACACCUAAGCUUGCCAUCCAUGUAUACAGGAGUCCCCACCGGACACGAGAGGUGGUCUUCUUCCUUGUAUCUUGACGGAACAUUAGUCCGGCCCAUGUCCAAUAGACCGGACACCUGAGGACCCCUUAGUCCAGGACUCCCUCAGGUAGUACGAGGGUUGACUGGUUCGGCUGCGGUGUGAGGCUGCCGUCGCCGUGGAAUAACAGGGGGUGUGGGUGAGUGGAGGGAUGGCCUGGCCAGCAGUGGGAGUAGUAGGAGUGGUGAGGCCUCCACGACAGCACAGCCGGCCAUGGGAGGCAAGAGCACGCGGUGGUUUGGACGGCUGGAGCAAGAAAAUCAGAGGUUGAAGAAGUGGGAGGACCGUUGGAUGUUAACAAUCCAAUGGUCACUGGUGAUAGAAUCGUUUGUUGACUAAGUUGACAAAGCCCUCCGUACACGUCAACUUAGUAGGGCCAUAAGUCAGCCUCCGAAUCUGGUGGGCCCCAGCUGUCAUGGGGAGCACUCAUUAUUUUCUCUUAAUAAGGAGGCACUUCCUUCCAUGCAAAGAUAUAGCUAGUGGGACCCAGCUGUCAUUGGGAGGUACUUGCUUGCAUGUGGCCAUGGACCAUGUGGGUCCUAAUUGUUAGCCUCUCCAUGUACAUCCCUCUUCCGAUGUUGUCAUUUGUUGACAAUUUUGACCACGCCAUGCCGAGAACACCAGCGAGAUGGACGACGGCGAGACCCAGGAAGGCAAUGACCCAGAGGUGGUGAAGCCACAACAGUGGAGGGAUGUGGGUGAGUAGAGGGAUGGCCUGGCCGGCGGUGGGAGUAGUAGGGGGCGGUGAGGCCUGCGCUGCAGCACAGCCAGCCACGGGAGGCGGGAGCAGGCGGUCCCGUCGGCGCUGGAUUUGGCGGCUGGAGCAAGAAGAUCAGAGAUUGGAGAAGCACGACGACCGUUGCAUUGACAUCUAACGGUCAUGUCUGUUGACAUAUAGAAUAAGUAAAAAAAUCUUGCAUACAUGUCAACUUAAUAGGUCCACAAGUCAGACAAUUUUCUAUAUUUUUUAAUAAUUUACAGCUCAUUGUAACUUCUUAUACAAUUUAUUGCAGUCCUUUUUUUGUUGGCCAGAGCCAGGGUUAAAAAUUUAAACAAAAUUUCGCAUAUUCCGGUGGGGUCCAAACUAUUUUUAAUACCGAAAUUUCGAGCCAGAUUUAAAGUACUUUAAAGAUAUAUUUAAAUUAGGUUAAAACCCAGUGAAAUUGGAACUGAAAAUGUGAAAAAAAAAUCCGGAAAUUAUUAAGUAAUUGCCAAUUUGUCGUCUGUUUUUUAUAUUUACAGCCCAUGUCAUAUUACUUUCAAGAUUUGCAGCCGCCUUGAAAGAGUUGCAGCCCAUCAGGGCGUAGAAAAAUAAGUAGGCCUGGAUUGAGUAUUCUUUAGAAAAAAUAAAUUGGGCUCAUCUAUUUAUAUAUAAAAAGUGCUUUACGGGGUAACCAGAAAAAAGAGAAUUACCUAGAAAAUCCCAUAAUAAUUAGAAACAUCUGGCCGUCAAUUGAAACCGAUUAGACGAGCACAACCAAUGGAUUGAAAAAAUGAAAAUUACCCACCAAUGCCCUUGAUAAGUUAUCUCGCCCACGUAAAAAAAACAAAGUAAUUAAGUUAGAAAAUCUCACAAAAAUUAGAAACAUCUGCCCUUAAUUUAUUAGGAGAGAUAACCACAAUCGUUAGAUCUUAGAAACAACUUAGUAACACCUAGAAAUUACCCACUAUGCCCUCAGCUUUUCUCCACGCCUCUUGUAUCUCACAAAGGUACCCAAAAAAACACGGAUCAGAAAAAGGGAUCAAUCAGGGGACGUGGCUCUCCAUCCCUCUCACCGCCACCGUGAACGCAUCGUUCCUUUGCCAUGUCGAUCAUGCAUCGUCGCCAUGGGAUGAGUGGAAAGUUUCCACUGUUCCAUCAAUUCCAUUGCCAGGUAUGUUUUCCCACAAAUGUCUACGUCUCCAUGUAUGAUUAGUUGACAUUGAUUCCGUGAAUCCAUACUACUGCUUCUGUAGGCGUCUUCCCUUUUAAAUCCAUCUUCAAUUU
rnacentral:lncRNA from 1 species